AUGCUUUGGAAUCAUUUGAGCAUCAAGAAUAUGAACAUAUAAAGUAGUUAGACAAGGCAAAUUGUUUAAUUCGUCAAGGCUUGCAUUUUUCCUCUCAGUUUCAACUACUCCUUCCUUUUCCCAUUCAACAAAGCUUCCACCCAUAUAUAAUUCUUCUAAUUUAGACAAACUUGAUAAGACAUUUGGUGGGAUGAUUUCGAGUUCUGUACACCAACUCAAAUCUAACAACCUUAAUUGAGUCAAUUGUGCCAUCGCCAUAGGUAGUUCUUUGAUACCUGACUCAGAAAGGUCGAGGAUUUCUAAAUUCUUGCGCUCUCCAAGGAUGGUUAUGUCAUCAACUGCACAUUUUUUUAGACACAACAUGCGAAGGUCCGUGAGGUGAAUAAUUGAUUCAGGUAGGGAUGGAAACUGCAUUCCGAACAAAUCUAAGACUUUGGAGGAAUUUUAACUGCACGGGCCAUAUGGAAGAAGGAAAGACCUGAACACUCCAUCUCCUUAGGAAGGUUAGCUAUAAUCUGAGGACAACGUAAGCUGAUCACACUCCACCUAUUCAUUUUCUCCUUAUCGGACCACUCCUUUGGAACAUGAUCUCUCAAAACAAGCAUACGAUAGUCCUUCAAUGCAAUAGCUAAAGCAGCAUCCCAAACAACAUCAUGGAUAUCAAAGCGCUCAUCAUCAUAACUAUCAAGCAACAAGGCAGACGCUUUGAGAUUAGCCACAACCGUCAAUACUUUAUUUCUAGCUUCUUCCAUAGUGUGGACACCCUCAAAUAAACCCAAACCUAGAGUAUAUCUUACCAAGUCCUCAACAGACCAUUAUGGCCUAUUACACUGCAAAGCAAGAAAGUCAGCUUAACUUCCUCGCUUUCUAAAUAAUUAAAACUCCACUCUAUAGCUGAACGUGCCGCAGUUAUCCCCGUGAAGUUGCUUGACGAAGGCUUCUCCAGUUCUCGUAAAGCAUUCUUCCAUUCAAACAACCUUUUGUUUCUCAAAGCCCCUGCAACUGUCGCAAUGGCUAUUGGCAAUCCUGCACAUUUUUUGGCUACCUCCAUAGCUAUAGGCUUCAAAUCGCAACUUUCAUCACAGUUGCCAGCCAUCUUCUUGAACAGGUCCCAGGCUUCCUUUUCAUUUAAAAACCCAAUGGGAAAAUUUUUCUGAGCAUCCAUCCCAUUUACUAAAACAUUGAGCUCUCUAGAAGUUAACAGCAACUUGCAGCCCUUGUGUUCAUCUCCCAAAGGAAUCCCUACUUCCUCAAUAUCUAACUUUUCCCAAAUAUCAUCCAACACAACCAGAAUCCUCUUCUCCUUCAUUCUUUCUCGUAGUCGAAAUGCCUUUCCAACCAUACUCUGUUCCUCAAAUUUCAAGCCCAAGAAGUCUGCAAUUUGGUUCUGAAUCUUCUCAAUAUCGAUGGCUUGAGUUACGGUUGCUAUGACAACCGAAUCAAACAACUUGCCCUUGACUUUCUAGCGAUUUCUUUGACCAGCGUUGUUUUUCCAAUCUAAAUUUAACUAAAUAAAAAUAAAAGUCUCUUUAUUUUCAUGCCCCUCUUUUUCUAGCUCCUACUCCUUAGUACUUUUGUGCCUUAAUAAUUCAACUUUCUUUGGUGCUAUAGGGGUAUGGAGGGAAAAAUAAUAAUUCAAUUUUCUUUCACUUCACAUGGAGGUCACCAAAACGUUAAUCCAAAUUGCGGAGCUAUACCAUUUUGUACAUAAAAGACUUGCUAGCUUGGAAUGGGUAAAAAUAAUGUGAGAGUAACUUUAAAUAAUUAUAUAAAACAUCCUUUUUUUUUUUAUUUCAAAGAUUUUCUUUUUUGAAAUUUACUUACCUAUGAAAUUAAAAUAAAAAACAUCUUUUUGAUAUUGAACAAAUUGGUCACUCUAAAAGAAAUACAGUAAUUUAAUCAUUAUCAAUUUUGAAAGUAACCACGAACAAUUAAUCAAGCACUAAUAGUUUCUGUUAAUUAUACAUAAUUUUGAUUAGUAUAAAAACAAAUUUAAUCCUUGAUGAGUAUACAUUUUGCGUAAAUGCUGAUAGAAUGUGUAAUUAUUACGGGUUAUAUAUGUUAAAUCAUGAUCAAUUAACUGACGAAAUGUGUAAAUGUUGUGAGUUAAAUUUGUUAAAUCAAUAAUAAAUUGAUAGAAUGUGUAAACUUUAAGGGCUAAAUUUAUCAUUAUACCAAGAAAAUUAUGUAUAAUUGAUGAAAAAUAUUAACGUUGUGAUUAAUUGUCCUUAAUUUAUCACUUUUAAAAAUAAAAAUAAUUGAAUAACUCUUAUAUUUUUAAAAAUACCAAUUUUUUCAAUAUUGAAAUUGAAAAAGAUUAGAGACACAUGUUUUAAUAUAUUUAUUCAAAUUGGAGUAAUUUUGAAAUCAAUUACCAUUCUUCAUUUUAAUAUAUUUCAUUAUUAGUUGCUUGUGUUCCUUUUUUUAUGGUUUAUGCAUGCAUUGUGUUUGGUAUUUUUUUUUCAACAAUGAGCAACAUAGACAACAAAUAAUGAAAUAUUAAGCACAUAAUACAAAUCCUGAAUAUGAAUUAUAAAACGGAUAUAAAAAAUACAAAUAAAAAUUAAGACUAGACUCAGCCACGAAUGAGAAAACUACCUUUAAGGGAAAGCUGUCGCAUGAGAUGGCUUGGAACAUUUGCUAGAGCAUAUUUUGGAACGAUUUCAAACUGUUCCGAGGAGGUUGGAGGGUCUUGGGCUCUUCACCUUUCGUAACAAAUAUAAAUCUGCCAUUAUCGAAGUGCAUUAAUCCUUUUGUUUCUUUUGCUAGCAAUUUGGGGAGAGGCUCCUACAAGGCCAUCAACUCUUAUCGCAACAAAUUGAUUAGUGUAUCAGAUUCUCAUCAAUUAAAGGGUGUUGCUUGGAGCAAAGCAUCAAAACACCUUAAGAACCAAUCCAUAACCAAAUGGACUGUUACACUAAUAAACCAUAAACUUCAUGGAUUGGAACACUUAGUUAAUUAUGGAUGAAAGCUGGCUUGGAAAUUCAUACUUGAGACCCGCCAACCUUGCAACGUAUAAGCAAGACAGUCAACCGUAAAAAUCAGAGGAUCAACAACCAAAUGGCAACAAUCAGUAAUGCCUACAACUGAAAAUGUAAAACUUGAUCAGAAUCCACGUAACAUUAUUCUUCCAUCAGGCAAAUACCAACAACCCAUUGAUUCAAUUUCAGCCGUCUUUUCAGAAUCAGCCGUAUCAUUAAUAGAUAGCUGCCUACUUUUAUCCCUCAUUAGGGAAUAAUAUAUAUAUAUUAUAUUUGUGAAGAUACUUGAUAGCUUUAAGCUGACAUUGAUAUGGUAACCAUCAAAAGUUGGCAAAUCCUUAAAACAGGGGUCAACCUUACUAGUAAAAGUUUACAUGUUUGUAGCCCAAUGCCAUGCAUGAUGCCCUUGAAGUUCAAUUUUGAGGGUAUAAUGUGAAAUGGAACAGUUCAAAUAGUAGUUUUACAAAAACUGAAAUAACCUUUCACAUUUUACCAAAAGUUGCAGCCUCGUACUUCAGCAAAGCAACUCAACCUACAAUGAAAAGGGCGUCUCUAUGGUCGCUUUAUAAAGCAUUAUUUAAGCUAUGAUGAAAAUAGAAGAGUCAAUUACCAUUUGUUUUGAAUUCAAACGAAAUUGAGCUUUUCGCAUAAGCACCAAACAUAUUUCCUUAUUCCAGCUUGGGCGACCGAUCAGUAACCUCCGUCACCUCAGAAUUUUGCACAUUCUGUGCAUCAUCAUAUCAAACCAAGAAUUGUUCAAUUAACUAUGUAUGUAUGUAUGUAAAAACACAUGAACUUAAAUCCUUUAAAUGAUUUGUACCAUUUCAUCGAACAUAUGUUUUAUGGUAGUGUUAAGGUCGCCUUCCCACUGCAGUUCACCUUCCUCAUCUCUUGUUAAGUGCAUUUGUUCCAGCCUUGGUGUGCUUAAAUCUCCUUGGCAGAAAUUCCUCAUUUGGGGGCACUUUGUCACCAUCACCAUUAGCAAGACUGGGAAUUCCAGCGAGUAAUGGGCCAAGGAAAAGCUUGCUAGACAUGGCAGACAACUUAGUUCCAAAUACUUCAGUUUGGGAAAUACAAUGCCCCCUUGUAUUUCUUCAGCCUCACACGCUAUGAUUUCCUCCAUCAUCUCACAAUCAUCUAUGCUCAAUCUUUCCAGUAGCCUCAGGCACUUAGCCGUUGAGCAUGCGAUUAAAUUGAUGAACCCAUCGCAUCUUGAAACUUUCAGUGUUGUUAGAUUUUUGAAAGACAGCAAAGAUGGUUCAAAAGUCUUUAACGUCAACUCUGGAAGUUGAGACAAACUUAAUUCCUUUAGCUGAUAGAAUGCUGAUGUAUGCCUUUCCUGGUCGCUGAGUCCUUCAGAUUGUACUAUUUGACAAAUGGAAGCAUUGUCUAUAACAAGCUUAUGAAGCUUUGGUAGUGACCGAAUAAAGGAAUACGGAAGAGUAGUGGAUGUCUCAGGAAAGAAUUGGAGAUUAAGAUGCUUAAGGUUUUGGAAACACUGCAAUGAGAGUUGUCCAUCACAUAUCCCCUUCACCAUAUCAUUCGUCUUCAGUGUUAGUUCUUCUAAUACAGGGAAAGUGUCCUGGAUGGCAACGAAUAUAUUAAACAUCGAUCAAAGAGUUUUCAAUUAGUAAGAACUAGACUACAAAAUGAAUAUAAUUUCCGUUUUCUUUCUCAUAAAUUUAAAAGGAAGGUGAGAAUAUUAGUUAUUUCAAAAGGCAUUUUAUAGGUAAUCUCAAGUAAUGAACAUGGAGUAUGAAACUGUUAGUGAGCUCACCUCAUUGACGGAAAACAAGGGUUGUUGGCUUGAGAUUCCAUCCUGACACUCAGGACAUUGUGGAGUAAAUAUCUGUACUUUGGGGCAUUCAAUAAUGUCCAUUUUUUUCAAUGAAGGCCACCGGGUGGUAUGCAUCCUAGAGUAGAAACUUUUCAAUCUCGGCACCUUAUCCAAUCUGAGUUUUACUAGUUUGGGAAAUACAAACUUGGUCGUCUCUGUUUCAGCCAUAAUAGAUUGAGCAGCUGAUGUUGACUGUGACUCAUCAGCAAUGACUCCUUGCAGCUCAAUAAUUUGUUCUAAGGAAUCACAAUUCUGAAUCCGCAACUUCUUCAAACUAGGGAAAACAACCUGCUAAAUCAUUUCAUUAGGUUAAUAACUGAAAUAUGCAUGGAAAAGAAAGAACUUGAAAUGAGUAAGAUCAAUUGAAGUAACAUAAAUUAAAAGGAGAACCCGUAAAGAAUUGACCUUUUCAUUGAGGAGAGAUGAGUUAUGAACCUCCAAGUUACUAGCUUGUACAUGUUGGCCAAUUUCAGGUUCAUCUUCGGAUACACAUUUAGUGAUGAAUGUUUUUAGCAAUGGACAAUUUGUUAGUUCUAAAUCUGUCAAACAUUGGAAUUCAAAGUAAUUUUCAAAGCACAAACUUGUGAGUUUGGGAAGGUCUUCUAGCCAGAGCAUUUCUAGUUCAGAGAAAAACAUCUGAUUCCUCCCUUGAUGUUCCUCAACCAAUCCAUCCGUGAAUAUUACUUGUUCCAUCAUAUUACGGUCCAAAAUUGCAAGGUCUCGGAGUUGCACAAGAUCUUUUACCAAGAAAGACGGGAACAGGUAUUUCAAAUUGUGACACCUCUCCACUUGCAAGGUUUUUAGGCAUCCGACAGAUGGGGAGGAUGGGUGGUGCCAUAUCUCAUGAAUGUUAACGAAGGACAAUUCCAGAUGCUGCAAACGAGGAAUGACAACCUGUUGACAUAAAUUUCAUUAUAAGAUAACAUCAUAACUCUUCCUUCGUUACUUGUAAAUAUAAUCAAAAUGAGUAGAUGAGUAUAAAGAUUUUUAAACUGAUAAGUUAAGGUUAAUAUUCAAACAUCAACUCACUUGACAGUUAAAGUGAUAAAUAUAGCUAGGAGACGUGAACCCUUUUUUUUAGAUGAAAUGUUCAGCAGCAUAAAUCUAACCUAAAGCAAAAUUUGUUUUUUUUUUUGUUAAAUAAAAAAGCCUUUUUUCUAUAAAACCUCGAGCUUUCAUAUUUGCUAUAAUGGUUGUUGAAUGAUUAUUAUUAAUGCAAUUCGACAGGGGAAUAUGCAUGUUUUUAAUUAAGUUGGACUCACAUAUUUAUGUAGUUUCCAUUAAUGAUUUACAUUAAUUACUUAAAAUAAGUUUUUUAAUGAGUUAACUUCAAAAAUGUUAAGCAUAAUUACCUAUUUAAUCCUUUAAUUUUAUAUAAAAUAAAUCAUUUUAGCUCUCUAUUUAAUUUUUCGUUUCUUUUUAUUUCUUGAAUUUGUAUUAUUUAUUAAAUCAUUCUAAAUGGAUAGAAAAAUCAACAUUUGUUAACUUUACUGAUGUGGUAUGCAUUGGAUUCCCAUAUAGAUACCAUGUCAACAAUUAUUUUUAAUCAUUAACUUGGCAUGCAAAUAGAUUGUUAUGUCAUAAAAAUGAAAAUUCAAUGCCCGAAAGAGGUGAAAACUUAAAUGGAGAGUUUUUUUUUUUUUUUUUUUUUUUGUAAAGUUGGAGAGUCAUUUUAUUGGAAGAGGGAUGAGCAUUGAAGGUCAUUGUCUGCUAUGUCAAGGGAACCAAGAAACAAGAGAUCAUCUUUUUGCAGACUGUAUGUUUGCCAAAACUGUAUGGGGCAGCGUUUUACGGCUUUGUAAUAUUCAAAGAGAAGUUAGGGGGAUGGAAUCAUGAGAUCGGAUGGCUUUGCACAAGACUUAAAAGGCAAAGCUGUAUAUUAGGAUUUUAGCUUUUGAAAAGUGCUUUUCAACUUUGUCGUGAGCAAGAAAGAAAUAGAAGACAGUUUAAAGGUUUGAAUAGUAGUUAGCAGAACAUUUCUAGAAGUACUAAGGAUAUUGUAGGUUUAAGGCUUAGAGGUAAAAAGAUUAAUUGUAGUGACACUGUAAAUAUUAAACUUUGUACAGCUUGGAGUACAGUAGGGAGUAAAUAUAGUGCUAAGUACAGACUUUUUCUCCCUAAAGUUGUAUUGAAUGUUUUUGUAGCAGUUUUACUAGUUUCUUGGAUAAAUAAUGUAAAAGAACAUUAAGUAAAAUCACAACACAUACAGAGAAGAGGAGAAUUUAGAAGACGAGAAUGAUGAUGACUUAACAUCAAACAACUUUAAAAAAGUUUUAUUUAUUAGUAUUUUACUUUAAGUUUUUCCUUAAAUUCUUAUUUUAUAUAUUUAUUUAUACUUUAAACUCCAUUUUUUUUAAAAUAUUAUCUUAUUUAUUAAUAUUUUUAUGAAUUUUAUUGUAUUAAAUUUUGACAACUCGUAGUACGUGACAUUAAUACUAGUAUGUCUAUAUAGACCAGACACACUCAUGAAUUGAUCAAUAAAAAGAAAAUGUGAAAUAAAUUGUGCAGAUAAAUAUUGAAUACCCAACUUACCUUAUUGCUGAAAAAAGUUGCAGUGUUAUCAUAGAUGCCCCCUUCGCCAACCACGCUUUCACUUGCAUCACCACUCUCUCUUGAAACUGAGGAAGAAAAUGCAGUCAUUUUUGGACACUCCUCUAUCGUGAUAUCACUCAACUCUGGAAAUUCAAGAGCUUGACUUCCCAAAUGGAAAUUUGUCAAGUUGGAACACGACUCAAUUUUUAAGGAGAGUAGCGAAAGAAAUGUAAAUUUAUGUGUCAUGGCUUCCUCCUCCUCCCUAACUACUUGUUCCAUUGAACUGCAUUCUUCCACUUCUAUCCUUCGUAGUAGAUUGAGGCUCAAAAGCAUAGACGGAGUAAAUAUGUACUUCAAGCUGCUACAUUUAUAAAAAUUCAGCGAAACAAGGUUUCUGCCCAAAAUUUCUUGAGGGUUCCUAAUCCAUAUUUCUAUUGACUUGGGAAAUGUGUCAGAGAUGUUCAAAUAUUUUCCGUCAUAGAAUCCAUCCUAAAAAAAAUAUGAUAUUAUUCCACUAGAUAGUAAGCAUGAAUAGAAAAUGCAAACAAUAACAAAAUAACUAAAAUUAAUUGUAUUAGGACGGGAAGAAGCCAGCUAGUUUUAUAAACUUAUUAACUUUGUACCUUUUCCGUGUAGCGCUGUCGUAUGGUGGUAUUCAGGUCACUUGCCCAACUCCAUUUCUCACAGUAACGCGACUGUUUUACUCUUUGUAAUUGUGGGGUGCUUAAAACUCCCUCUGAAAAGAUCUUUAACCUAGGACACCGUUCCACAAUUAAAUCUUCCAAACAAGGAAAGUUGAAGGUGUAAUUCCCUGGACAAAAGCUUGUGAGGCUCUGUAAAUAGCUUAGUUCUAAACAUUUCAAUUUACUCACAACUAUUGUCUGAUGGUAGUCUCCCUCGUUUCCCACUAUUUCUGUCAUUUCGGUGCAGCACUCUACCCUCAUUGUCCUUAAUUGCACGCAAUUCUUAAUUACUGAGGGUGUAACUAAGUUUGUCAUCAUUUCGCAAAAAGACACAUUCAAAGUUGUGAGAUUUUGUAAAGAAGAUGAGGAGGCUCUAAUAUUUAUCAAAUCAUCACAUCCCCUAACUGUGAGUGUUCGGAGAUUAGAAAGAAUAUGGUCAAGCUCCGAACCUUUCCUCCAUAUAUGGUUAAGAUUUAUGGCAUUUUCCAAUUCCAUAUUUCUAAUUGGCGAGAGAGUCCCAGCGUCUCCUUUACAAGGGACUGUGUAUUUGAAAUUAAAAUCACAAAGCUUAAAACUAUCCAGAUUGCAGAAUCUUCGGACGAAAGGAAAUAUAGAAGAUCGAGUGCCCCCUCUCACAACUAAAACUUUAAUAUCUUGAAACAAAGCCGAUGGAAACUGGUCCAUAUCACAAAAAUCUAUUAACUCAAGUUCCUCUAAUUUGGGAAUCACCUUGGAAACCAAUUAAACAUAAACAAGUUAGGCACAAUUUUGAUCUAUAUGCUUAGAUUAAGUCCCAACAAAAUCAAUAUUAAAGCAAACGAAACAAAAUAGAAUGCUUUAAAGUUUAGGGACUAAUUUAAAAUAAAUGUUAUAAUUUGGGAUAUCUAGUAUAAUUAACUCUUAAAAUUUUAACUUUUUAUUGAAUGGUUAUUUUUCCUCUGGAGUGAAUGAAGGGUUGGGAUUUAUUUUGUACCCAUUACUUAAAUGUAGGGUAAAUUACAACAAUACUCACUCAAGUAAUAGAAUAUAUUUAUUUUGAUUACUUGAAAACAAAUAAAAUCUCAAUUUAACCACUAUUGUUAAAGAAGUUUAAUAUUUUAAUCGCAAUGGUGCUAAGUCCCUAAAAGGAUGCUAAAGUAGUAUUUUUCUUAUCCUCGAAACUUAAAUUAUCUAUCAAUUUAGACUCGAUUCUUAAAGAUCAAGAGUAGCCAUCAAUAUUUACCUGUUACGUCUAUUCAAUCUUUCUUUUAAAAAUUUUAAAUAUAUAUAUGUAACAAAAGUUUUUAAAAAUACAUAAAAAAUCAAAAAAUCAAAAAAUUAUAUCAAAUUGUUACGUCUAUUCAAUCUUGCUUUUAAAAAUUUUAAAAACAUAUAUGUAACAAAAGUUUUUAAAAAUACAAAAAAUUAUAUCAAAUUGAGAUGCAUGUGACGGUGAUUUAAAUUAUAAUAUCAACCUGAAAUACAUGUGACAGAGUUUAAAUCAUAAAAAGAAAUAUAGUUGUAAUGAUAUACAUACCUCUUCAACCAACAAAACUGGUUGCUCAUUUCCUUGGAUUAAUCUAAGAUGUUCCGAAGCCAGUAUCUUUAGCAAAGAAGAGCAAUCUGUUUUCAAUUUUUUCAACAUUGGCCAGACUAUUGUAUGUUGCCCUUCAUAGAAACAUUUGAGGUUUUUUAGGGAUGUAACCUCAAGGGAAGACACUUGCGGAAAUUCAAACCUCACAGGCUGCUCCUCCACUCCUUCCCCUUUCGAUACAAUCUUCUCCACUCCACAAUUAGUGAUGCAUAAAUCUUCAAGUUGUGGAAGAUCUUUGGCUAUUGACACUGGAAAUAGAUUUUUCAGACUCCCACAUCCCUCAACUCUUAUUUUCAUCCUUUCCAACCUAGGAAAUGCAGCCUAUACAAUAUAUAAUUCAUGCCCAUACAAAAGUUAGCUCAUAUAAUGCAGGCAAAAUAACAAGGACAAAGCAGCUGAUUUUUUUAGAGUGUAAGAGUAAUGAAAUAAAUCACCUUCUCAUUAAAAAGUGUAUGCAUGCCGGACUGCGUACUAGUUUGACUAAUGAAUUCUUUUAAUUUUGGGCAACCCUCAAUCUCUAGCUUUUUCAACAAUGGGAACUCGAUAUUAUAAUUUCCUGAGCAAAAGAAAAUGAGGUUUGGAAGUCCUACUAUAUGCAGGGAGUUUAACCGAGGGAAACAAAUCACAUCUUUCCUUUCUUCUUCAAUUGUCUCUGUAAGUAUUAUGUCCCUUAAGCCCUGGCAAUCCUUUAUCUCAAAGCAUUCGAGCUGCACCAGACUUCUAGCGAGAGAAGGUGAUAACAGAUGCUCCAACUUACCACAUCCUUCGAUGAUCAAGCUCCUCAAAUUCGUAAUCCAAUGACAUGCCUGGUUGUGCCAUAUUAUUUUGGUGUUAAUUGCAAGCUUUCCAAGUGAUGGAAAACAAAUUGCACAUAUUUACACAAUUAUUUUUAUUCUUUAAAAUCUAAAAAGAGAGGAAAGGGAAAGAUAGAAUGUAACAUAAUUUGGAAAUAUGAUUUUAAACUUUAAAGACAAUUUUAGUUGGAAUUGUUGGUUCCAAUUUCAUUUUCAGAAUUAAAAAAAUUUGUUAGGCGGUCAGUUUGGAUUAGAAAUUAAAUUUCCAUUUGUUUUGAGUUUGAAAUUUAUUUUUGAACCUGAAAACCAUUAUACAAUAUUAUUUAUUUUUAUUAUUAGAAGUAUUACUAACUAAAAGUUGUAUAAGAAAUAACGAAUAAAAGCAAACAGAUACCUGUUUAUUGAAAAGUGAUAAGGGCUCGGAAAUAAUGGAACACCUUUCGUCUUGAGAGCAAAAGCUAAUGAGUUGCGGUAGAUUUUCAAGUGUUAUGGAGCAUAAUUCAGAAACCCCAAUUUCAUUCAUUGUAAUAUACUGUACAUGCAUACCAUUUUCGAUAUGAAGUCUCUUUAAAUGUGGAAGAUCUUUCCCAUUAUUUAACUCCACAAGUACGUUCUUGACACCUUCAAGUCCCUCUAGGUACAAAGCUUCAGUCUUUAUCAGCAACAUUUUCAACCCAUUGUCCAAAUGAAUGUUUGUAUAUAACUUGAGCCUCAAUGUUCUCAAACAUUCAUGAUUUUGGUACCAUACAAACCUAUUAUAAUCACCUACACGAAUAACGUAUUUGUCCAAAGUUUCAACGAAUCGAUGCUUUGGAAUCAUUUGGGCAUCAGGGAUAUGAACAUCUAAAGUAGUUAGACAAGGCAAAUUGUUUAAUUCGUCAAGGCUUGCAUUUUUUUUCUCAUUUUCAGCUACUCCUUCCUUUUCCCAUUCAACAAAGCUUCCACCCAUAUAUAAUUCUUUUAAUUCAGAUAAACUUGAUAAGACAUUUGGUGAGAUGAUUUCGAGUUCUCUACACCGACUCAAAUCUAACAACCUUAAUUGAGUCAAUUGUGCCAUCGCCAUAGGUAGUUCUUUGAUACCUGACUCAGAAAGGUCGAGGAUUUCUAAAUUCUUGAGCUCUCCUAUGAUGGUUAUGUCAUCAACUGCACAUUUUUUUAGACACAACAUGCGAAGGUCUGUGAGGUGAAUAAUUGAUUUAGGUAGGGAUGAAAACUGAAUUCUGAACAAAUCUAAGACUUUGAGGCCUUUGGUUUGUUUGAAAAAAUUGGGAGGAAUUUUAACUGCGCCGGCCAUAUGGAAGAAGGAAAGACCUGAACACUCCAUCUCCUUAGGAAGGUUAGCUAUAAUCUGAGGACAACGUAAGCUGAUCAGACUCCAGCUAUUUAUUUUCUCCUUAUCGGACCACUCCUUUGGAACAUGAUCUCUCAAAACAAGCAUACGGUAGUCCUUCAAUGCAAUAGCUAAAGCAGCAUCCCAAACAACAUCAUGGAUAUCAAAGCGCUCAUCAUUAUAACUAUCAAGCAACAAGGAAGACGCUUUGAGAUUAGCCACAACCGUCAAUACUUUAUUUCUAGCUUCUUCCAUAGUGUAGACACCGUCAAAUAAACCCAAACCUAGAGUAUAUCUUACCAAGUCCUCAACGAGACCAUUAUGGCCUAUUACACUGCAAAGCAAGAAAGUCAGCUUAACUUCCUCGCUUUCUAAAUAAUUAAAACUCCACUCUAUAGCUGAAUAUGCAGCAUUUAUCCCCGUGAAGUUGCUUGACGAAGGCCUCUCCAGUUCUCGUAAAGCAUUCUUCCAUUCAAACAAUCUUUUGUUUCUCAAAGCCCCUGCAACUGUCGCAAUGGCUAUUGGCAAUCCUGCACAUUUUUUGGCUACCUCCAUAGCUAUAGGCUUCAAAUCGCAACUUUCAACACAGUCGCCAGCCAUCUUCUUGAACAGGUCCCAGGCUUCCUUUUCAUUUAAAACCCCGAUGGGAAAAUUUUUCUGAGCAUCCAUCCCAUUUAAUAAAACAUUGAGUUCUCUAGAAGUUAACAGCAACUUGCAUCCCUUGUGUCCAUCUCCCAAAGGAAUCCCAACUUCCUCAAUAUCUAACUUUUCCCAAAUAUCAUCCAACACAACCAGAAUCCUCUUCCCCAUCAAUCUUUCUCGUAGUCGAAAUGCCUUUCCAACCAUACUCUGUUCCUCAAAUUUCAAGCCCAAGAAGUCUGCAAUUUGGUUCUGAAUCUUCUCAAUAUCGAUGGCUUGAGUUACGGUUGCUAUUACAACCGAAUCAAACAACUUGCCCUUGACCUUUCUAGCGAUUUCUUUGACCACCGUUGUUUUUCCAAUCCCGCCCAUACCAUGCACCCCAACAACGCUGACGCUAUCAUCUUUUAGUGCCUCCAUUAUUCCGUUCAAAAUCGACAUUCUUGACUCGAAUUCCUCAUAACCUUUAACUGGUGCAACCACGAUACCUUGCGAAGCUGCACGAUAGGAAACCCUUUCAAACUUGCCAUGUUCAAGUAGCUCGGCAACAGCCUUUGCCUCCUCUUCAGCUUUCAGGCUAAGCUUGUAACGGGUCCUGAAAUUAGGACACAAACCAAUGAAACACUUUUUCUUUGCUUUUUCUUCAUCUUGCAUCACUUUCUCUACUUGUUCAGGGAUCUUCCUGUCCACUGCCGACAUCCAGUUGUUAACAUCACGUUCGAUCUCUUCGCCGUUUCGUUGAGCUGCAUCAACAGAAUGCUGCACUCUGUCCCUUGCAUCUUUCAGCUUCUCAGCUUGGUCCUUGAGGGUCUCAACAUAUUGCUGAUGAUUGGAAAGGUAUUUGACAUGGUUUUCGAUAGGAGAGAUCGUAUACUCUACAGCUUUAGCUACAAUAGAGCCAACGAUGGCACCAACAAUCUCCAUCGAGAGAGCAAACUGAAUAACCACAGCGACAACAAAGACCAAAACUUGAAUUAUCUUAUAUAUAUAGUUUUUAAAAAGAACUCAUUUUCAUAAUCUUAAAUAUAUAAGUAUGAGAUUAAUGUUUUACUUUAUGACAAUUAAAGUAAAGUAAUUUUGUUAAUAGAUAAUCUUUUAUUAAUAUAGACAUAUAUCUAACUUUAUUUUUUUAAUAAUUAUCUUUUUUUGAAGGAGUAGGUUUUUUUUUUGGCUAAGCAUUGAAGGAAUAAUUUGUCUUUUACACUUUGAAUAAAUUUUACAACACAUCUUUUAAAAAAUAGUUUUCUAAUUAUUAUUUAAAUUAUUUUCAACUAAUUCAAAAUUAUACCUAUUUCUUAUAUUUUGAUUAAACAGGAGAUUGUUUGGUGUAAUGUUAUUUAUUGUACAAGCAGUAUUAAGAUAUUUAAUUUUUUAAAAUAUUUUACUAUACUUCUAAAAGACAUUUUAUCAACCUCAUGACUUUACUUAUGGAAUUUAAAAACUUCAAUAAUAAAUUAUGAUAAAUCAUUUAAUACACUGCCAAUAGAAUUUUUAGACUCUACUAGCAGGACCAAGGGAUUGAUAAGUAUUUUAUAAGGGUAUAAUAAAAUAUUUAAAGGAAAGAGAGACAUUUCAAUUUUUUAAGGUUACUUGUGGAAUAAAAAAAGUAUUAAAUCCUCACCCUGUUUAUAUUAAUAUUUUUAAUUUAGUUUUUAAUCUUAAUUCAUAUUUUAAAUAUUAUGUUAUAACAAAAUGAAAAUUUAUUAAUAGUAAGGGGAAUGAUCUACUUACGCAAUGUAAAAAAUUAAAGUAAUUUUACACACUUCCGUAAUUAUUUAUAUUAUUAAUAUUUUAAUGAUACAAUCAUUAUAUUAUAUGGUAUAUUCAUGUAGAUCAUAAAUUUCAAUUUUGAUUUAAAUUUAAAACUUCUAACUAUUUAAUUUGUUGCACAUUUUUUAAUUUAGUUAAUUUUUUAAAAAAUAGAAAAUAAUAAAGUAUAUUAAAUGUUUCAAUUUAAAAAAAUAUAUUUACUCCUUAAAUAGUAAUAAUAUCUUCAAAUUUUAAACUACUUGUGCAACUUGCACUAAAUCAUAUUCAAAAAGUAUUUUGGUAAUUUUUUUAUUAAAAUUAAAUAUAUUAACCGCUACCAACAGUGACUAAUUCUCUCGUUACAGGAAUUUUCUGAAAACUAUCAAAGUAUUUUGUUAAUUUAGUUCAAACCAAUUAUAUAUAAAAUAUAUAUUUAAUGUUUGAAUAUUUAAUUUGUUUUUUAAAUGAUUUUUCAUUUAAUUUUAGUACCCUAUCAAACCAUUUUUCCAACCGUUCACCAUAAAAUAGACUUGAUCAUGAGUCGAAUUACAAAGUCCAUCCAAAACAUAAAGAGUUUAGGUAAUAAUAUAAACCCAAAAAAUAAGCUUCGAACAAAAAAAAGAUUCGCGUUUGAAAUAGGCCGAGGCUCAGACAAGAUUUUUUUAGUUUGGACCUGACCCGAAUUUAACUAUUUUUUUGCUGCUGUUUACUGCUUUUAUGUUGUUGUUUUUUACUGUUAUGUUGUUAUUUUGCUACUGUUUUACUCUUAUAUUACUACUAUUUUGCUACUAUUAUUUAGAUAUUGUAUAGCUCUUAUUUUAUUUUUAAUUUUGCUAUUAUUUUAGAAAUAUUUAUUUGCUAAGUUGCAACUAUAUUAGUGUUAUUUAAGUAUAAAAUUUUUAUUUAACAUAUUUCAAUUUAUUGAGAAACAUUUAUUUUAAUAUUUUUAGAGUAUUUCAUGUAUUAUAUUUUUAAAAUUUAUUUUUAUAUAAAAAAUAAUCUAAAAAAUUUAAUAUGGAUGGAUUUAAAUUUAGUAUUUUUUUUAUCUGGGUUGAACUUAAGUAAAAUUUUAUUCCCAUUUUUUUCGUUGAGCCGAGAACGAACCUGAAAAACAAAUCUAAAAUUUUUAUAUUGACCCAACCAUGAUUAGAUCUACUACAAAUCCUCUUCUACAUGAUAAGUCAGUACUCAACCUCUUAAUAACCAUAUUCCAGUAUGUGGAAGGCACAAGUUGUUGAUAGAUCACAAACAAAAGUGCUUAUGCAGCUUUCCUCAUAGUCACCCCUUCUUUCCCUUUUUUCUACGAACUUUAAAGAGUGUUUUCCACAAUCUUUUUAAUGGAUUUUUACUGAAAAUAUGUUUUCUUCUUAAUUCUGAAUUUUUAUGUAACUUUAAAAAGUAAAGAUUAAAUUAAGGCUAAAAAAUUUAUUUGAUCUUUUUAUAUUUGUCAGGUCAACAACACUAAGUGUAAAUUUGAAGGGAAAGAUGAAGAUUUUAAAUCCAAAAAGUACAGGACUCAAAAUCUUAAAGCUAAAUAGAUUUAAAGCAUAAAAGAAGUCCAUUUUCAGGGUUAAAUCUGCCUGCCUAAGCUUAUUUAUACGGACAAGUAUUUCAAAAGAGUAAGAGCAAAGCAGAUGGCGUACCUUUUGGCUAUGAUCAAUAACUGAUAAUUUUCCCCCUUCUUAACAGAGCAAAGGCAGAAAGUAAUGAUUUGAGAAAGAUGACUUCAUCUUACUUUAAAAGAAAGGAAGUCUCGUGGAAACAGCUGAGUAAUGACUAGCCAACCACCAUAAAAUGUCGUAUACCAAAACAUAUUUUAAUGGGAAAAUAUUCGCUUUUACCAACUAAGCAAAGUGGUAUUUUCCAUUUUUAGUUUUGAGAUGGAAAGAAAAUGAGAUUAAGUUUAAUUAUAGGAUUAGUAAAUGACAAUUACAUCAUUAUUAAUUUCAUGGUUUUCUUAUGACCCCAAUUUAUAUAUAUAUUUUAUGGACAUAUAAAUAUUUCAUAUGUUUGCACUAACUCGGAUGAAUUGGUGCAAAUAUAUACUUGUUUUUGACAGAAAUGUUGGCAAUCAUAAAACAUAUAAAUGAUUUUUUACUCUAAUUAUCUCUAUUUACAACUCUAAACUAAAUAAAAUAAAUUAUAUCUAUUCAAUUGAUUGAUUAAAUAUAAUUUAUAUCUAUAUAAAAAAAUUCUAUAUAAUUUAGAUGUAAAAUAUACUAAAAUAGAAAAUAAACUAGAAAAUAAAAAAGGAGUCGAUAAUAUUAGUAAUAUUAUAUUACUAUAUUAAUAUAGAAUACUACAUAUGGAUCCAUACGUCGUUACAUUCCAUUUAGGAUUAGGCUGGGCAUAAUCGGGCCUCCUUUUUACAUAUCUCUUAUUAUUUAAGACCUUAUUCACCUCUUUUCUUUUUUUCUUUUAUUGAAUUGAGAACUUGUUAGAGGAAUCAUUACUGCAAGACAUAGAGGGAAGGUCAUAGGAGUUUAUAUUGUAAAAUUGAUUUUCGGUGAAAUGAAAAAGACAUGUUCGGUCCCUAAAAUAAGUUAUUAAAUAAAUGAAUUAUUAAGUAUCCAAGUAGUAAAUAAAGCUCUUGAAAGGUUGAGUGAAUGAGUUGAUCCAAUUGCAUGAGUAGUUUCAUGUAAGGUCAUUUUCCAAUUUUCCAAUUUUCCAAUUUUUUUUUUGUUUUUUUGCUUUUUCUUUCUUCAACCAAGUAUUCCUCAUAUAAUAUCUAUUCCUUUUGGAAAUUUUAUCUAAAAAGGAGUGGCUAGAAUCUACGAAAGCACACCACUGCCAACGUAGAAAAAGAAAUGCAAUAAUAAAGGAUGUUUUCAAGGCUUACAUAGUCAUAGGAGCUGACAGUAUCCGGUCCCUAAAAUGAAAAAAAAUUCAUGUAUAAUAUUUAUAAUUUAUAAUAUUUUAAAUUAAUAAAAGUAAAAUUAUACUUUGUUCUUCUUUAAAAUGAUAAAAAUUUUGAUUUAAUUCUUUAAAUAUUAUAAAAACUAUUAAAUUAAUUAAAUUGUACAUUUUUACAUUAAUUCCGAUAUCUCAAAAAUAUUUUUUGACUCCGCCACUGUCAAUAUCAUCUUUGAGAGAUACGCUAUUAAUUAAUUUAUAUGUAUGUCAUUAAUAAUUAUAAAAAAUUGACAUAUAUAAAUAUCUUUAAUAACUUUUAAAAUUAAUUGUUGUAAUUACAUCUUGAUCAUUUUUAAAAUUAAAUACUCAAAUAUUAAUUAAUUUUAUUUUUAUUAAAUUAAAAUAUCAAUUAUUCUUAUUGGUUGCAUUUUAAUUCAAGAAAAACUAAAAAAAAAAAACCUAUUUGGUUUUCAUUCCACGUUUCCGCAAGUCACAAUAAAGGAUUUUUUUCAUUAAUAAUAUAAAAUAAAUAAAUAAAUACAGGAUAGGAUAAAAAGAUUAAUAUUUAUGAGAAUAGUCAAAUGAAAUAGUGAAAUACCGGUGCCGGCUAACCAAUCAACGGCAUCACUUUAUUUAAAAAAAUUUGGGUGCAGCUUGAGCACUCGGCCUUACCAGGCUAAAAUGUGAUGAUCUAAAAAUUCCAGGGACCUUAUCUGUAAAUUUUCCGUUUUAAUUGACAGUCGAAAAAUCUUCAUGGGUGCCGCCUGACAGUAUGACAGCACCAAAUUAAAAAGGGUAAAUUCCACCCUAAACCCCCUAUUUAUUAUUAAAUUUUAUUCUCUUUUAACACCAAAAAGAAAUUGGCCUCUUAUCAAUUAGUCUAAAUUUUUUUUUUACUAAAAAGUAUUUUUUUCAAGUAAGUUGAUUCCAACUCGAAGUAAAUUUUAUUUAUUUUUAAAAAAAAAAUCACAUUAUGUUUGACAUUACAAUUAACUGUAUUUAUAGUAGUUUUCUUUUUCUCUCAUUAUAUUUGGAAACUAUAAAUUUAACUAAUAAUUAUAAUUUAUACAUAAUAAGAUUUUUUCUAAAGCUUUUAUAAUUAUAAUUUUAUACUGUGUACGUAAAUCAAAUGGAUAAUAAAAAUAAAUAUAUAUAUUUAAAAUAAAUAAAAUUUAUUUCUAAAUGGAAACGGUUUACUUACAAAAAUAUUUUUUGGUAAAAAAAAUUUAGACUAAUUUAUAAAAGGCCAAUCUAUUUUUUGGUGUUAAAGAAAAAUACUAAAUAAUAAUAAAUAAGGGGGAUUUAGGGUGCAAUUUAUCCUUUUAGAUCAUCACAUUUUAGUCUGGUGUCGCCGAUUGGUCAGAAAACACCGAUAUUUCACUAUUUCAUUUACCUAUUCUUGUAAAUAUUAUUCCCUUUAACCUAUUCUAGUAUUUAUUUAUUUAUUUAUUUUAUAUUAUUAAUGUAAAAAAACCCCACAAUAAAAUGUUCAUAAUAAUUAAUUCUCAAUAUGUAAUAUUGAUUUUCAAAUAUAAUGUUGACUAUAUUUAAUAAAAAUUUAAAAAUAAAAUAAUGUGAUUGAUUUCAUGUUUGAUAUUAUUUCACUUUUAAAACUUUAAAUUUUGAAGAUAUUAUUUGCUAAUUUAUGGUUAAUAUUAAAAUUUUAUUCCUUCAAUUCUCUAUAAACACAUAAAAAUAUCUCUUAUAUAUCACCAAUUUAAUUUAUAACUUUAAACAACUUCAAAUGUCAAAUUUACUAACAUUUUUUAUUCCAUAUUUUUAAUUUAUCAAUGUAUCUAUUAGAGCGAACCUAAUAAUUAACCCUCCACAUUCUAUAGGCCCAUUAACGGGAUAGAUGUUGGUAACGAGUUUUAAAGUUACUCCAUAUCCAGGACAAUGAUCGAACCAUUAACCACCGAUUAAAGUAGAAAAGGCUCUUGCCAUCUCAAGUGUAUAAUAGUUGACAAAGACGUGAAAAAUUGGUAAUUUUUAGUUUUACGAAAUCAACCUUGUGUACACUUUAUAAUUUAUUCUUUUGCCAUUUUACAUUUAAUAGCUAAUCUAUAUUUUAUUUAACAUAUAUUCCCAACAAAAAUUGUUCAACCUAAUUAUUGUAUACUCAAUAUUUUUACUUUUUUAUUAAGAUAAUGAUAUGCAGGGCGAAGUCAAAAAAAAUUUUGGGACAAAAUUAAAUUGUAUAUUUUUAUGAUAAUAAAAAUACAAGUUUACCAUUUUAAUAGUUUAUAUCUUUAUAAUUUUUAAAAGGAUAAAUCAAUUUUUUAUCAAUUUUAGGGGAGGAAAGUGCAAUUUUACCAUUACUAAUUUAAAAUUUUAUAAAUUAUAAAAGACUUAAAUGGAAAAUAUUCUAUUUUAGAGGACUAGGGCUUCGCCACUAAUCAUGUCUAUUUUUCAUUAAAUUAUUUACCUAAACUUUAAAACAUUUCUGUAAAUUUUUGUGUCUUUCAUUAGAUUGUGUGCAAUAGAAACCACCUCUACUCAAUUUAAUCAGUCCAAUUGGUUUAAUUGAAUAAACUAUUAAAAAUUAAAAAUUAUAUAUUUUAAAAAAUCAACUCGGUCGUUUGUUCAACCGGUUCGUGAAUCAACUAGUCUAAAUACUUAUUUUAAAUUGAGACAAUCUAAACUCAAAAUUAUCCAAAUUCUAAAUACUCAAACUUAAACCGGAUCAAAUAGGUGGUAAUCCUAAUCCGAAGAGAGACCGAUAUGAACCCAUUUGUCACUAGUACAUAGACGAUCCUUUGCUUAGAGAAGGAUAUUAGGGAAUGACAAAGUCUAUUCCCUUUCUGCAUGAAAUUAUGGUCCCAAUGUAAACGUUGUGUUUUAUUAGCAAAUAAAGGGUUAGAAAAAACGAGGUAAGUAUUGAAGAAUAAUACAUCGACUCUCUUUACAAUAAUGUACAUUAUUUGUAAGGCAACUAAAUGAAUACAUAGGGAAAAUGUUACUGAAAACGAAAAAAAAAUCAAUUACUGAAAAAUAAUGUAUAACCUCAUAGGUCAGAAUUUGAUUCUUAUUAUAACCACCAAUGCCAAUUUCCUUAAAAUGAAAAAAAAUUUCAUUUAGGCUCCUUUAUAAAUUAUAAAAUUUUAAAUUAAUAAUUGUAAAAUUAUAUAUAGACUAUUAAAAUGGUAAAAUUACAUUUUUACUAUCGUAAAAAUAUUCAAUUUAAUUUCAACCCUCAAAAUUAAUAUUUUUUUGACUUCACUACUAAUAAUCAACUUAGAUACUACAUUAAGCUGAAUGAGAAUUAUAUAAAAAUUAAAAUCAUUUAUUAAAUGAGGAUGUAGGCAUGUUGUUAAAAAGAUAGCCUCUCAUUGUUUUGCAUUGGAUUGAUUAUUUAUUUGUAUUAAAUUAUAAAGUAAAAGAUUUAAAGAUUAAAAUAUACUCGAAGUUUUUACAUACUUCGUACAUUUGAAACUUAGUUUCUUUAUUUUUACUUUCAAAAUUAAAAUUUAUCAAUACAUAAUCAAAGUCGUUAAUCCCACAUCAGAAAGAAAAAGAAUCCUAAAUAAAUAAUCGAGUGCACUGCAACAUAUCUUUUAGGAAGAAGGUAAUUAUCGAAAUACAUAUAUACAUUUGUGAUGGGUCUUGGGCUAUAGCUAGAUCUAUAAUAGAAUAAUUCAAAAUUAGAAAAUUUCAGAUCAUUUCAUCCAAAUCAGUUUCAAAUUUAAGUUUGAAAUUAUUUGAAGUUUAAAUUUUCUAAUAAGAUCAUAUCGAGUUUAUUUGAUCAAAGAUUUAUGUUCAAGUUGAUAAGGUUUUCAAAUCCAAAAAUCACAGAUCUAAUUGCCUUUGAUUCACAAUUUUUGAAGAUAAAAAAGGAAAAAAAAAAACUCAUAACAGUAUAAGUUGUUUAUAUUAAUUUAAAGGUUGAAUAACAUGGGGCUAUAUAUAUAUCUAUUAGUAUUUAACUUGGAAAAUAAUUUUAAAAUCUAAAAUGAUAUUAAAAAGUAUUGAAAAUAAAGUUGUUGGGAAUGACAAUCACAAAUCUCGAAAUGAUUAGUUUUCAUGAUAUAUAAAAAGCGAAUAUAAACAGUAAAAUGAUUAGUGAUUGAUAGUAAAGGAUAGGUAAGCUUACCGUGAAAAUAGUCGGAUUGAGAUCACGGAAUUCGCUUUCAUUUUCGCUUAUGAAUCUUCAGUUGCCCGAUUACGUACUGAAUGAUUACUUUCAUGGUGGCUUUCCUUCCUUCCUUUCUGUUCCAAAUCUGAAAAAUAAAAGAAUAAUAAAAGGGGAUCACUAAUGGCUGUUCUUUACCCCCAUACAUGCCUAGCCUAGUUAUGUUGCUAUAGGCAUAGCUAGUAUGCAGAAGGAAAAGGGCCGAAAGGGGCACUACAAAUGCGAAAGCAGAGCUAUGUACGGAGGGGGACUGGAUUAACACCUAAUCCAUUUGGUGCCAAACAUCAUCUGAGAGAGCAACAUUUGAAUUGAAACACAAAAUUGUGCUCAAGUGGGUCCUUUAUACUAGUGACCUUAGGUGCCUGCUGCACCUUUCUUGCAUCCAAUUGCACAACCCGUCAAUUCAACCCCAAUAUAUCAACUCUCUCUCUCUCUACCCCUCUCUCUUCAUUGCUCACUUGUGCCUGUAUCUGCAGAUAUAUGUGGCUAUAUCCAUUAACACAUUUGUAUCCAAAUUCAUGAUGAAACUCAGGAUUAAUACGUUACAUAUGUUAAUAAGAACAUAUUUUGCAGUGCUCCUAGCAUAGUCUUGUUGUAAGAUAAGUACCAUGUUUCACUGCUAGGAAGUUUUAUGAAGUAAGUAUUAUCUUGGGAAAAUCUUCAUCAAAAGGAAUCGAACCAUAAAAAUUGUAAUAGGUGUUGGACAAAACACGUUAGCGAACAAAAUAAUUAAUUAUAAAUAAACACAUAUGAAAUAAAAAAUAAAUAGAAUGAUUUAUAAUUAAUUUAUCAAAUACAAAAAUCAAAUAAAAAGUUGAAAUAAAGUAGAAUCGAGAUUUUACGAAAAGUUGAGGCCUGUGAAACACAGUUUCCUUAAGGUAAAUUUGGCCACUCCUACAGUACUUGGAGAAACGUUGGUCGAAUGUCUCCCAGGAUACAACAACAACAAUGAUCAAAGUAGUAGCACCUCUACAACGAUCAAGCAAACAAACUUUUUCUUUUUCUAUCACUGGAAUAUUGUAAAAAUACGGAGAGGCAAAAGAAGAGUUUUGAAAUGAACAGAAUUUCAGUAUAGGAAAUUAUUUGAAUGUGUGUGUAAUCCUCCAGAAUACACAGCAUUUUAUAGGCAUUUAGGAUAGUAAAAAAAUUUAGAAAUAAAUAUAAAAUCUGCCAUUAAGGAAAAGUCAAAUUAGAUUUAAAAAUUAAGGAAAUAAACAUAAAAAUCAAUUUGAUUUAAAAUUUAAAUCAAAUUAGAUACUGUCUAUAUAUAAGCAGAUUAUAUCUGCUGAGGAAAAAUAAAUUCUUGUUGGGCUUGCUUAAAAUAUCAGUAAGCCCAAUUAAGCUUGACCGGUCCAAACAUUUCGCAUUGCCCACGUCGUGCGAGUGCACCCCAAACCUUUCAAGUUUAGACCUAUACUUUCUACACACGAGACAAAGUUACAAACUUAAUCAUUCAAUUAUCUUUUAAGAGGGUUCACAUAUAUAAACCCAUCUCACACUUUUGUAUUUAACCCAUAUGAAUCCAAGCCUUUAUUUUUCCUCAACAAUAUUUCCAAGUAGCUUACUUUGAGCAUCAAUUUCUCAUUCAUCUCAACCAUUUUGAGCAUAUGAUAUAUCGUUGUAAAGGUCUCAUAGAGUAGAAUAUGAAACUAUAAUUUAUGAUUCAACUCUCCACUUUUACCUAUAGAGAAUAUGCCUUAAAGUUCCCAUAAAAAUUCAAUUUUUCGAACAACAGGAGUGUCUGCAUUUGUACUUUCAUAAUGGUAAACAAUCAUCGGUAUUCAUGCAUUGCGGGGGGGCCCGGGGGGGGGGGUUAAAAAAAGUUAAGGUAUGCAUUGUUUUUAGUUCAGACUGUAAAAAUUUUAUUGGCCGCAACAAUUGGUUACUUAUAGUAAUGUUAGGGGGGUCUCUUGGAAAUUCUGUGACCACACAAGGGUACCAUACUGCAAAACUUUGCUACCAUUACCAGUAUCAAAUGUGCAUCCCCCCACUUAAACAGCUCUACCUUCUUUCUUUUCUUAUUUUUUUUUUCCCUUUUGAUUUCUUUCUUGUGGUCCUCACAUUUGGCAAUUAUUGGUUCAAACAAGAUAAGCUCAUCACCAUCGUUCCUUAUUAAAAAACAAGUUUCAGUUUCGUCAGUUUUUAUUUUUUUCCCUUUACUGAUAUUUUUCAAAACCUACACAUUGCCUUGUUGUCAAUGACAAAUAUUUUGUUUGUUUAAUAAUGGUGGAUGGUGGCAUUAGAAUAUUACUGACUCGCAUGCUUGUUUUUCUGCGCUGACCUUAACUUGGUUAAAGUCUUAAUCCACUAACAAUGUGGAUACUACAAAGUUUUUUAGGUGCUUUAAAGAACUAAACUUUUAGUUUAACUAGUGAUCUUCUCAAUAAUAUAUAUAUACAACAUUUAUUUAAGGAGAAGGGUUUUAUACAACAUUUAUUUGUUUGUUUAUAGCAUAACUACAUCUACAUCUGAUGUAAUAUUAAACAGUUUAAAUUAUAAUGAUAUUGACACAAAAUUGAAGUUUGCAUACUUUUCUGAUAUAUAUACUGUGAUGAGCCCUGCAAUAUGGAGUAAACGAUCUUAAAGAUCAAUGUUCAAGCCUUGUUGCCUAAAUUCUUUGCCUAAAUUUUAUAAUUGAUUGAAUAAGUGUUGAUCCACUAUAAACUCAUCUGUUGAAGCAAAAAAAAAAAAAAAAAAAAUUAAAAAACUACAAAAAGACAUGUAUAUGCUGAAAUGACUAAGCCCAUUUUGCCAUCAAAGACAUAAAUCCAGCACCAAGUAAAACUGCAACAUAUGACCAAGCCUGGAGCUUCAUAUUUGUUUGAAGCUUAGGGCCCAGAAAAUCAGCUGCAAGGAGAUCAACCAGUGCCAUGUAGUUCAGCAACCCUGCUGAGCAAGCAUUAAGUAGUCCCACCACCAUAAGUGAAGUUGGACUCGUCUCACUGUAAACCUUGGACAAACCAUUUCCCAGAACUAUUCCAAGUGGCGUUGUGGCUGAAAAAAAGAAUACCAUGAUUGCUUUCAUUUUUAUCUCAUAUUCAGCCUGCACAUAUCAAACAUAAUGUUAAUCAAUAUUGUACACUAAAUGGAUGUUUGAAUGAGAAAAUAGUACAAUGUUGGGGGUUACCUGCAGUAUGCAUCCACCAAGUCCCAUCCCCUCAAACAUUUGAUGGAAGCAAAGGGCAGCAAUGAGUGAUCGAAUGGUGCAUUGAUUGCCAGAGGCUCCCAUUGCAAGACCAAUCACCACUGAAUGAACUACAAUUCCCAAAUCUAAUACCUACAUUUAGGAAAUAUAUAAUGUAAAGACUUGAAAAGCAAAACCAUCGAAUUUGAGGAUUCAAACAUGUAUAUAUACCUGAGCAAUAACUCGAUGCCUUAACAAUUGUGAUGAUACGUCGUCAUUCAUCUCAAGUGAAUGGCUAUGGCCGUGUUCAAAAUUAUCGAUUGGUACAACGUUCGUAUUUUCCAAUCCACCACCAUUGUUAGCAUCCGCCAUUAAAGCUUUACCGCAACGUUUCUUGUAUACACUCAUUGCAAAUGAAUCCACCAUAAGGGUCAACACAGCCGACAGCAUUGCGACGAAGGUUGUGAAAGGGAACUUCCUCCAUGGGUUUUCAGGCAAACACCCGGACAUAAGGUCGUUGAAAGAAUCCGCUAGCACGUGCAUGUACCCAGUCGCUAGAAUAACACCGGAGGAAAAUGCCUUGACAAUGGUGAACAAGUCUCUGCCGGGUUUAAGUGACGGAACCUGACCAGAAAACAAUGGUAGACACACGCCAAUCAUGCUGGAUAGUAAAAUUGCGACAAUGGCGAUGAUUUUUAGCUUCAUGGAUUCUCUGUAGUUAUGGCAUCCAUUAGUCUUGGUCUCUGCUUCACAUUGAGCCAAUACAAGUGGAGUAGAAGAUGAAAAGAUGAUGAAAAGAACAAGGAAGAUUGAAUUUGCAAGGGAUUUUAGAACUGAUUUCAUGGCUGCCAAGAAAGAUUUACAGUUACGUUGGAUUGUGAGGCUUAACCGACUGGUUUAGAGGGAAUGAAUAUAUACAUUUCAUGGCCAAAUAUUACUCGUAUUUUUUUUGCCUCAUUUGUAAUAUUUCAGAUUUGGUGAUAUUAUUGCGAUUAAAAUUUCUAAUAUGUCCUUACUUUCGUUGAUUAAGUGGUAAAUUUAACAAGAAAUGUGAUGGUAUUUUGGUAUUUUAGCCUCGAAAUAAGGAAACCUGUGCAUGGCGUGUGAUAUGUGUGACCCGCCUUAAACUUUCUCGACCUUUGACUUUUCUAAUAAUACUAAGCACACGUCAGGCGUAAGCCUUUCUGCUGAUGUGGAAAUUCUUUUUCCAUGCAACAAUAUUAUUAUAAUCAAUCAUUAAAUGUUGUCUUUAAAAUAUUUUUUUAAAAAAAGUUGUCUUUAAAAGUUGAAACAUAAAAUGAUAUUAUGAAAUAGUACUAGAUUAACAAUAUUGCAUCUUUAUUUUAAAUUAUUCUCCCAACUUUAAAAUAUUUUAAACUAUUUAUCUCAUCCUUUUAUUAUUGACACUAUUAAUUUAAAAUGAUAUUUUUAAAGAAAAGUAAAAUGUUGUCGAUACAACUUUUAAAAAUAAAAAUUAAAAAUAAAGUAGAAGAGAAAAUGAAUGAUAGUUUUUGUAAUACCUUCGAUACCUUGAAAUCAAUAUUUUUACAAUAUUCAUUUUUCUUUAAGUUUUUUAUUUUAAAUUAUGUCUCAUAAGAUUUGACGUCUCAUUUAAUGAUUUUAGCAGCAAAAGAACAUUAUUGAUAUAAUAUUGAUAAUUUGGAAAUGUAAUUUAAAAUAUUUUGAGUUUGAGGACUAUUUUAGAAGAAGGGCCAUAGUUUAGAGAUAUUUGGAGCAAUUAACUCUAAUAAUAAUGACAUGACAAAGUUAAAAAAGGUUAAGUUAGAAUUUUGGAGAUAUAUUAUUGGAAGAAAAGUCAAAAUUCAUAGACUAUAAAUAUUAUAAAAAUGAUAAACUAGAUUGCAGGUCACUCAACUAGCUUAAAUGACUGCAGACUAGAGGUGCUCAUGGGCAGGGCCCAGAAAAAAAUGUUGGCCCAGCCCGAAAUAUGGGCCUAAAAUUUUGCCCAGGCCCAGCUCGAGAAAAAAUUUAUAAGCCCGAGCCCGGCCUGGCCUAGCCUAUUUUUUAAAUAAAUACCAAAAAAUUAUUUUAAAAAUUAAAAAAACUAAAAAAAGUAUUUAAAAAAUAUUUUAAAAUAAAAAAGUAUUUUAAAAAUAUUUUAAAAUUAAAAAAUUAAAAAAAGUAUUUUAAAAAUAUUUUAAAAUUAAAAAAAUUAAAAAAUAAAUAUAUUUAAAAACUCCACUAACAAUGUACCAAAUAAUUUUCUAAUAAUAUUCAAAAAUCAAAAUUUCAAAAAAAAAUCAUAAAAAUUUAAAAAAAUAUAUGAAAUACACGGCAAUUGUUAUAUGUAUUUCAAAAUUUAGCAUUUCCGUUAAAUAAUAAUUUCACUCUUUUUAAAAUGUUGAUAAUCAAAUUCAACUCCUUUUAAAGAGUUUAAAGCCAAAUUUAACUAAAUAAAAAUAAAAAUCAAAUUAAUAGAAUAUGUAAAUAUUAAAGACUAAUUUUGUAUUAUGCAAAUAAUAAAUGUAAGUCUCUUUAUUUUCAUGCCCCUCUUUUUCUAGCUCCUACUCCUUAGUACUUUUGUGCCUUAAUAAUUCAACUUUCUUUGGUGGCAUAGGGGUAUGGAGGCAAAAAUAAUAAUUGUGUGACAUUGUCAAUUUUCUUCACUUCACAUGGAGGUGACCAAAAUGUUAAUCCAAAUUGCAGAGCUAUACCAUUUUGUACAUAAAAGACUUGCUAGCUUUGAAUGGGUAAAAAAUAAUGUGAGAGUAACUUUAAAUAAUUAUAUAAAACAUACUUUUUUUUUAUUUCAAAGAUUUUCUUUUUUGAGAUUUUCUUACCCAUGAAAUUAAAAAAAUUAAAAAAUAUCUUUUUUAUAUUGAACAAAUUGGUCACUCUAAAAGAAAUAGAGUAAUUUAAUCCUUAUCAAUUUUGAACAAUUAAUCAAGCGCUAAUAAUUUCUGUUAAUUAUACAUAAUUUUGAUUAGUAUAAAAACAAAUUUAAUCCUUGAUGAUUAUAUAUUUCGCGUAAAUAUUGAUAGAAUGUGUAAUUAUUAUGGGUUAAAUAUGUUAGAUCAUGAUCAAAUUGAUGAAAUGUGUAAAUGUUGUGAGUUAAAUUUGUUAAAUCAAUAACAAAUUUAUAGAAUGUGUAAACUUUGAGGGCUUAAUUUAUUAUUAUACCAAGAAAAUUUUGUAUAAUUGAUGAAAAACAUUAACGUUGUGAUUAUUUGUCCUUAAUUUAUCACUUUCAAAAAUGAAAGUAAUUGAAUAACUCUGAUAUUUUUAGAAAUACCAAUUUUUUCAAUAGCAAAAUUGAAAAAGAUUAGAGACAUGUUUUAAUAUAUUUUCUUAGUUGAAAUCAAUUGUUUUUUUGUUUUUUUUUCAACAAUGAGCAACAUAGACAACAAAUAAUGAAAUACAAAUCCCAAAUAAGAAUUAUAAAUUGGAUAUAAAAGAUAUAAAUAAAAAUUAAGACUAGACUCAGCCACGAAUGAGAAAACUACCUUUAAGGGAAAGCUGUCGCAGGAGAUGGCUUGGAACAUUUGCUAGAGCAUAUUUUGGAACGAUUUCAAACUGUUCCGAGGAGGUUGGAGGGUCUUGGGCUCUUCACCUUUCGUAACAAAUAUAAAUCUGCCAUUAUCGAAGUGCAUUAAUCCUUUUGUUUCUUUUGCUAGCGAUUUGGGGAGAGGCUCCUACAAGGCCAUCAACUCUUAUCGCAACAAAUUGAUUAGUGUAUCAGAUUCUCAUCAAUUAAAGGGUGUUGCUUGGAGCAAAGCAUCAAAACACCUUAAGAACCAAUCCAUAACCAAAUGGACAGUUACACUAAUAAACCAUAAACUCCAUGGAUUGGAAGACUUAGUUAAUUAUGGAUGAAAGCCGGCUUGGAAAUUCAUACUUGAGACCCGCCAACCUUGCAACGUAUAAGCAAGACAGUCAACAGUAAAAUCAGAGGAUCAACAACCAAAUGGCAACGACCAGUAAUGCCUACAACUGAAAAUUUAUAACUUGAUCAGAAUCCACGUAACAUUAGGCCCUGUUCUUCCAUCAGGCAAAUACCAACAACCCAUUGAUUCAAUUUCAGCCGUCUUUUCAGAAUCAGCCGUAUCAUUAAUAGAUAGCUGCCUAAUUUGAUCCCUCAUUAGGGAAUAAUAUAUAUAUUAUAUUUGUGAAGAUACUUGAUAGCUUUAAGCUGACAUUGAUAUGGUAACCCUCAAAAGUUGGUAAAUCCUUAAAACAGGGUUCUACUCAACCUUACUAGUAAAAGUUUACAUGUUUGUAGCCCAAUGCCGAGCAUGAUGCACUUGAAGUUCAAUUUUGAGGGUAUAAUGUGAAAUGGAACAGUUCAAAUAGUAGUUUUACAAAAACUGAAAUAACCUUUCACAUUUUACCAAAAGUUGCAGCUUCCUACUUCAGUAGAGCAACUCAACCUACAAUGAAAAGGGCGUCUCUGUGGUCAUUUUAUAAAGCAUUAGUUAAGCCAUGAUGAAAAUAGAAGAGUCAAUUACCAUUUGUUUUGAAUUCAAACGAAAUUGAGCUUUUCGCAUUAGCACCCAAACUUAUUUCCUUAUUCCAGCUUGGGCAACUGAUCAGUAACCUCCGUCACCUCAGAAUUUUGCACAUUCUGUGCAUGAUCAUAACAAACCAAGAAUUGUUCAAUUAACUAUGUAUGUAUGUAUGUAUGUAUGUAAAAACCCAUGAAUUUAAAUCCUUUAAAUGAUUUGUACCAUUUCAUCGAACAUAUGUUUUAUGGUAGUGUUAAGGUCGCCUUCCCACUGCAGUUCACCUUCCUCAUCUCUUGUUAAGUGCAUUUGUUCCAGCCUUGGUGUGCUUAAAUCUCCUUGGCAGAAAUUCCUCAUUUUGGGACACUUUGUCACCUUCACCAUUAGCAAGACUGGGAAUUCCAACGAGAGAUGGGCCAAGGAAAAGCUUGCUAGACGUGGCAGACAGCUUAGUUGCAAAUACUUCAGUUUGGGAAAUACAAUACCGCCUUGUAUUUCUUCAGCCUCACACGCUAUGAUUUCCUCCAUCAUCUCACAAUCAUCUAUGCUCAAUCUUUCCAGUAGCGUCAGACUCUUAGCUGUUAAGCAUGCGAUUAAAUUGAUGAACCCAUGGCAUCUUGAAACUUCCAGUGUUGUUAGAUUUUUGAAAGACAGCAAAGAUGGUUCAAAAGUCUUUAACGUCAACUCUGGAAGUUGAGACAAACGUAAUUCCUUUAGCUGAUAGAAUGCUGAUGUAUGCCUUUCCUGGUCGCUGAGUCCUUCAGAUUGUACUAUUUGACAAAUGGAAGCAUUGUCUAUAACAAGCUUAUGAAGCAUUGGUAGUGACCGAAUGAAGGAAUACGGAAGAGUAGUGGAUGUCUCAGGAAAGAACUGGAGGUUAAGAUGCUUAAGGUUUUGGAAGCACUGCAAUGAGAGUUGUCCAUCACAUAUCCCCUUCACCAUAUCAUUCGUCUUCAGUGUUAGUUUUUCUAAUACAGGGAAAGUGUCCUGGAUGGCAACGAAUAUAUUUAACAUCGAUCAAAGAGUUUUCAAUUCGUAAGAACUAGACUACAAAAUGAAUAUAAUUUCCAUUUUCUUUCUCAUAAAUUUAAAAGGCAUUUUAUAAGUAAUCUCCAGUAAUGAACAUGGAAUAUGAAACUGCUAGUGAGCUUACCUCGUUGACGCAAAACAAGGGUUGUUGGUUUGAGAUUCCAACCUGACUCACAGGACAUUGUCGAGUAAAUAUCUGUACUUUGGGGCAUUCAAUAAUGCUCAUUUGUUUCAAUGAAGGCCACUGGGUGGUAUGCAUCCUAGAGUAGAAACUUUUCAAUCUUGGCACCUUAUCCAAUCCAAGUUUUAUUAGUUUGGGAAAUACAAACUUGGUCGUCACUGUUUCAGCCACAAUAGAUUGAGCAGCUGAUGUUGACUGUGACUCAUCAGCAAUGAGUCCUUGCAGCUCAAUAAUUUCUUCUAACGAAUCACAAUUCUGAAUCCACAAGUUCUUCAAACUAGGGAAAACAACCUAAUAAAUCAUUUCAUUAGGUUAAUAACUGAAAUAUGUAUGAAAAAGAAAGAACAUCAAAUGAAUAAAAUCAAUCGAAGUAACAUAAAUUAAAAGGAGGAUCCUUGAAGAAAUUACCUUUUCAUUGAGGAGAGAUGAGUUAUGAACCUCCAAGUUACUUGCCCGUACAUGUUGGCCAAUUUGAGGUUUAUCUCCGGGUACACAUUUAGAGAUGAAUGUUUUUAGCAAUGGACAAUUUCUUAGUGAUAAAGAUUCCAAACAGCGAAAUUCAAAGUAAUUUUCAAAGCACAAACUUGUGAGUUUGGGAAGGUCCUCAACCAAUCCAUCCGUGAAUAUUACUUGUUCCAUCAUAUUACAGUCCGAAAUGCGAAGGGAUCGGAGUUGCACAAGAUCUUUUGCUAAGAAAGACGGGAACAGGUAUUUCAAAUUGUGACACCUCUUCACCUUCAAGAAAUUUAGGUAUCCCAUAGAUGGGGAGGAUGAGUGGUGCCAUAUCUUAUGAAUGUUGAUGGAGGACAAAUCCAGACUGUUCAAACUAGGAAUGACAACCUGUUGACAUAAAUAUCAUUAUAAGAUAGUAUCACUCUUCCUUCUUUACUUUGAAAGACAAUCAAAACGAGUAGAUGAGUAUGAAGAUUUAUAAACUGAUCUAAAGGUUAAUAUUCACACAUCAACUAGACAGUUAAAAGUAACCAAAAUUUUUUGGUUAAUUAUGAAAAUGAUCCAACUUAAAAAUCAUGUACGUAAAUGACUUGAUUUCUAUAGUGCUUACUGCAUCGGCCCCCAUCAUCAGUCAAUGAUUGCUUUUUAAAAAAAAUUGUAGUGGUGUUGCCUAAUAAAUUGAUGGCACCAGACUGAAUGUGGUUAUAUAAAAUGUGCAAGGAUCCUUUAAAGCGGUUAACGUUUUUAGAUUGAUUGAAAAAGGGGUGUCAGUUGGUAUCUGAACUAAAUUAAAUGUUUUUCAACAUUUGACCUAUUUGCAUGUUACAUUUGUCCUCUUUUGAAAUUAGAUUUAAAUAGCACUUAAAAAAUAUAAGAAUAACAAAAUUAAACCCUUUUUUUUAAAAAAAAUACUUAAAAAAUUAUAUAAAAUUCUAAUUCAAAUUACCCAAAUAUAUUCCUUAAAAAAUUUCCUUAAGUUUAUCUAAAUUUAAAUAUGCUAGGGAAUAAAUUGAAAAUGCUUGAAUUUAGAUAAAGUUUUGGGUAAUUUAAAUAAGAAUUUUAUAUAAUUUUUUAAGUUUAUUUUUUUAAAAAUAAAAUAAAAUAAAUGAGAAUGAUUUAUUUUUGUUAUUCUUAUAUUUCUUAAGGGUUAUUUAAAUUUAAUUUCAAAGGGGGAUAGACCUAACAUGCAAAUAGACCAAAAGAUGAAAAUCAUUUAAUUUGGUGCCACAUAUUCACGGGAAGACCCCUUUUUCCGCUAAUUAAAAAAGGGUAAUUACUUCGUUAAGUCCAUGAACAUUUUAUAUAAUCACACUUUAGUUUGAUAUCGCCAAUUUUUCGAACAACACUACUAAAAAACUAUUAUUUUUUAAAUAAAAUACAAUCAUUGAUCGAUGAUGGUAGGUCGGUGCCGCCAUUGUGUCUGGCGGCACUGGCGGCACCGACAAACACUAUAGAAAUCGAAUAAUUUAUGUACAUAAUUUUUAAAUUGAAUCAUUUUCAUAAUUAAUCAAAAAUUUGAGUUACUUUUAUAAAAACCCGACAGGUAAAUUUAAGUAAUUAUAUUGAAUUUUUUUUCUUUCAAUGAUUUUUUCUAUAUAUGAAAUUAAAAAAAAGAAUUAAAUCUUUAAAUAAAACCCAUCCACUCUCUCACUUCAAUUCUCCUCUAUAUAUUUGGUUCUUUCUUCUUCAAACUCCUCACCUUUUGUUUUCAUGCUUCUUCUUCUUUGAUCUCAAAUAUGAAAACUAAUAUUUUAUUACCUUUAAUAUAAAUUUCAUUGAAAUAUUUUUAACGUAAAUAAUAAGAAGAUGAAAACUGACUCAAUUUGGAUUUAUAAUUAAUUAAAAAUUUAAAAUACAUUAAAUAAAAUAUAUUACAUUUAUUAAAAAAUAUGGUAAAAUUUUAAGGCAUUCAUGUGUAAAAAAAUUAAGCCUUUCACAUAAGAUUAUCUCAAUUGGUCAUAAAGCCAUUAGUUUUAUAUAUCAUAAUAUGUAAGAUUUUAUUAUUUAAGUUGUUGUCUUUUUUGUUCACAAUAUGAUUUCAGGAUCACAACUAAUUAAUUCAAGGUAAUUGUUUUUUUUUUUAAACAUGCAUCACAAUAAAUUAUAAUGCAAAAAUAUUAUUUAAAUAAAGUUUUAUAGUGCAUAUCAUUUAUAAAAUUUAUUCAAGAUGGGAAUAUUUUAUUUUAAAACAUAGGUUAUUUAAUUAUAUAAAUUCAGAUUCACCAAUCUAAAAGGUGAUUACAAUCGAAUCAUGCCUUAAAUCGGGUUUAAAUUAGACUUUACCGAGGAGGUAAUUAAGGGAUGAGGGCUCAUUUCAAGCCCUCCGUCAUCUAUAAAUGGAUAAGUCGGAUAUAGUGUCUACACUCUACUUAAAUACGACCUCAACACCCCUACACCACCAUUUCUAAUUGCUCUUUGCACCGUCUACAAUGUGAACCACCUUUAUUUAAGUGACUUUUCACACUCAUAUAGUGUAAACAACUACAUUGUAUAGUUCUACAUUUAGUAUUGUUAUAAUAGAGUGAAAAGAUAACAUCUUCCUCGACUACUUCGAAGUAGUUUCCCUUUUGAACAAAUUGAGAGUAACUACUAUAUUAAGCCACCUUCGUCAUGAAUAGCCUAGUGGAAGAGUGAUACAAGUUCACAAUAACCACUAUAUCGGCAAUGUCAGAAGCUACCAAAGAUGCAUUACCUUAAGCAAUCACUAAUAUCUACAUCAUAGCCUCAUCACUGUGAGGUUAUGUCGGCAACAAACUCCAAUCAACCAUGACAAUGCCAAAAGCUCCCAAAAGAUCCUUUUGCAUUGAUGAUGCACUAGAGUAAAUUUCAUAUAGCACAACAUCCUCCUCAUCAUUUUGAAAACCAAAACCAGCAUACCGGAAGUGAACAACAAUUAAAAGAAACUCAAACUAAAAACAGUAUCACAAUUUUCAGAUAAAAAAAAGUAAAUUAUUGACACCAACAUUGCUUACAAAGAAAGUAUAAUGAAUUUUUAUUUAUGUACAUACUUUUCCAUUCAAUAGUGUUUUCUUUCGUUGAAAUUCGAUGGUAAUAAUUAAUUUUCUCGUCAUGGGUACUCUUCAAAGAAAUAAAUGACUACCCAUAAGGAAAAAUAGUUAAAACGAGAGUAAAGAAAAAUAAAAACCAAAAGCGAAAAGAGGAGAAAAUUAUACUAUCGGGAUAUUGAAAUAUAACAAUUUCUUCAAUAAAUUAAUUUAAGUAAUUCGAUGGUUUUAGGAAUUAGUGGAGAUUGGCAUUGGAAACAAAAUAUUAUUUUUUUACUUUUAAAAAUCUAAAAAUAAAAAAAAGGGGGAUAUUUUGUACAAGUGAAUGAUAUUUCAAGGUCUUCCACAAUUAUCUCCUUCUUAAUUCUUAUACACCCACAAAUUAAAAAAAAGGGAGAUUAGUUUUCUUUUUUCUAUUAUUAUUUUAUUAUUUAUUGUCUAUUACUAUUUAAUUUAAAACUUCUCUUAAAUUCUUAUUUUUAUUAUUAUUUCACUUUAAGUUUUCCUUUCAAUUCUUAUUUUUUAUAUUUAUUUAUACUUUAAACUCCAGUUUUUUUUAAAUAUUAUCUUAUUUAUUAAUAUAUGGAUUUUAUUAUAUUCAAUUUUGACAAGGUGUAGCACUAGUAUGUAUAUAUAGAACAGACACACUCAUGUUGAUCAAAUCAAAAGAAAAUGUGAAAUAAGUUGUGCAGAUAAAUAUUGAAUACCAAACUUACCUUAUUGCUGAAAAGAGUUGCAGUGUUAUCAUAGAUGCCUCCUUCGCCAACCAAGUUUUCACUUGCAUCACCACACUCUCUUGAAACUGAGGAAGAAAAUGCAAUCAUUUUUGGACACUCAGCUAUCUUGAUAGCACUCAGCCGUGGAAAUUCAAGAGCUUGACUUCCCCAAUGGAAAUUUAUCAAGUUGGAACACGACUCAAUUGUUAUGGAGUAGAGCGCAAGAAAUGUAAAUUUAUGUGUCAUUGCUUCCUCCUCCUCCCUAACUACUUGUUCCAUUGAACUGCAUUCUUUCACUUCUAUACUUCCUAGUGGAUUGAGGCUCAAAAGCAUAGACGGAGUAAAUAUGUACUUCAAGCUGCUACAUUUAUAAAACUGCAGGCUGCUAAGGUUUUUGAAGCCCAAAACUUCUUGAGGGUUUCUGGUCCAUAUUUCUAUCGACUCCGGAGAUGUGUCAGAGAUGUUGAAAUCACGUGGGCCAUGGAGUCCACCCUAAAAAUUAAUCUGAUAUUAUUCCACUAGAUAGCAAUCAUAAAUAGAAAAUGCAGACAAUAACAAAAUAACGAUUUAACACUCUUCAAUGGUUAUUGAAGUAGAGGACACGAGGAAUCUAGCUAGCAUUAUGAACUUAUUAACUUUGUACCUUUUCUGUGUAGAGCUGUUGUAUGGUGGUAUUAAGGUCACUUGUCCAACUCCAUUUCUCACCGUAACGCGACUGUUUUAUUCUCUGUAAUUGUGGGGUGCUUAAAACUCCCUCAGAAAAGAUCUUUAACCAAGGACAAUCUUCCACAACUAAUUCUUCCAAACAAGGAAACUCGAAGUUGUAAUACCGUGGACAAAAGCUUGUGAGGCUCUUCAAAUUGCAUAGUUGUAAACAUUUCAAUUUACUAACAACUAUUGUCUGAUGACAGUCUCCCUCGUUUCCCACUAUUUCUGUCAUUUUAGUGCAGUCUUCUACCUUUAUUGUCGUUAAUUGCACAAGAUUCUUAAGUACUGAGGGUGUAACUAAGUUUGUCAUCAUUUUACAAAAUGACACAUUCAAAAUUGUGAGAUUUUGUAAAGAUGAUGAGAAGACUCUAAUAUUUAUCCAAUCAUCACAAUGCUGAACUGUGAGUGUUUGAAGAUUAGAAAGAAUAUGGUCAAGCUCCGAAUCUUUCCUCCAAAUAUGAUUAAGAUUUGUGGCAGAAAACAAUUUCAGAUUUCUAAUUGGUGGGAGAGUCCCGGCGUCUCCUUUACAAGGGACUACAUGUUUGAAAUCAAAAUAAGAAAACUCAAGUCUUUCCAGAUUGUAGAAUCUUCGGACGAAAGGAAAUAAAGAAAAUGGAGAGCCACCACUCAGUGCAAAAACUUUAAUGUGUUGAAACAAGUCUGGUGGAAAUUGGUCCAUAUCACCAAAAUUUCGUAACUCAAGUUCCUCUAAUUUGGGAAUGACCUUGGAAACCAAUUAAAUAUAAACAAGUUAGGCUCAAUGUUGAUGUAUAUGCUUUAAAAAAACAAAAAAAAAAAAAAAAUUUACAAUUUUAGUGUUUGAUUUUGAUGAUUAAAUCCCAACAAAAUCAAUAUUAAAUCAAACGAAUCCAGAAUAGAUGAAUUUUUUGUUUUAAGAAAACACAAUACCUUGAGAAUUAAAACUGAUAAAAAUUACAGAACAUGAAAGCCGAAAGAAGAGUAGCAAAUCUAGAUUAAAAUAGAUAAACAACCAUUGUUAUAUAUAUAUAUAUAUAUUUUUUUUUUCUAUGAUAAAAAAUAUAAGCAGAACAGUGGAGAUAAAACACCAACGUUUUAAAAUAUUACACUGAUUUAAUUUGAUGGUUAAAUUAACGAAUUUAAUAACAGAAAGACGUAAUUGAUAUAACCUCAAUAGUUUUAACCCUCAAUAUUUAUACAUUUUAUCAAAUUGAACUGCAUUCACUCAAUAUUUACCUAUUAUGUUUAUUCACACUUGUUUUUAAAAAAAUUGAAAAAAUAAUUAUAAAUGUAACAAAAAAAUUUAAAAUAUAUAUAUAUAUUGAAAAUUCAAAAAUACGAAAAAAUAUCCAAAUCAAACAAAAUAUAAUAAUUAGAAAUGCAUUAUCGUGGCAUAUUUCAACUUGAGAUGCUUGUGGCAGUGGUUUAAAUCAUAAAAAGAAAUAUAGUUGUUAUGAUAUACAUACCUCUUCUCCCAACAAAACUGGCUGCUCAUUUCCUUGGAUUAAUCUAAGAUGUUCCGAUGCCACUAUCUUUAGCAAAGCAGAACUAUCUGUUCUCAAUUUUUUCAACAUCGGCCAGACUAUUGUAUGUUGCCCUUCAUAGAAACAUUUGAGCUUUCCUACCCCUCUAACCUCAAGGUAAGACACUUGCGGAAACUCAAACCUCACAGGCUGCUCCUCCACUCCAUCCCCUUUCGAUACAAUCUCCUCAACUCCACAAUUAGUGAUGCGUAAAUCUUCAAGUUGUGGAAGAUCUUUGGCUAUUGAUACUGGAAAUAGAUUUUUCAAACUCCCACAUUCCCAAACACUUAUUUUUAGUAGAUUUUUCAAGGAACCUGGUGCUAGGUCAUUAUAAAAUAUCAUCUUCACAUUACUCAAGCCAAAGAUAGUUAUGUCUUCCAAGCUAGGAACUGCAACCUAUUCAUAUAUACAUAUAUAAUCCAUGCCCAUAAUAAGAAUAAUGAAGGCAGAAAAAAAAAACAAGGACAAAUCAACAGAUUUAUGCAAGAGUGUAAGACAAAUGAAAUAAAUCACCUUCUCACUGAAGAGAGCGUGCAUGCCGGACUGAUUACUAUUCUGACUAAUGAAUUCUAUUAACUCGGGGCAACGCCCAAUCUUUAGCACUUUCAACAAUGGGAACUCAAUAUUGUGGUUUCCUGAGUUGAAGAAGAUGAGGUUUGGAAGACCCACUAUUUGCAGGGAGUUUAAUCGAGGGAAACAAAUCACAUCUUUCCUUUCUUCUUCAAUUUCCUCUGUAAGUAUUAUGUCCCUUAAGCACUUGCAAUCCUCCACUCCAUCCCCUUUCGAUACAAUCUCCUCAACUCAACAAUCAGUGAUGCUUAAAUGUUCAAGUUGUGGAAGAUCUUUGGCUAUUGAUACUGGAAAUAGAUUUUUCAAAUUCUCACAUCGCCGAACAUUUAUUUUUCGUAGAUUUUUAAAGGAACCUGGUGCUAGGUCAUUAUAAAAUAUCAUCUUCACAUUACUCAAGUUAAUCUCCAUGUCUUCCAAGCUAGGAACUGCAACCUGUUCAUAUAUAUAUAUAAUCCAUGCCCAUAAUAAGGUUAGCCCAAAUAAUGAAGGCAGAAAAAAAAAAACAAGGACAAAUCAACAGAUUUAUGCAAGAGUGUAAGACUACUGAAAUAAAUCACCUUCUCACUGAAGAGAGCGUGCAUGCCGGACUGAUUACUAUUCUGACUAAUGAAUUCUAUUAACUUGGGGCAACGCUCAAUCUUUAGCACUUUCAACAAUGGGAACUCAAUAUUGUGGUUUCCUGAGUUGAAGAAGAUGAGGUUUGGAAGACCCACUAUAUGCAGGGAGUUUAAUCGAGCGAAACAAAUCACAUCUCUCCUUUCUUCUUCAAUUUCCUCUGUAAGUAUUAUGUCCCUUAAGCAAUAGCAAUCCUCUAUCUCAAAGCAUUGGAGCUGCACCAGACUUCUAGCGAGAGAGGGUGAUAACAGAUGCUCCAACUUGCCGCAUCCUUUGAUGAUCAAGCUCCUCAAAUUCGUAACCCAAUGACAUGUCUGGUUGUGCCAUAUUAUUUUGGUGUUAAUGGAACACAAUUACAAGCUUUCCAAGUGAGGGAAAAUAAAUUGCACAUACUUUCACACAAUUCUUUUUCGAUAGGGAAAGAUCGUAUGUAACAUAAUUUGAAAAUAUGAUUUUCGAUUUUAAAGAUAAUUUUAGUUCAAUUUGUGGGCUCAAAUUUUAUUUCAGAAUUAAAAAAAAAAUUCUUGGGUUUUGUUGCGGAAAGGAUCGAUUCGUGAACUCCGAUAUGACUACAAGUAAAUUGACCGAAACGAAAAAUAAAGUGAACACAAGGAUUUACGUGGUUCGGCUUUAAUGCCUACGUCCACGGGCAGAGGCGAAAAGAAAUUUCACUAUAACAAGAUGAAGAUUACAAGUGUUUUACACUCAAGACACAACCCGAGAACCUCACAACUCUCAACCCCUAUAGAAAACCCGAAAGCUAAAAUCCUAGCUUUCAAAGAACAAGCUUUGCUCUCUCUUGGUUUGGGAUGAUCAAUAUGGCUAAUGAACCUCUCUAUUUAUAAGAGAGUUCAAGGACAUAAUUGUCCAAAACUUUGGCAAAGAUUUGUGGUUGAAAAUGGACACCAACAACCAUCCACUAAUCCACUACCACCAACAACCCACUACCAACAACAACAAUCCACUACCAAUUUUAAGCCAUUUCUUAACAAAUCUCCACCUUGGCUUGAAAUUUACCAAGCUGAACAUCAUAGUGAAUUCCUCGAACUGGAUCACCUCUUCCAAACGCCUCUCUGGCGCUAAUCAAUCCCGAAUACCUAUCAAGUCCAAGCAAUGCUUGAACUUAUAUGCAGGGAUCACCUUAGUUAACAUAUCUGCAGGAUUCUUCUCGGUAGCAACCUUGCUGAUAACAAUGUCACCUUGCGUAACAUGUUCCCGAACAAAAUGAUAUCUGACAUCAAUGUGUUUGGUCCGUUCAUGAAACAUCUGAUUUUUAGUCAGAUGUAUGGCACUCUGGCUAUCGCAAAAUACAACAGUGAAAUCCUGUUGUAAACCCAAACUGCUUACUAGACCUUUCAUCCACAAUGCUUCUUUCACUGCUUCUGCUAACGCCAUAUAUUCCGCCUCAGUCGUAGAUAAGGCUACGGUAGACUGUAACACAGCUUUCCAACUAAUGGCUCCUCCAGAAUAAGUGAAAACAUAACCCGUCAGAGAUCUUCUUUUGUCCAGAUCUCCAGCAUAAUCAGAGUCCACAUAGCCCGUGACACUGCUAGUGCAGUCACUCUGAUCAUAUACCAAGCAUAAAUCUGCAGAACCUCUCAAGUACCUGAGAAUCCAUUUCACGGCCUGCCAGUGUUCCUUGCCAGGACAACUCAUGUAUCUGCUGACCACACUAACUGCAUGUGAAAUGUCUGGACGAGUGCAAACCAUUGCAUACAUCACGCUUCCAACUGCACUCGAGUAUGGAAUGUGAGACAUUUGCUGCUUUUCUUCAUCAGAUUGUGGUGACAACUCUGCAGAGAGUUUGAAAUGUGGUGCCAACGGAGUACUCACAGUUUUCGCUUUAUCCAUGCCGAAGCGUUGAAGAACCUUUUCAAUGUAGUUCUUCUGCGACACACGAAGCUUGCCCGCCUUGCGAUCUCUGUGAAUAUCCAUGCCCAAAAUUUUCUUGGCAGCACCCAGAUCCUUCAUCUCGAACUCACCACUCAACUGCGACUUUAACUUGUUGAUUUCCGACAUGUUUUUGGAAGCAAUUAACAUGUCAUCAACAUACAGCAACAAAUAAAUGUGCGAACCAUCUGAGAGCUUCCGAUGAUAGACACAAGCAUCAUAGUCACAUCUUGUGUAACCAUGCUGAAUCAUGAAGCUAUCAAACCGCUUGUACCACUGCCUUGGGGAUUGUUUCAAUCCAUAUAAAGACUUCUUUAAUAGACAGACAUGGUCUUCUUUACCAGGAACUGUAAAACCCUCUGGUUGACGCAUGUAGAUUGUUUCCUCGAGCUCACCAUGCAAGAACGCCGUUUUUACGUCAAGCUGCUCAAGUUCUAGAUCAGACUUGGCCACCAUGGCAAGUAAUACACGAAUGGAAGAAUGCUUUACGACUGGGGAGAAAACUUCAUUGUAGUCAAUCCCCUCUUUCUGAGUGAAGCCUUUAGCAACCAAUCGUGCCUUGAAUCUAGUUGCUUCAACCCCUAGGAUGCCUUCCUUUUUCUUGAAGACCCAUUUGCAACCAACUAUCUUUUGGUUACUUGGCGGCUUAACCAACUCCCAAGUAUGGUUCUUGUGAAGAGAUUCUAUCUCCUCACUCAUAGCAAUUGCCCACUGUGCCGACUCAUCACACGUGACAGCCUCAUUAUAACUGGAAGGUUCUAUACCAAUGGACUCCGCCACACUGAGCGCGAAAGACACCAGAUUAGCGUAACGCGGAUUUGGUUUGAUUUGUCUCUUCGUUCUUCCAGUGGCAAUGCUAUAUGGUUUUUCUUGAGGUGACUCAUCUUCAUCGGAAUCUUGCACCUCAACUUGAUCAUCCUGGACUGAAGUACCUUCCGUAGGAAUUGGAGCGUCCACCUGACACUCCACCUGCUUCUCAACACCGUGAUCUCCCAUUCUAUCUGACUCCUCCUUUUCCCGGGAAUUUGUGGUGGAUCGAAGCAUGGAUGACUCAUCAAAAGUCACAUCUCUGCUGAUGAUGAACUUGGACGAAACCGGAUCAGGACACCACAACCUGUAUCCUUUCACCCCUUGGCCGUAUCCAAGAAAUAUGCAUUUCUUCGCCCUCGGUUUGAGUUUUCCCUCAUUUACAUGAGCAUACGCAGGGCAGCCAAACACUCUUAAACCAGAGUAAUCAGCAGGAGAACCAGACCAUACUUCCUCAGGAGUCUUCAGCUCAAUAGCUGUUGACGGAGAUCUGUUAACCAAAUAACAAGCAGUAUUAACAGCUUCAGCCCAAAAUUCUUCACCGAGCCCAGCAUUUGAUCGCAUGCAACGAGCUCGCUCCAAGAGAGUUCUAUUCAUGCGUUCUGCAACUCCAUUUUGUUGUGGUGUUCGACGAACAGUGCGGUGUCUCACUAUUCCUUCAUUUUUGCAGAACUCAUUGAAUUCACCUGAGCAAAACUCCAAGCCAUUAUCCGUCCGGAAUCGCUUGAUCUUCUUUCCUGUUUGAUUUUCGAUCAAAGCUUUAAAUUGCUUGAAGUUGAUGAGAACCUCAUACUUGCUCUUCAGAAAAUACACCCAAACCUUUCUCGAGUAAUCAUCGAUAAAGGUAAGCAGAUAUCUGUAACCACCUUUAGAAAUUGUCGGAGAAGGCCCCCAAAGGUCAGAAUGGAAGUAAUCCACUGUGCCUUUUGUCUUGUGAAUCCCAGUGCUGAACUUUACCCGAGUCUGUUUACCGAAGACGCAGUGCUCACAGAAAUUCAACUUUCCUGUACACUGCCCAGACAAUAAUCCUCGUUUGCUUAGCACCGAUAAGCCUCUCUCGCUCAUAUGCCCGAGCCGCAUAUGCCAUAACUUCGUGGUGUCAGAAUCUAGAUCAUCUGAUGAUGACACUCCCGCAACACCUGUAACCGAGGAACCAUCGAGGAAGUAAAGGCCCCGCUCCAAAUUACCACGUAUCACAGUCAAAGCACCCGAGAAUACCUUGAGAACUCCACCUUCAGCAGAGUACCGAAAGCCUUUCUUGUCCAACGUACUCAAAGAGAUCAAAUUUUUCUUCAUUUCUGGAAUGUGCCGAACAUCAGUUAGAGUUCUAACAAUACCGUCAAACAUCUUUAUACGAACUGUGCCAAUCCCCAUGACUUGACAUGCGUGGUCAUUUCCCAUUAGUACUGAACCAGAAUGCUUCUCGUAUGUUGAGAAUGCAUCUUUCGAAGUACUUAUAUGAAAUGUAGCUCCCGUAUCAAGAAUCCAUCUCCCACCAGCGUAAGAGUCGGAUACUGCAAGAACGAUCUCGGCAUCACUUGAAGAAUCUGCAUCAGCUACAUUCGCACGAUCAUUUUGUUGCUCCUGUGAUUCUGAUUUCUCCUUCCUUUUCGGACAAUCUACCUUCAUGUGCCCGUACUUCUUACAGUAGUAGCACUGUAUUCUCUUCUUGGACUGCGAUCUAGGAUGGCUUUUACUUGAACUUCCACCCUUUGCCUUGGAUCUUCCUCGAGCAACCAAGCCUUCGCCUUCAUUGUUUUCGACCACCUUACCAGUGAUUUUCUUCCUCAACUCACUGGAACUUAAGGCAUUUUUCACCUCCUCUAGAGUCAGGUCAUCACGACCGUACAUCAUUGUAUCAACAAAAUUCUCAUACGAGGGAGGCAAAGAACACAAAACAAUUAUUGCUUGGUCCUCAUCAUCGAUUUUGUUAUCGAUAUUAUUCAAAUCCAUGAUAAUGGAAUUGAAUUUAUCCAGGUGCUGGGAAACAGGUGUACCUUCCUCCAUCUUCAGGGCAUAGAGUCUUUGCUUGAGGUAGAGCCGGUUCGUCAAUGACUUCGUCAUGUACUUGCUCUCUAACCGGAGCCACAAACCGGACGCGGUUUUCUCAUCCGCUACUUCUCGUAGCACUUCAUCUCCUAGACAUAGCAGAAUAGCACUAUGUGCUCUUUCUAGCAUGUCAUCCUUUUGCUCUUCCGAAAGCGUGCUUGGUAAUUUAUCUUUACCAGACAAUGCUUUUAGCAAUCCUUGUUGAACCAGCACUGCCCGCAUCUUGAUGCGCCAUAAACUGAAACUAUUUUUCCCGGUAAAUUUCUCGACAUCAUACUUAGUCGAUGAAACACUUGUAGCCAUAAUUUGGAACCUUUGAAUGAAUGAUAAUAUUUUCUUCCUGAUGUGAAAGAUCAGACAAAGCUGCAGUCACAGGGCAAUUCAGAAAAUAUUAUCACUCCUUCAACUACGCUCUGAUACCAAUUUGUUGCGGAAAGGAUCGAUUCGUGAACUCCGAUAUGACUACAAGUAAAUUGACCGAAACGAAAAAUAAAGUGAACACAAGGAUUUACGUGGUUCGGCUUUAAUGCCUACGUCCACGGGCAGAGGCGAAAAGAAAUUUCACUAUAACAAGAUGAAGAUUACAAGUGUUUUACACUCAAGACACAACCCGAGAACCUCACAACUCUCAACCCCUAUAGAAAACCCGAAAGCUAAAAUCCUAGCUUUCAAAGAACAAGCUUUGCUCUCUCUUGGUUUGGGAUGAUCAAUAUGGCUAAUGAACCUCUCUAUUUAUAAGAGAGUUCAAGGACAUAAUUGUCCAAAACUUUGGCAAAGAUUUGUGGUUGAAAAUGGACACCAACAACCAUCCACUAAUCCACUACCACCAACAACCCACUACCAACAACAACAAUCCACUACCAAUUUUAAGCCAUUUCUUAACAGGUUUAAAUUUAGAUUAUUGAAUUGACUUUGUACUUUCAAUCGGUUUGAAUUAAAAAUUAAAUUUUCAUUUGUUUUGGAUUUGAAAUUUCUUUUUGAGCUCCGGAAAAAUCAUUACACAAUAUUAUUUAUUUCUAUUAUUAGAAAUAUUAAUGGGCAUAUAAAUAAAAAUUGUAUAAGGAAAUAUAAGUAAAGCCAAACAAAUACCUGUUUAUUGAAAAGUAGUAAGGGCUCAGUGGAACACCUUUCGUCUGGAGAGCAAAAGCUAACGAGUUGCUGUAGAUUUUCAAAUUUGAUGAAGCAUAAUUCAAAAAAUUUAAUUUUGUUCGUUUUAAUAUAUUGGACAUGCCUACCAUUUUCGACAUGAAGGCUCUUUAAAUUUAGAAGAUCUUUUCCAUUAUUUAACUCCAUAAGUACAUUCUUGACGCCUUCAAGUCCCUCUAGGCACAAAUCUUCUGUCUUUAUCAACAACUUUUUCAUCCCAUUGUCCAAAUCAAUGUUUGUAUAUAACUUGAGCUUCAAUGCUUUUGGAGAUUCAUAAUUAUCGCAACAAUCAGAUAUUCCAUAAUUACCUACGAAAAUCCUGAAUCUGUCCAAUGUUUCAACAAACCGGUGUUUUGGUAUCAUUUGGACAUCAAGAAUAUGAACAUAUAAAGUAGUUAGACAAGGCAAAUUGUUUAAUUCAUCAAGGCUUGCAUUUUUCCUCUCAUUUUCAACUACUCCUCCCUUUUCCCAUUCAACAAAGCUCCCACUCAUAUAUAAUUCUUCUAAUUUAGACAAACCUGAUAAGACAUUCGGUGGGAUGAUUUUGAGUUCUCUACACCAGCUCAAAUCUAGCAACCUUAAUUGAGACAAUUGUGCCAUCUCCUUAGGUAGUUCUUUGAUACCUGACCCAGAAAGGUCGAGUACUUCUAAACUCUUGAGCUCUCCAAGGAUGGUUAUGUCAUCAACUGCACAUUGUUUUAGACGCAACAUGCGAAGGUCUGCAAGGUGAAUAAUUGAUUCAGGGAGGGAUGAAAACUGCAUUCCGACCAAAUCUAAGGCUUUGAGGCCUUUGGUUUGUUUGAAGAAAUUGAGAGGAAUUUUAACCGCGCCAUCAUAGGCCAUAUGGAGAAAGGAAAGUCCUGAACACUCCAUCUCCUUAGGAAGGUUAGCUAUAAUCUGAGGACAACGUAAGCUGAUCACAUUCCACGUCUUCAUUUUCUCCUUAUCGGACCACUCCUUCGGAGCAUGAUCUCUCAAAACAAGCAUACGGUAGUCCUUCAAUGCGAUAGCUAUAGCAGCAUCCCAAACAACAUCAUGGAUAUCAAAGAGCUGAUCAUUAUAACUAUCAAGCAACAAGGCAGACGCUUUGAGAUUAGCCACAACCGUCAAUACUUUAUUUCUAGCUUCUUCCACAGUGUAGACACCAUCAAAUAAACCCAAACCUAGAGUAUAUCUUACCAAGUCCUCAACGAGACCAUUAUGGCCUAUUACACUGCAAAGCAAGAAAGUCAGCUUAACUUCCUCGCUUUCUAAAUAAUUAAAACUCCACUCUAUAGCUGAAUAUGCAGCAUUUAUCCCCGUGAAGUUGCUUGACGAAGGCCUCUCCAGUUCUCGUAAAGCAUUCUUCCAUUCAAACAAUCUUUUGUUUCUCAAAGCCCCUGCAACUGUCGCAAUGGCUAUUGGCAAUCCUGCACAUUUUUUGGCUACCUCCAUAGCUAUAGGCUUCAAAUCGCAACUUUCAACACAGUCGCCAGCCAUCUUCUUGAACAGGUCCCAGGCUUCCUUUUCAUUUAAAACCCCGAUGGGAAAAUUUUUCUGAGCAUCCAUCCCAUUUAAUAAAACAUUGAGUUCUCUAGAAGUUAACAGCAACUUGCAUCCCUUGUGUCCAUCUCCCAAAGGAAUCCCAACUUCCUCAAUAUCUAACUUUUCCCAAAUAUCAUCCAACACAACCAGAAUCCUCUUCCCCAUCAAUCUUUCUCGUAGUCGAAAUGCCUUUCCAACCAUACUCUGUUCCUCAAAUUUCAAGCCCAAGAAGUCUGCAAUUUGGUUCUGAAUCUUCUCAAUAUCGAUGGCUUGAGUUACGGUUGCUAUUACAACCGAAUCAAACAACUUGCCCUUGACCUUUCUAGCGAUUUCUUUGACCACCGUUGUUUUUCCAAUCCCGCCCAUACCAUGCACCCCAACAACGCUGACGCUAUCAUCUUUUAGUGCCUCCAUUAUUCCGUUCAAAAUCGACAUUCUUGACUCGAAUUCCUCAUAACCUUUAACUGGUGCAACCACGAUACCUUGCGAAGCUGCACGAUAGGAAACCCUUUCAAACUUGCCAUGUUCAAGUAGCUCGGCAACAGCCUUUGCCUCCUCUUCAGCUUUCAGGCUAAGCUUGUAACGGGUCCUGAAAUUAGGACACAAACCAAUGAAACACUUUUUCUUUGCUUUUUCUUCAUCUUGCAUCACUUUCUCUACUUGUUCAGGGAUCUUCCUGUCCACUGCCGACAUCCAGUUGUUAACAUCACGUUCGAUCUCUUCGCCGUUUCGUUGAGCUGCAUCAACAGAAUGCUGCACUCUGUCCCUUGCAUCUUUCAGCUUCUCAGCUUGGUCCUUGAGGGUCUCAACAUAUUGCUGAUGAUUGGAAAGGUAUUUGACAUGGUUUUCGAUAGGAGAGAUCGUAUACUCUACAGCUUUAGCUACAAUAGAGCCAACGAUGGCACCAACAAUCUCCAUCGAGAGAGCAAACUGAAUAACCACAGCGACAACAAAGACCAAAACUUGAAUUAUCUUAUAUAUAUAGUUUUUAAAAAGAACUCAUUUUCAUAAUCUUAAAUAUAUAAGUAUGAGAUUAAUGUUUUACUUUAUGACAAUUAAAGUAAAGUAAUUUUGUUAAUAGAUAAUCUUUUAUUAAUAUAGACAUAUAUCUAACUUUAUUUUUUUAAUAAUUAUCUUUUUUUGAAGGAGUAGGUUUUUUUUUUGGCUAAGCAUUGAAGGAAUAAUUUGUCUUUUACACUUUGAAUAAAUUUUACAACACAUCUUUUAAAAAAUAGUUUUCUAAUUAUUAUUUAAAUUAUUUUCAACUAAUUCAAAAUUAUACCUAUUUCUUAUAUUUUGAUUAAACAGGAGAUUGUUUGGUGUAAUGUUAUUUAUUGUACAAGCAGUAUUAAGAUAUUUAAUUUUUUAAAAUAUUUUACUAUACUUCUAAAAGACAUUUUAUCAACCUCAUGACUUUACUUAUGGAAUUUAAAAACUUCAAUAAUAAAUUAUGAUAAAUCAUUUAAUACACUGCCAAUAGAAUUUUUAGACUCUACUAGCAGGACCAAGGGAUUGAUAAGUAUUUUAUAAGGGUAUAAUAAAAUAUUUAAAGGAAAGAGAGACAUGUCAAUUUUUUAAGGUUACUUGUGGAAUAAAAAAAGUAUUAAAUCCUCACCCUGUUUAUAUUAAUAUUUUUAAUUUAGUUUUUAAUCUUAAUUCAUAUUUUAAAUAUUAUGUUAUAACAAAAUGAAAAUUUAUUAAUAGUAAGGGGAAUGAUCUACUUACGCAAUGUAAAAAAUUAAAGUAAUUUUACACACUUCCGUAAUUAUUUAUAUUAUUAAUAUUUUAAUGAUACAAUCAUUAUAUUAUAUGGUAUAUUCAUGUAGAUCAUAAAUUUCAAUUUUGAUUUAAAUUUAAAACUUCUAACUAUUUAAUUUGUUGCACAUUUUUUAAUUUAGUUAAUUUUUUAAAAAAUAGAAAAUAAUAAAGUAUAUUAAAUGUUUCAAUUUAAAAAAAUAUAUUUACUCCUUAAAUAGUAAUAAUAUCUUCAAAUUUUAAACUACUUGUGCAACUUGCACUAAAUCAUAUUCAAAAAGUAUUUUGGUAAUUUUUUUAUUAAAAUUAAAUAUAUUAACCGCUACCAACAGUGACUAAUUCUCUCGUUACAGGAAUUUUCUGAAAACUAUCAAAGUAUUUUGUUAAUUUAGUUCAAACCAAUUAUAUAUAAAAUAUAUAUUUAAUGUUUGAAUAUUUAAUUUGUUUUUUAAAUGAUUUUUCAUUUAAUUUUAGUACCCUAUCAAACCAUCUUUCCAACCAUAUAUAGCGUUCAUUAUAAAGUAGACUUUGUUCAUGAGUCGAAUUACAAAGUCCAUUCAAAACAUAAAGAGUUUAGGUCAUAAUAUAAACCCAAAAAAUAAGCUUCAAAAAAAAUAAGAUUCGCGUUUUAAAUGGGCCGAGCCUCAGACAAGAUUUUUUUUUAGUUUGGACCUAACCCGAAUUUAAUUAUUUUUUUGCUGCUGUUUACUGCUUUUAUGUUGUUGUUUUUUGUUGUUAUGUUGUUAUUUUGCUACUGUUUCACUAUUAUAUUACUAAUAUUUUGCUACUAUUAUUUAGAUAUUGUAUAACUCUUAUUUUAUUUUUAAUUUUACUAUUAUUUUAGAAACGUUUGUUUGCUAAGUUAUAACUAUGUUAGUGUUAUUUAAAUAUAAAGAAUUUUUUAAAUAUAUUUUCAAUUUAUUGAGAAAUAUUUAUUUUAAUGUGUUUAAAGUAUUUGAUGUAUUAUAUUUUUUAAAUUUAUUUUUAUAUAAAAAAUAUAAAAAAUUUAAUACGGGUUCAGAUUUAGUAUUUUUUAUCUGAGCUGAACUUAAAUAAAAAUUUUAGGCCCAUUUGUUUAGUUGAGCCGAGUCCGGACCCGAAAAACAAAUUUAAAAUUUUUACAUUGACCCAACCUAUAAUCAGUUCUAGUACAAAUCCUUCUUCUACGAGAUAAAGCAGUACUCAACCUCUUAAUAACGAUAUUGCAGUAUGUGGAAGCCACAAGUUGUUGAUAGAUCACAAACAAAAGUGCUUACGCAGCAUUCCUAAUAGUCACCCCUUCUUAUCCCUUUUUUCUACCAACUUUAAAGAGUGUUUUCCACAAUUUUUUUAAUGGAUUUUUACUGAAAAUAUGUUUUCUUUUUAAUUCUGAAUUUUUAUGUAAUUUUAAAAAGUAAAGAUCAAAUCAAGGCUAAGAAAUUUAUUUGAUCUUUUUAUAUUUGUCAGGUCAACAACACUAAGUGUAAAUUUGAAUGGAAAGAUGAAGAUUUUAAAAUCGAAAAAGUACAGGACUCAAAAUCUUAAAGCUAAAAAGAUUUAAAGCAUAAAAGAAGUCCAUUUUCAUGGCUUAAACUGCCUGCCUAAGCUUGUUUAUACCGACAAGUAUUUCAAAAGAGUAAGAGCAAAGCAGAUGGCGUACCUUUUGGCUAUGAUCAAUAACUGAUAAUUUUCCCCCUUCUUAACAGAGCAAAGGCAGAAAGUAAUGAUUUGAGAAAGAUGACUUCAUCUUACUUUAAAAGAAAGGAAGUCUGGUGGAAACAGCUGAGUAAUGAGUAGCCAACUACCAUAAAAUGUCGUAUACCAAAACAUAUUUUAAUGGGAAAAUAUUCGCUUUUACCAACUAAGCAAAGUGGUAUUUUCCUUUUUUAGUUUUGAGAUGGAAAGAAAAUGAGAUUUAAGUUUAAUUAUAGGAUUAGUAAAUGACAAUUACAUCAUUAUUAAUUUCAUGGUUUUCUUAACACCCCAAUUUAUAUAUAUUUUAUGGACAUAUAUAUAUUUAAUAUGUUUGCACUAACUCUGAUGAAUUGGUGCAAAUAUAUACUUUUUUUUGACAGAAAUGUUGGCAAUCAUAAAACAUAUAAUUGAUUUUUUACUCUAAUUAUCUCUAUUUACAACUCUAAACUAAAUAAAAUAAAUUUAAUCUAUUCAAUUGAUUGAUUAAAUAUAAUUUAUAUCUAUAUAAAAAAAAUUCUAUAUAAUUUAGAUGUAAAAUAUACUAAAAUAGAAAAUAAACUAGAAAAUAAAAAAGGAGUCGAUAAUAUUAGUAAUAUUAUAUUACUAUAUUAAUAUAGAAUAUUACAUAUGAAUCUCUACAUCGUUACAUUCCACUUAGGAUUAGGUUGGGCAUAAUUGGGCCUCCUUUUUACAUAUCUCUUAUUAUUUAAGACCUUAUUCACCUCUUUUCUUUUUUUUCUUUUAUUGAAUUGAGAAAUUGUUAGAGGAAUCAUUACUGCAAGGCAUAGAGGGGGGGUCAUAGGAGUUUAUACUGUAAAAUUGAUUUUCUACGAAAUGAAAAAGACAUGUUCGGUCCAUAAAAUAAGUUAUUAAAUAAAUGAAUUAUUAAGUAUCCAAGUAGUAAAUAAAGCUCUUGAAAGGUUGAGUGAAUGAGUUGAUCCAAUUGCAUGAGUAGUUUCAUGUAAGGUCAUUUUCCAAUUUUUUUGUUUUUUUGCUUUUUCUUUCUUCGACCAACUAUUCCUCAUAUAAUAUCUAUUCUUUUUGGAAAUUUUAUCUAAAAAGGAGUGACUAGAAUCAACGAAAAUUUUAUCUAAAAAGGAGUGGCUAGAAUCAACGAAAGCACACCACUGCCAAAGUAGAAAAAGACAUGCAAUAAUGAAGGAUGUUUUCAAGGCUUACAUAGUCAUAGAGGCUGACAGUAUCCGGUCCCUAAAAUAAAAAAAUGGGCAAUUUACUAAUAAAAGCUUAAUUUUUUUUAUAAAUUUACCGAAAUGGGCCCGGUAUUUUAUUAUUUAUCGGAAUGGGUCAUUUUCAUGCAAAUCGUGUCCACGUCAGCGCGAUGUCAAGGGACGUGCCAGCAAAGCGCGGCCACGUCAGUGCGCUUUGCUGACGUGACAACAAAUCUCGUCCACGAUGGGGCGAUUUGUUGCCACGUCAGCAAAGUGCUCUGACGUGGCCGUGACUUGCCCCUUGGUAAAAAAUUUGACCGUUGCUGCCCCCCCAACAGUCCAAAAAAAACUAUAAAUACCCCCACCCCUUUUUUUUUCACAAACUAAUCCUCUCUCAAAUUUCCUCUCAAUUUCCUUCCAAAUUUCUCUCAAAUCUAUAUUUAAUAUAAUAUAAAUUAUUUUAGAUGAAAUAAAUUAAAAUAUAUGCUACAUAAAUAUUAAUAUAAAUGUAAUUUUUAUUUUUAUUUUUAAGUCCAAGUGAAUUUGGGUGAAAAAUAUUAAAAAAAUAUGCUUCAUUUUUAUGUGUAAAGAUUGCACCCGAACUACAAAUUAUGUAUGUUAACAUUAUGUGAAUAUUUAUUGAGAUACAUUCAUUAUUUAAAACCAAAUGACGAUGAUAUAUCAUUUGAAAUUUUCAAGCAAAAGCGAAAGUUCAUUAUUUAAAAUAUUAUAUUAAAUUAUAACUAGAAAUUUUAUUACACUCGUAUGUACAGAAAUAAAUAUAUUUUUGGUUUUGUCAUCAAUCCUAAGUUGGUGUCGAGUUAAUUUGUGAUAUCAUCUCAAUCAACGACGUUAUUAAUAUAUACAAUUUAUGGAUGUAAGAAAGUGUGCAUGAUAAAAUAAAAAUGUAUAAAAAUAUUAAAAUAAAAUUUUGGUUAAGUGAUAAAUUUAAAGCUUUGCUAAUAUAUUUUUAUUGUUUUUGUAUUCAGCAUAAUCACUUGUGUGAACUCAAGAGCCUUUAUAUACAAACUCAUGCAACGGCUUCUACCAGCCAUGCAAUAGCAUGCACACGUAACAAACUUAACAACCGUAACCAUCUAACUGCUCAAAUGGAUUAAGCUUCUAACUACUCAAUACCAGAAUUGAGACUCUCUUGAAUACAUUGGAACAACAAACACCCAAAGACCAUUUCUGAGAGUAUCAAACUGCUUUGGCGUAACUGGUUUGGUAAACGGGCAAUUUACCAAUAAAAGCUUAAUUUUUUUAUAAAUUUAUCGAAAUGGGCCCAGUAUUUUAUUAUUUACCGGAAUAGGCCAUUUUCCGGCAAAUCGCAUCCACAUCAGCGCGAUGUCAGGGGACGUGCUAGGAAAUCGCGGCCACGUCAGCGCGCUUUGCUGACGUGGCAACAAAUCACGUUCACGAGGGGGUAAUUUGUUGCCACGUUAGCAAAGCGCGCUGAUGUGGCCGCAAUUUCCUGGCACGUCCCCUGACAUCGUGCUGACGUGGAUGCAAUUUGCCAGAAAAUGGCCCAUUCCGGUAAAUAAUAAAAUACCGGGCCCAUUUCGGUAAAUUUAUAAAAAAAUAAGUUUUUAUUGGUAAAUUGCCCGAAAAAAUGUUCAUGUAUAAUAUUUAUAAUUUAUAACAUUUUAAAUUAAUAAAAGUAAAAUUAUACUUUGUUCUUCUUUAAAAUGAUAAAAAAAUUUGAUUUAAUCCUUUAAAUAUUAUAAAACUAUUAAAUUAAUUAAAUUGUACAUUUUUACAUUAAUUUCGAUCUCUCAAAAACAUUUUCUGACUCUGCCACUGUCAAUAUCAUCUUUGAGAGACACGCUAUUAAUUAAUUUAUAUGUAUGUCAUUAAUAAUUAUAAAAAAUUGACAUAUAUAAAUAUCUUUAAUAAAUUUUAAAAUUAAUUUUUGUAAUUACAUCUUGAUCAUUUUUAAAAUUAAAUACUCAAACAUUAAUUAAUUUUAUUUUUAUUAAAUUAAAAAUAUCAAUUAUUCUUAUUGGUUGCAUUUUAAUUCAAGAAAAACUAAAAAAAAAAACCCUAUUUGGUUUUCAUUCCACGUUUUCGCAAGUCACAAUAAAGGAUUUUUUACGUUAAUAAUAUAAAAUAAAUAAAUAAAUAAAUACAGGAUAGGAUAAGAGAUUAAUAUUUAUGAGAAUAGUCAAAUGAAAUAGCAAAAUAUUGGCGCCGCCUAACCAAUUGACGGCAUCACUUUAUUUAAAAAAAUUUGGGCGCAGCUUGUGCACUCGGCCGCACCAGGCUAAAAUGUGAUGAUCUAAAAAUUACAGGGACUUUAUAUGUAAAUUUUCCAUUUUAAUUGACAGUCGAAAAAUUUUCAUGGGUGACAGCACCAAAUUUUAAAAGGGUAAAUUGCACCCUAAACCCCCUAUUUAUUAUUAAAUUUUAUUCUCUUUUAACACCAAAAAUAAAUUGGCCUCUUAUCAAUUAGUCUAAUUUUUUUUUUACCAAAAAGUAUUUUUUUCAAGUAAGUCGAUUCCAACUCGAAAUAAAUUUUAUUUAUUUUUCAAAAAAAAAUAACAUUAUGUUUGACAUUACAAUUAACUGUAUUUAUAGUAGUUUUCUUUUUCUCUCAUUAUAUUUGGAAACUAUAAAUUUAACUAAUAAUUAUAAUUUAUACAUAAUUAGAUUUUUCUAAAGCUUUUAUAAUUAUAAUUUUAUACUAUGUACGUAAACCAAAUAGAUAAUAAAAUUAUAAAUAUUUUUUAAAAAUAAAUAAAAUUUAUUUCCAAAUGGAAACGGUUUACUUACAAAAAUACUUUUUGGUAAAAAAAAAUUUUAGACUAAUUUAUAAAAGGCCAAUCUAUUUUUUGGUGUUAAAGGAAAAUAAUAAAUAAGGGAGACUUAGGGUGCAAUUUAUCCUUUUAGAUCAUCACAUUUUAGUCUGGUGUAACCGAUUGGUCAAGCUGCACCUGAACAAAAUUUUAAUAAAGCGGUGCCGCCGAUUGGUCAGACGACACUGAUAUUUCACUAUUUCAUUUACCUAUUCUUGUAAAUAUUAUUCCCUUUAUCCUAUUCAAGUAUUUAUUUUUUAUUUAUUUAUUUUAUAUUAUUAAUGUAAAAAAACCCCACAAUAAAGUGUUCAUAAUAAUUAGUUCUCAAUGUGUAAUAUUGAUUUUCAAAUAUAAUAUUUACUAUAUUUAAUAAAAAUUAAAAAAUAAAAUAAUGUAAUUGAUUGCAUGUUUGAUAUUAUUUCACUUUUAUAACUUUAAAUUUUGAAGAUAUUAUUUGCUAAUUUAUGGUUAAUAUUAAAAUUAUAUUCCUUCAAUUCUCUAUAAACACAAAUAAAAAUAUCUCUUAUAUAUUACCAAUUUAAUUUAUAACUUUAAACAAUUUCAAAUGUCAAAUUUACUAAAAAAUUUUAUUCCAUUUUUUUAAUUUCUCAAUGUAUCUAUUAGAGCAAGCCCAAUAACUAACCCUCCACAUUCUAUAGGCCCAUUAACGGGGUGGAUGCUGGUCACGAGUUUUAAAGUUACUCCAUACCCAGGACAAUGAUCGAACCAUUAACCACCAAUUAAAGUAGAAAAGGUUGUUGCCAUCUCAAGUGUAAAAUAGUUGACAAAGAUGUGAAAAAUUGGUAAGUUUUAGUUUUACGAAACCAAUCUUAUGUGUACACUUUAUAAUUUAUUCUUUUGCCAUUUUACAUUUAAUAGCUAAUCUAUAUUUUAUUUAACAUAUAUUCCCAACAAAAAUUGUUCGACCUAAUUAUUGUAUACUCAAUAUUUUUAGCUUUUCUAUUAAGAUAAUGAUAUCUAGGGCAAAGUUAGAAAAUUUUUUGGGACGGAAUUAAAUUAUAUAUUUUUACGAUAAUGAAAAUAUAAUUUUACCAUUUUAAUAGUUUAUAUCUUUAUAAUUUUUAAAAGGUUAAAUCAAUUUUUUAUUAAUUUUUGGGGAGGAAAGUGUAAUUUUACCAUUACUAAUUUAAAAUUUUAUAAGUUAUAAAAGACUUAAAUGGAAAAUAUUCUAUUUUAGAGGGAACGGGGCUCCGCCACUAAUCAUGUCUAUUUUUCAUUAAAUUAUUUACCUAAACUUUAAAUCAUUUCUAUAAAUUUUUGUACUUUUUACCUUGUAGGAGUCUUUCAUUAGAUUGUGUGCAAUAGAAACCACCUCUACUCAAUUUAAUCAAUCCAAUUGGUUUAAUUGAAUAAACUAUUAAAAAUUAAAAAUAAUAUAUUUUAAAAAAUCAACUCGGUCAUUUGUUCAACCGGUUCGUGGAUCAACUAGUCUAAAUACUUAUUUUAAAUUGAGACAAUCUAAACUUGAAAUUAUCCAAAUUCUAAAUACUCAAACUUAAACCGGUUCAAAUAAGUGGUAAUCCUAAUCCAAAGAGAGACCGAUAUGAACCCAUUUGUCACUAGUACAUAGACGAUCCUUUGCUUAGAGAAGGAUAUUAGGGAAUGGCAAAGUCUUUUCCCUUUCUGCAUGAAAUUUUGGUCCCAAUAUGUAAACGUUGUGUUUUAUUAGCAAAUAAAGGGUAAGAAAAAGCGAGGUAAGUAUUGAAGAAUAAUACAUCGACUCUCUUUACAAUAAUGUACAUUAUUUGUAAGGCAACUAAAUGAAUACAUAGGGAAAAUGUUACCCAAAACGAAAAAAGAAAAAAAUCUAUUAUUGAAAAAUAAUGUAUAACCUCAUAGGUCAGAAUUUGAUUCUUAUUAUAAUUAACAAUGUCAGUUUCCUUAAAAUGAAAAAAUUUUCAUUUAGGCUCCUUUAUAAUUUAUAAAAUUUUAAAUUAAUAAUUGUAAAAUUAUAUGUAGACUAUUAAAAUGGUAAAAUUACAUUUUCACUAACAUAAAAAUAAUCAAUUUAAUUUCAACCCUCAAAAUAUUUUUUUUGACUUCACUACUAAUAAUCAACUUAGAUACUACAUUAAGCUGAAUGAGAAUUAUAUAAAAAUUAAAAUUAUUUAUUAAAUGAGGAUGUAGGCAUGUUGUUAAAAAGAUUAGCCUCUCAUUGUUUUGCACUGGAUUGGUUAUUUAUUUGUAUUAUAUUAUAAAGUAAAAAAAUUAAAGAUUAAAAUAUUCUCGAAGUUCUUACACACUUCGUACAUUUGAAACUUAGUUUCUCUAUUUUUACUUUCAAAAUUAAAAUUUAUCAAUACAUAAUCAAAGUCAUUAAUCCCACAUCAGAAAGAAAAAGAAUCCUAAAUAAAUAAUUUUUUAGGAAGAAGGUAAUUAUCCAAAUACAUAUAUAGAUUUGUGAUGGGUCUUGGGCUAUAGCUAGAUCUAUAAUAGAAUAAUUCAAAAUUAGAAAUUUUCAGAUCAUUUCAUCCAAAUCAGUUUCAAAUUUAAGUUUGAAAUUAUUUGAAGUUUAAAUUUUCUAAUAAGAUUUAUAUUCAAGUUGAUAAGGUUUUCAAAUCCAAAAAUCACAGAUCUAAUUGCCUUUGAUUCACAAUUUUUGAAGAUAAAAAUGGGGAAAAAAAACUUAUAACAGUAUAAGUUGUUUAUAUUAAUUUAAAGGUUGAAUAACAUGGGGCUAUAUAUAUAUCUAUUAGUAUUUAACUUGGAAAAUAAUUUUAAAAUCUAAAAUGAUAUUAAAAAGUAUUCAAAACAAAGUUGUUGGGAAUGACAACCACAAAUCUCGAAAUGAUUAGUUUUCAUGAUAUGUAAAAAGCGAAUAUAAACAGUAAAAUGAUUAGUGAUUGACAGUAAAGGAUAGGUAAGCUUACCAUGAAAAUAGCCGGAUCGAGAUCACGGAAUUCGCUUUUGUUUACGCUUAUGAAUCUUCAGUUGCCCGAUUACGUACUGAAUGAUUUCUUUCGUGGUGGCUUUCCUUCCUUCCUUUCUGUUCCAAAUCUGAAAAGUAAAAGAAGAAUAAAAGAGGAUCACUAAUGGCUGUUCUUUACCCCCAUACAUGCCUAGCCUAGUUAUGUUGCUAUAGGUAUAGCUAGUAUGCAGAAGGAAAAGGGCCGAAAGGGGCACUACAAAUUCGAAAGCAGUGCUAUGUACGGAGGGGGACUGGAUUAGCACCUAAUCCAUUUGGUGCCAAACAUCAUCUGAGAGAGCAGCAUUUGAAUAGAAACACAAAAUUGUGCUCAAGUGGGUCCUUUAUACUAGUCACCUUAGGUGCCUGCUGCACCUUUCUUGCAUCCAAUUGCACAACCCGUAAAUUCAACCCCAAUAUAUCAACUCUCUCUCUACCCCUCUCUCUUCAUUGCUCACUUGUGCCUGUAUCUGCAGAUAUGUGGCUAUAUCCAUUAACACAUUUGUAUCCAAAUUCAUGAUGAAACUAAGGAUUAAUACGUUACAUAUGUUAAUAAGAACAUAUUUUGCAGUGCUCCUAGCAAAGUCUUGUUGUAAGAUAAGUACCAUGUUUCACUGCUAGGAAGUUUUAUGAAGUAAGUAUUAUCUUGGGUAAAUCUUCAUCAAAAGGAAUCGAACCAUAAAAAUUGUAAUAGGUGUUGGAUAAAAUACGUUAGCGAACAAAAUAAUUAAUUAUAAAUAAACACAUAUGAAAUAAAAUAUAAAUAGAAUGAUUUAUAAUUAAUUUAUCAAAUACAAAAAUCAAAUAAAAAGUUGAAAUAAAGUAGAAUCAAGAUUUCACGAAAAGUCGGGGCCUGUGAAACACAGUUUCCUUGAGGCAAAUUCGGUCGCUCCGACAGUACUUGGAGAAAUGUUGGUCGAAUGUUUCCCAGGAUACAACAGCAACAAUGAUCAGAGUAGUAGCACCUCUACAACGAUCGAACAAACAAACUUUUUCUUUUUCUAUCACUGGAAUAUUGUAAAAAUACGGAGAGGCAAAAGAAGAGUUUUGAAAUGAACAGAAUUUCAGUAUAGGAAAUUAUUUGAAUGUGUGUGCAAUCCUCUAGAAUACACAGCAUUUUAUAGGCAUUUAGGAUAGUAAAAAAAUUUGGAAAUAAACAUAAAUAUGCCAUUAAGGAAAAGUCAAAUUAGAUUUAAAAAUUAAGGAAAUAAACAUAAAAAUCAAUUUGAUUUAAAAAAUAAAUCAAAUUAGAUACUGUCUAUAGAUAAGCAGAUUAUGUCUGCUGAGGAAAAAUAAAUUCGUGUUGGGUUUGCUUAAAAUAUCCGUAAGCCCAAUUAAGCUUGACCGGUCCAAACAUUUCGCGUUGCCCACAUCGUGCGGGUGUGCCCCAACCCUUUUAGGUUUAGACCUAUACUUUCUACGCACAAGACAAAGUUACAAACUUAAUCAUUCAAUUAUCUUUUUAAGAGGGUUCACAUAUAUAAAUCCAUCUCACACUUUGGUAUUUAACCAAUAUGGAUCCAAUCAUUUAUUUUUAGCUUACUUUGAGCAUCAAUUUCUCAUUCAUUUCAACCAUUUUGAGCAUAUGAUAUAUUGUUGUAAACGUCUCAUGGAGUAGAAUAUGAAACCAUAAUUUAUGAUUCAACUCUCCACUUUUACCUAUAGAGAAUAUGCUUUAAAGUUCCCAUAAAAAUGCAAUUUUUCCAACAACAGGAGUGUCUGCAUUUGUACUUUCAUAAUGGUAAACAAUCAUCGGUAUUCAUGCAUUGCGAGGGGCCGGGGGGGUUAAAAAAGUUAAGGUAUGCAUUGUUUUUUGUACAGACUGUAAAAAUUUUAUUGGCCGCAACAAUUGGUUACUUAUAGUAAUGUUAGGGGGGUCUCUUGGAAAUUCUGUGACCACACAAGGGUACCAUACUGCAAAACAUUGCUACCAUUACCAGUACCAAAUGUGCAUCCCCCCACUUAAACAGCCCUACCUUCUUCUUCUUCUUUUUUUUUUUUUUUUUUUUUUUUUUUGCCUUUUGAUUUCUUUCUUGUGGUCCUCACAUUUGGCAAUUAUUGGUUCAAACAAGAUAAGCUCAUCACCAUCGUUCCUUAUUAAAAAACAAGUUUCAGUUUCAUCAGUUUUUAUUUUUUUCCCUUUACUGAUAUUUUCAAAACCUACACACAUUGCCUUGUUGCCAAUGACAAAUAUUUUGUUUGUUUAAUAAUGGUGGAUGGUGGCAUUAGAAUAUUACUGACUCGCAUGCUUGUUUUUCUGCACUGACCUUAACUUGGUUAAAGUCUUAAUCCACUAACAAUGUGGAUACUACAAAGUUUUUUAGGUGCUUUAAAGAACUAAACUUUUAGUUUAACUAGUGAUCUUCUCAAUAAUAUAUAUACAACAUUUAUUUGAGGAGAAGGGUUUUAUACAACAUUUAUUUGUUUAUUUAUAGCAUAACUCUGUCCUUAUAGCUUGCACCAAAGAGACUUUGUGGCCAUAAGCAUUGGCUUAAAGACAUCUACAUCUGAUGUAAUAUUAAACAGUUUAAAUUAUAAUGAUAUUGACACAAAAUUGAAGUUUGCAUACUUUUCUGAUAUAUAUACUUUGUGAUGAGCCCUGCAAUAUGGAGUAAACGAUCUUAAAGAUCAAUGUUCAAGCCUUGUUGCCUAAAUUCUUUGCCUAAAUUUUAUAAUUGAUUGAAUAAGUGUUGAUUCACUAUAAACUCAUCUGUUGAAGCAAAAAAAAAAAAAAAAGAUUAAAAAACUACAAAAAGACAUGUAUAUGUUGAAAUGACUAAGCCCAUUUUGCCAUCAAAGACAUAAAUCCAGCACCAAGUAAAACUGCAACAUAUGACCAAGCCUGGAGCUUCAUAUUUGUUUGAAGCUUAGGGCCCAGAAAAUCAGCUGCAAGGAGAUCAACCAGUGCCAUGUAAUUCAGCAACCCUGCUGAGCAAGCAUUAAGUAGUCCCACCACCAUAAGUGAAGUUGGACUCGUCUCACUGUAAACCUUGGACAAACCAAUUCCCAGAACUAUUCCAAGUGCCGUUGUGGCUGAAAAGAAGAAUACCAUGAUUGCUUUCAUUUUUAUCUCAUAUUCAGCCUGCACAUAUCAAACAUAAUGUUAAUCAAUAUUGUACACUAAAUGGAUGUUUGAAUGAGAAAAUAGUGCAAUGUUGGGGGUUACCUGCAGUAUGCAUCCACCAAGUCCCAUCCCCUCAAACAUUUGAUGGAAGCAAAGGGCAGCAAUGAGUGAUCGAAUGGUGCAUUGAUUGCCAGAGGCUCCCAUUGCAAGACCAAUCACCACUGAAUGAACUACAAUUCCCAACUCUAAUACCUACAUUUAGGAAAUAUAUAAUGUAAAGACUUGAAAAGCAAAACCAUCGAAUUUGAGGAUUCAAACAUGUAUAUAUACCUGAGCAAUAACUCGAUGCCUUAACAAUUGUGAUGAUACGUCGUCAUUCAUCUCAAGUGAAUGGCUAUGGCCGUGUUCAAAGUUAUCGAUUGGUACAACGUUCGUAUUUUCCAAUCCACCACCAUUGUUAGCAUCCGCCAUUAAAGCUUUACCGCAACGUUUCUUGUAUACACUCAUUGCAAAUGAAUCCACCAUAAGGGUCAACACAGCCGACAGCAUUGCGACGAAGGUUGUGAAAGGGAACUUCCUCCAUGGGUUUUCAGGCAAACACCCGGACAUAAGGUCGUUGAAAGAAUCCGCUAGCACGUGCAUGUACCCAGUCGCUAGAAUAACACCGGAGGAAAAUGCCUUGACAAUGGUGAACAAGUCUCUGCCGGGUUUAAGUGACGGAACCUGACCAGAAAACAAUGGUAGACACACGCCAAUCAUGCUGGAUAGUAAAAUUGCGACAAUGGCGAUGAUUUUUAGCUUCAUGGAUUCUCUGUAGUUAUGGCAUCCAUUAGUCUUGGUCUCUGCUUCACAUUGAGCCAAUACAAGUGGAGUAGAAGAUGAAAAGAUGAUGAAAAGAACAAGGAAGAUUGAAUUUGCAAGGGAUUUUAGAACUGAUUUCAUGGCUGCCAAGAAAGAUUUACUGUUACGUUGGAUUGUGAGGCUUAACCGACUGGUUUAGAGGGAAUGAAUAUAUACAUUUCAUGGCCAAAUAUUACUCGUAUUUUUUUUGCCUCAUUUGUAAUAUUUCAGAUUUGGUGAUAUUAUUGCGAUUAAAAUUUCUAAUAUGUCCUUACUUUCGUUGAUUAAGUGGUAAAUUUAACAAGAAAUGUGAUGGUAUUUUGGUAUUUUAGCCUCGAAAUAAGGAAACCUGUGCAUGGCGUGUGAUAUGUGUGACCCGCCUUAAACUUUCUCGACCUUUGACUUUUCUAAUAAUACUAAGCACACGUCAGGCGUAAGCCUUUCUGCUGAUGUGGAAAUUCUUUUUCCAUGCAACAAUAUUAUUAUAAUCAAUCAUUAAAUGUUGUCUUUAAAAUAUUUUUUUAAAAAAAAGUUGUCUUUAAAAGUUGAAACAUAAAAUGAUAUUAUGAAAUAGUACUAGAUUAACAAUAUUGCAUCUUUAUUUUAAAUUAUUCUCCCAACUUUAAAAUAUUUUAAACUAUUUAUCUCAUCCUUUUAUUAUUGACACUAUUAAUUUAAAAUGAUAUUUUUAAAGAAAAGUAAAAUGUUGUCGAUACAACUUUUAAAAAUAAAAAUUAAAAAUAAAGUAGAAGAGAAAAUGAAUGAUAAUUUUUGUAAUACCUUCGAUACCUUGAAAUCAAUAUUUUUACAAUAUUCAUUUUUCUUUAAGUUUUUUAUUUUAAAUUAUGUCUCAUAAGAUUUGACGUCUCAUUUAAUGAUUUUAGCAGCAAAAGAACAUUAUUGAUAUAAUAUUGAUAAUUUGGAAAUGUAAUUUAAAAUAUUUUGAGUUUGAGGACUAUUUUAGAAGAAGGGCCAUAGUUUAGAGAUAUUUGGAGCAAUUAACUCUAAUAAUAAUGACAUGACAAAGUUAAAAAAGGUUAAGUUAGAAUUUUGGAGAUAUAUUAUUGGAAGAAAAGUCAAAAUUCAUAGACUAUAAAUAUUUAAAAAAAAUGAUAAACUAGAUUGCAGGUCACUCAACUAGCUUAAAUGACUGCAUACCUUCCGCUCACAUUAUAUUCGUUCAUUUCCAUCAAUGCGGUGCUAACAGCCUCGUACACGACAUCACCGUAUUCAUUUCUCAACUCCUUCAGCUUCUCGUCGUCUUCGUCUACUAUUUCCUACACUACCGAGUAGCCAUCCCCUUAAUAUAUCUAAGUUUGAGUAAUAAACUGGCUCGAUUCUGACAUACAUGUUUAGCACGUUUAGUACAAAAUGGAUUUUCGAUAACCGGAUAACAGAAUAGUUGGUGUAUGCACCAUGCCUGCAAGUUGCCUCGGAUAUUGAUCAUCUUAAACGGGUGCCAUUUCGGAUCCUGCACGUUUUGUUGCCAUAAUGAACAUAAUUUAGCACAUGUUUCUUGCCAAUCUUUGUUCGGGAACUUCCCAGAGCUAGCAACUUCAAAAGCUUUUUGAUCGAUCUCUCCCAUUCUUUUUACUACAAGAGUUGUUCGGCUUGUCAAUACAUCAUUUAGACCCUGCAUAUCAAGAACCAGAGAAGUCUUCGGUUUAACACUUUCAUACCUGAUUCCGAAGAGGUAUUUCUUGCACCUAAAGAAAUAAAACAUCCAAGAAAACAAAGGAUUCUUUUCGAGCAUCUUGCAGUUCUCGAUUAAUUAAGAUUUGUUUCACCGUAAGACAACUGUAUCGGCUUUCCAUAUCUUUCAACGCCUCUGAUGUUUCCUCCAAUUGUUCCUUUAGAGCAGCAAUCUGAUCGCUCGUAGUUUUCUCGAGUUCAACAAGAUCUCGACAAGGCACAUUCUCUUUCGGCUGUAUCAGAUACAAUCCACAUUGUUAAAUGUCCACUCGGCAAAUCAUAACCAUAAAAUAAAUAGGUAACAAAAUGUAUACAAAAAAUGUUUAAUUUACAAAAAAAUUAACCUGGGAUGAAAAUGGCUUAACGUUGCCGUUUGUCUUCUUUUUCUUCUUCUUCUUGCUGUAAACUUAGGGGGGAAAACUGGCGGCGUUAGAGAAUCAUCAAGAUAUAUGAAGGAUAACACUUGUUUUCCCGAGAAAUUUUUUCCAUAUUUUGCUUUUAUUUCCCUUUGGUCGAUUUAGUUUCCAUAUUCAACUUCCCUUCAUUAAAUAAGAUCUCAAAAAGUUAGUAUUUUUAUUCAUUAUUGCCAUUUUAUCUUUAUCAAAUCUGAAAUUUUUGAAUAUAUAUAAACAAUAAUUAGUCAAAUUUGGCAUUAAUAUAUUACCAGUAAUGCUGGUAAAAUUUUAGAACAUUCGGCACCAAUAUAUUACCAAUCUGAGUAAUGCACCAUUUAACAGCGCUUACGUUCUUAACUUCAUAUAUAUAUAUAUUUGUAUGUAUGUAUGUAUGUAUGUAUGUAUGUAUGUAUGUAUGUAUGUAUGGUUGAAGCUGAUUAAUGGGAAUUCAGCUUGCAUCCCAAUAUAAUGUACACAAAAUUGCCUUACUUCAUAAUAUUGUUAGUACAUAGAUUAACAUAGCAAUGGAACUCAUAAUAUGACACCCAGAUUUUAUAGAUUAACACAUCAUAAAGCUAUUCAACUAACAGUGCAUGUAGUCUGUAAUGCGAAUCAUAUAAGCAUUAGCCUCGUAUGGCCAAAGUGUUCCCAUAUAUUAUGUUCUUAUCUGGUUCUGAACACAUUAAGCUUAUCCGAGCCUAAAUUGAUCCGGUUCCCGUAAUAAAAGCUAAGUUUGGGGUUCAAAUCCUGACAUUUAUAUAGAUCAAUCAAUGGGUACCAAACGAUUCAAUUAACACAUAGUAUUCUGCUCACUACAUACACAUAUAUAAUCUAAAGUACCUUCAGCAAACGCAAGGCGCAACGCAGCAUUCUUGCCCUUCAACUGUCUCACGGUUACAUUAUAUUGAAGCUCCCAACCCCACAGAUUACUGUCCUUGGAGUUAAUUUUUGCUAUGAGGCCAUUGAUGAGUCCUCGAAGAGUUGCGGUCAUCUCGUUAUAUUCACGUUCCAUUUGGGACAACUGUUCUUUUCUGCAAUUAAUAUCGUAUAUGAGACUGCAAACAAGCCUGCGAUCAUUCUUCAGCUCCUUGUCGUAGUUGGUGUUCUCCAUUUCAAUGGAAGAUUUAAGUGCCUGCAAAUAUCAUUAUCAAAUCACAUAAAUGGAUUAAGAUAGAGGUAUCCUAAAAAGUUGAACAAUAACACUAAGAAGCAAAGCCAAGUUCAUGUAGUGAGAUUAAAACCCCAAAUGUUGGAAUCAUAAUAUUAGUUACUAAAAUCAAAGAAAUCCAUUCACUAUAACUACAAAUAGGAUGAAGAACCAAAAUUAUUCUCUGUUUUUCCAUUUUCUACUUUUUCAUUAUUGGCAUUAUUGAAGAAUUUUUCAACAAUAAGCUUCACCACUUUGCUGGUGCCUUCGGAAAUGGAAAUUGGUUUCAUUUCCAUAUUGCCAAGCAUUUUCCCACAAAUUCCCGUACUAAAAAAGGAAACAUGAAAUUUGAUCACAAAAACUCAAUGAAUCACUUGCCAAGCAAAAAAAGGAUUCAAGGAUAUGAAGCACCCUUAGCAAAAUUCAGGAUAUCAUUUGAUUUACAUAAAACACAUUGCAAAUUUUAAAACCCUGUUUGAAUUUUUUUCAAAGAGAAACAUGUCUAAGUGUGCAGGUCAAUUUCUGGGCCUUCUUAUUUAAUUUUAUUGGAAGAAAUUGUUUAAUUGAAUUUCUUUUAAAUCUUAAGAUAGUAGUAGAAGGACCAAAAGCAAAGUUGGACCUUCAUCCUUCAAUUCUGGCCAAUAUAUCAGAAAAUUACCACUGUUGACCAGCAAAUAUAUAAGCAACAAUUUAUUCCCAGAAAACUUGAGGUAUUCACGGUUCAACAGAGUAGAACUGGCGAAAACCCAGUAAAAAGGAAAAAAAAAAAAACUCUAAUGCAAUCUUAAGUGCGCGGAACCCAUGAACAUGAAAACUAAACCCAGGGGGAAAAAAGCAACAAAGCUGAAAAAAUGGCAAAAAAAAAAAUCAAAUUCACAGUUCAAGAGAGUAAAACAGACCGAACCCACUAAAAGAAAGAAAGAAAACUCUAAUUGCAAUCUUAAGUGCACAAAAACCCAUGAAUAUGAACGCCACGCCCAGGAAAAAAAAAAGAAACAGAGCUGUAAAAAUGUGGGAAAAAAAAAGGGAAAAAAAUUUGGACCAUUUCUCGAUUUGUGCGUGUCAUCCUUGAGCAGGGGCCAUGCUAAUCUUCUCUGUAUCGUUCCAAUUUUAUCGGCUGUCCCCGAAGGGACAACCAUGCGGUUCUUCUUUCGGUUAUAUAAACGCUCCUGUGUUAUAGUUAUUUAGCGAUAUGGGAUAUUUUCUAACCAGGGCCCUGAAGUAUGCUACCACGUCCUGACCAUGCCAGCCUGAAUUGAGGCCUGAUGUCUUUGGAGUGGCACAUGAUAAAAACGUGGCUAACACACGUGGCAAGCUCAGUGUUUAUCACUUAUCCCAACUUGAUUAUUAGAAUUUAGAGAAAAAUAUAUAUAUAAACCAAUGUUACUUUCAUAUUUGACUUCACAUUACAAUCGAGUUACUAUUAAGUUUGAUUUGCCAUAGUUGUAGGUUAAAUUUUAAAAUAUUUGGGUUUGCCUUGGAAUCAAUGUAUAUUACCAAUCAAUAAUGUUGCUCUAUAAAACGUAAAUCCCAAUAUUGAUAUUAUAUUGGAACAUACUUCACGAAUAUGUUUGUAUGUAUCGAUGGGAAUAUUUCAACAGCAUUCCUUUAUAAUUCAUAGGACAUAUAAGCAAUUCAUGCAAUUCAUAGUGUUUUUUCAUUUUAGAAAAUGAACAUUUUAAAAAAGGUAUUGUAGAACGAAUGAAUAGAACGAUCAUGGAAAAGGUUCGAUGUAUGUUGUCAAAUGUCAACUUACCAAAGUUAUUUUGGGCCAAAGCAGUGUCAACUACAUGUUUUUGAUCAAUCGGUCUCUAUCCGUUAUCAUUGAGAAAAAGACUCCAUAAGAGGUAUGGUCUGGUAAUCCUACUGACGAUUCUGAUUUAAAGAUUUUUUGGCAUAUUGCGUAUGCUCAUGUUGAUAAUGAAAAAUUAGAAUUGUGUACCAUUAAAUGUGUUUUUAUUGGUUAUAAAGCUGGUGUAAAAGUGUAUAAGUUAUGGUAUCCUGAAAAUAGAAAGGUUGUGAUUAACAGAGAUGUUGUUUUUGAUGAAACUGUUAUGCUACCUAACAUAUCUCUUAAAGACUCUUCCAAUAAAGAAAAUCAAAAGCAGGUGGAGCAUCAAAGUAAUCUAGAAUCUACAACAGAGUCGACUCCUCAAGCUAGUACAAAAAUUCAAAAUAGAGUUGUUUUUUCACCACAAUAUUCUAUUGCCAAAAACAGAACUAGAAGAGAAAUUAAACUUCCAAAGAAGUAUGACGAGGCUGAUCUAGUUGCUUAUGCUUUAAAUGUGGCUGAAGAUAUAAAUGCAAACCAAGAGCCAUCUAAUUAUUCUGAUGCGGUUAAUUGUGAAGACUUAGAAAAGUAGACGUUUGCUAUGCAAGAGGAGAUGGAAUCACUCCACAAAAACAAAAUAUCGGAUCUUGUGAAACUUUCUAAACGUAAAAAGGUUGUUUGUUGUAAAUGGGUAGAGGUGUCCAUGGGCAGGUCUGGGUCGAGUUCGGGUCAGGCCCAAAAAAAUUUUCAGCCCGCUUCCUAGGCCCGAGCCCAGCCCGGCCAGGUCCAUUUUUUAAUUAAAAUUAAAAUUAUAUUUUUAUUAAAAUUAAAACUAAUUGUUAUUAAAAUUGUAUCAAAUUAUAUAUUUUUUUGUACCAGUCAACAUUUUGUAAAAUCUAACAUUUUAUUAGUAAAAUUAUUAAUUGUUAAUUGUAUUAAUUGUUACUAAAAUUAUCAAAUUAUAUUAAAUUAUUAAUUAUUAAUUGUUACUAACAUUUUUUUAGUAAAAUUAUUAAUUGUUAAUUGUAUUAAUUGUUAGUAAAAUUAUCAAAUUAUAUCAAAUUAUUAAUUGUUAAUUGUAUUAAUUGUUGUAACAAAAUCUAACAUUUUGUAACUUAAAACUUAAAAUAAAACUAAAACUAGUAUAUUUUAAAAAUAAAAAAUAUAUAUUUAAUAUAUUUUUGGGCCGGGCCGGGCCCAGGCCAAAAAAUUUUGCCCGAGGCCCGGCCCGUUUUCUAAACGGGCCUCGUUUUUACCCAAUCCCAUAUUUCGGGCCUACAUUUUUACCCAAACCCUCCCAUAUUUUUAAAAUAUUUUAAAAAUAUUAUUUCAAUCAAGAGAUUGAACCUAAACUCCCAUGCGUCAACACAAAUACUAAUGCCUCAAUAACUUUUAGUAAUUAAUUUGUAAUUCAAACUUAUAUAGAUAAAUAGAUGAAUGAUAUAUAUUAUUUUAUAAUUGUAAUUUUGAAUUGCUAAUUUUCUCUUGAAAUGUUCCGAGCUCAAAACUAUUUAAAUUUCCCAAAAUAUUCGAGUCUAAACUGACUUGAACUCAACAUAAUCUAAACUUGAAAUAAUUCAAAUUCAAAUCCAAAAAUUUUACUUAAAAUAAUAUAAGUAUAAUGAUAAAUUCAGCACUUAAUAUUUACAUCUUUUGUCAAUUUGAUCAUUAUUAUUUCUUAAUUUAAAUUUGACCAUUAACCUUUAAAAAAAAGUCAAAUUGUGUUUUUUUUAAAUGUUGACUAAAACAUUAAUUUUUAACAAAGUUGGCAUGACUAAAACAUUAAUAAAUUGUGAUAGUCCACAUGUACUUUAUGUUGACAUAGCAUUAUUUAUCUUAUAUGACAUGCCAAUAAAUUAAAAAUAUUAAAAAAAUUCCCACAAAAAGAGUUCAUAAAAAAUCAAAUAAAAACAAACAUGAACUACGAGUGGAGUGUUAUACAGAUUGCCAUGUCUUGAAAUUUAACAUUUUGGUUAAUAUUUUUAUUAAAAAAUAAUAAUUCAACUCUUUUUUAAACGUUGAUGAUCAAAUUCAAUUUUUUUUAAAAGAAUUUAAAAUUAAAUUAAACUAAAAAAUCCUAAAAGAUGUAAAUAUUUUAUGCCAGUAAUAUAUGUAUCUCUCUUUAUUUUCAUGCUCCUCUUUUGGUAGCUUCUACCCCUUGGUACUUUUGUGCCUUAAUAAUUUAACUUUCUUUGGAGGCACAAGGGCAUGGCAGAAAAAAAUGAUUUGAUUGUGUGAUGUUGUCAAUUUUCCUUCACAUCACAUGGCGGGGACCAAAAUGUUAACCCAAAUUGAAGAGCUAUACUAUUUUUCACAUAAAAGACUUUUUAACUUUGAAUGGGAAAAAUAAUAAUGUGAGAGUGACUUUAAAUAAUUAUAUAUAACUUGCUUUUUUUUUUAUUUCAAUGAUUUUAAAUUUCCUUACCUAUUAAAUUAAGAAAAGUAAAAUUAUCUUUAUGAUUUUUCUCAAUUUUGAUAUUAAGUAAAUCAGUCUUUUUAAAAAAUUAGAACAAUUUAAUUCUUGUCAAUUUUAAAAGUGAGUAACUACGGAUAAUUAAUUAUAGCGUUAAUGUUUUCUAUCAAUUAUACAUAAUUUUGAUUGGUAUAAUAAUAAAUUUAGCCAUUAAUGCUUAUAUAUUCUGCGUAACUGUUGACAAAAUGUGUAAACAUUGCGGACUAAAUUUGUUAAAUCAGGACCAACUUGAUGGAAUGUGAAAAUGUUAUGAGUUAUAUUUGUUAUAUUAAGGUCAAAUUGACAAAAUGUGUAAACUUUGAAGGUUAUAUUUUUUAUUAUACCAAGAAAAAAUUGUAGAACUGAUGAAAAACAUAAACAUUGUGGUUAAUUAUACUUAGUUGCUCAAUUUCAAAAUCAACAAUGAUCAAAUUUCUCCAAAUUUUUUUAGAAAGGGGCCAAUUUGCUCAACAUCAAAAUUAAGAGGGAUCAAAGAAAUGUUUUUACCAAAAAAGAAACAUUUAAUCUUUAAAUGAAGCCCAUCCUCUCUCUCACUUAAUUUUUCCUUUAUAUAUUUGGCUCUUUCUUCGAACCUCUAGCCUUUGUUUUUCUUGUUCUUCUCCUUUGAUCUCAAAUGACCUUUGUGAAGAUCUAAGCUUGGUCCCUUGUGUGUUUUCUUUUUUUGCAAUAAUGUGCAGCAUGGAGAAGAGUAUAUACUUAUAUAUAUAUAUAUAUAUAUAUAAAUAGAGAGAGAGAGAGAGAGAGAGAGAGAGUACUCCUCUUGUUCUUCUCUUUUCAUUUUGAGCAGCAUUUGCAGCACCCCUACCGGCAUCAACUUCGCUUGUAAUUUUCGUAAGCUUUUUCUUCAGUGGCCUUUGUUAGCCUAUAGCUCUAAUCUGAGUUGUAGACCACCAAUCCUUAAUGAGUUCACGAUCCAUGGUAUAUGGACACAUAAUGCUAAGAACAAACCAAUGCUCCCUUAUGAUUCAAACAAUCCCUGCACCUAUCCACCGGUGUAUGGAUUACAUGAAUCAUAACGAGACAUUGAUUUGUUAUUAGCAUUAUGAGCCCACAAUCCGUGGAUUGUGAAUUCGUUAUCAGUUGGUUUUCUACAAUUUAAAUUAGAGCGGCAAGUUGAUGAAGGUCAUUGAAGUGACAGUUUAUAGAAGUUUACAAGGGAAGUUGAUGCCAGAGAGGUACUGCAACACGGUUUAAUUAAUUGUAGGAAGCCAUCUGAUGUGAUAACUUUCUCAUUCUCGGCUCUUGUACACUAAAUCUAAAAUUGUGCACUUAAUAUUUGAUUGCUUGUUUAUCAUAUUCUAAAAUUUUAAUGGUGGAUCAUAUAAAAUAAGUUUGAUUGCUUAGACUUUCGAUUCCUUGUUUUAAGUUUCUUGCAUUAAUGUUUUUGAUCCUACAAAGAAUAUAUCGUUGGCUAAAAUGUUUUUUUUUUCUUAAAUUCUUUUUUCAAAUUUAAUAUUUUAGUAAAAAUAUCAAUUUAUGUACGAAUUUAAUAAAAAAAUACAUCUAUCUUAAGAAAAAAGAAAGGGUAAUUUAUAUUCUAGCAGAAACACCUCUCAUUCAAUCCGAUAACAAAUUUGAGUAAGAGAUACUACAUUUAACACUAAACUCAUCACUUCAAUUUAUUCUUAUUUCAUUGAGGUACUUUAUAACACGAAACAUUAUCUUUCGUACAUAAUUCACAUUAUUACUAAUAAGCUUAAGUGCAUGCCAAAUUAAGGUCCAGAAUUUAUAUAUCAAAGAACUUGAACUUGAAGCUUGCGGAGUGAAGUGGUCCAAAUUUAAGCAGAAAUCUUUCAACCUUUAUUGUUUUUUCUUUCAUAUAAUCAUACACUUCCUUGCAUUUUCACUUAAUUUAUGGCUUAUCAUACCAUAAAACUUUUCAUUUACAUAUCACAUGUUACUCAUAUCUUUUACAGAUCAUGAUCAUAAUUAGAAUAUCGAUAAUAGAACUCCUAGAGGCUUAGGCCAAAAUAGAACUCUCGACCUUUUAACAAAACUCUAAUAAUAGAUUUCCGAUAACCUACCUGUAGACAAUAUUUUGAAGAACAAAAUCAUCAACAUAUUGUAAACUGAACUCUUGUAUCGAUUGUAACCCCUGUUUCACCAAUCCUAAGAGUAAAUUUUUUUCUAUCUUAAACUCAUGUGAAAAAUUAAAAAUUAGAAAUUUCAGACAAAUUUUACAGAGCACACAAAGAAUAAAAGUUCAUAAUAAAAUGCAUAAAUCUAAAAAUUAAAAUUAAAUCAAAUAAGUCACUAACUUUUGUAUCUUGUCUUCUUUUUAAGAAAAUUUUAAUAUUCAAUAUCAAAUUUCUCAAUUUGCAACCCAUUCAUUUGAGUAACUAUUUUUUAUUUUUAAAUCUUAAUUAAAAAUGUGAGUAUUUGGUAUGCUGAUAAUAUAUUAUUUUUAUUUCACAAGUAAUUUUAAAAAAUUGACAUAUAUCUUUUUUUAAAAAUAUUUAUUUUUAAUAUUUUAUUUACCUCUGUAAGACACUUGUCAACCCAUUGAUUUUGUUGGUGGAGUUUAAAAACUCCACUAACAAUGUACCAAAUAAUUUUCUAAUAAUAUUCAAAAAUCAAAAUUUCAAAAAAAAAUCAUAAAAAUUAAAAAGAUAUUAAAACUUGAGGUAUUCUCGGUUCAACAGAGUAGAACUGGCCAAAACCCAGUAAAAAGGGAAAAAAAAAAAACUCUAAUGCAAUCUUAAGUGCGCGGAACCCAUGAACAUGAAAACUAAACCCAGGGGGAAAAAAGCAAAAAAGCUGAAAAAAUGGCAAAAAAAAAAAAAUCAAAUUCACAGUUCAAGAGAGUAAAACAGACCGAGCCCAGUAAAAGAAAGAAAGAAAACUCUAAUUGCAAUCUUAAGUGCACAAAAACCCACGAAUAUAAACACCAAACCCAGGAAAAAAAAAAAGAAACAGAGCUGUAAAAAUGUGGGAAAAAAAAAAGGGAAAAAAAUUUGGACCAUUUCUCGAUUUGUGCGUGUCAUCCUUGCCCAGGGGCCAUGCUAAUCUUCUCUGUAUCGUUCCAAUUUUAUCGGAUGUCCCCGAAGGGAAGCCAUCUGGUGCUUCUUUCGCUUAUAUAAACGCUCCUGUGUUAUAGUUCUUUAGCGAUAUGGGAUAUUUUCUAACCAGGGCCCUGAAGUUUGCUGCCACGUCCUGACCAUGCCAGCCUGAAUAGAGGCCUGAUGUCUUUGGAGUGGUACAUGAUAAAAACGUGGUUAACACACGUGGCAAGCUCAGUGUUUAUCACUUAUCCCAACUUGAUUAUUAGAACUUAGAGAAAAAAAAUAUAUAUAAACCAAUGUUACUUUCAUAUUUGACUUCAUAUUAUAAUCGGAUUACUAUUAAGUUUUAUUUGCCAUAGUUGUAGGUUAAAUUUUAAAAUAUUUGGGUUUGCCUUGGAAUCAAUGUAUAUUACCAAUCAAUAAUGUUGCUCUAUAAAACGUAAAUCCCAAUAUUGAUAUUAUAUUAGAACAUACUUCACGAAUAUGUAUGUAUGUAUCGAUAGGAAUAUUUCAACAGCAUUCCUUUAUAAUUCAUAGGACAUUUAAUUCAUGCAAUUCAUAGUGUUUUUCAUUUUAGAAAAUGAACAUUUUAAAAAAUGUAUUGUAGAACGAAUGAACGAUCAUGGAGAAGGUUCGAUGUAUGUUGUCAAAUGUCAACUUUCCAAAGUUAUUUUAGGCCAAAGCAGUGUCAAAUGUCAAAUGUCAAUCGGUCUCUAUCCGUUGCCAUUGAGAAAAAGACUCCAUAAGAGGUAUGGUCUGGUAAUUCUGCUGACGAUUCUGAUUUAAAGAUUUUUGGGUGUAUUGCGUAUGCUCAUGUUGAUAAUGGAAAAUUAGAAUUGUAUACCAUUAAAUGUGUUUUUCUUGGUUAUAAAGCUGGUGUGAAAGUGUAUAAGCUAUGGUAUCCUGAAAAUAGAAAAGUUGUGAUUAACAGAGAUGUUGUUUUUGAUGAAACUGUUAUGCUACCUAACAUAUCUCUUAAAGACUCUUCCAAUAAAGAAAAUCAAAAGCAGGUGGAGCAUCAGAUUAAUCUAGAAUCUACAACAGAGUCGACUUCUCAAGCCAGUACAAAAAUUUAAAAUAGAGUUGUUUCUUCAUCACAAUAUUCUAUUGCCAAAAACAGAAUUAGAAGAGAAAUUAAACCUCCAAAGAAGUAUGACAAGGCUGAUCUAGUUGCUUAUGCUUUAAAUGUGGCUGAAGAUAUAGAUGCAAACCAAGAGCCAUCUAAUUAUUCUGAUGCGGUUAACUGUGAAGACUCAGAAAAGUAGAUGUUUGCUAUGCAAGAGGAGAUGGGAUCACUCCACAAAAACAAAAUAUCAGAUCUUGUGAAACUUUCUAAACGAAAAAAGGUUGUUCGUUGUACAUGGGUAGAGGUGUCCAUGGGCAGGUCCGGGCCGAGUUCGGGCCGGGUCCAAAAAAAUUUUCAGCCCGCUUCCUAGGCCUGAGCCCGGCCUGGCCCGGUCCGUUUUUUAAUUAAAAUUAAAACUAAUUGUUAUUAAAAUUAAUUGUUAUUAAAAUUGUAUCAAAUUAUAUAUAUUUUUGUACCAGUCAAUAUUUUGUAAAAUCUAACAUUUUGUUAGUAAAAUUAUUAAUUAUUAAUUGUUAAUUGUAUUAAUUGUGUUUAAAGUCUCUUUAUUUUCAUGCCCCUCUUUUUCUAGCUCCUACUCCUUAGUACUUUUGUGCCUUGAUAAUUCAACUUUCUUUGGUGGCAUAGGGGUACGGAGGGAAAAAUAAUAAUUGUGUGACAUUGUCAAUUUUCUUUCACUUCACAUGGAGCUGAUCAACAUGUUAAUCCAAAUUGCAGAGUUACACCAUUUGUACAUAAAAGACUUGCUAGCUUUGAAUGGGUAAAAAAUAAUGUGAGAGUAACUUUAAAUAAUUAUAUAAAACAUACUAUUUUUUUUAUUUCAAAGAUUUUCUUUUUUGAGAUUUUCUUACCUAUGAAAUUAAAAAAAAAUAAAAAAUAUCUUUUUGAUAUUGAACAAAUUGGUCACUCUAAAAGAAAUAGAGUAAUUUAAUCCUUACCAAUUUUGAAAAUAACCACGAACAAUUAAUCAAGCGCUAGUAGUUUCUGUUAAUUAUACAUAAUUUUGAUUAGUAUAAAAAUAAAUUUAAUCCUUGAUGAUUAUAUAUUUUGUGUAAAUGUUGAUAGAAUGUGUAAUUAUUACGGGUUAAAUAUGUUAAAUCAUGAUCAAAUUGACAAAAUGUGUAAAUAUUGUGGGUUAAAUUAGUUAAAUCAAUAACAAAUUGAUAGAAUGUGUCAACUUUGAGGGCUAAAUUUAUCAUUAUACCAAAAAAAUUAUGUAUAAUUGAUGAAAAACAUUAACGUUGUAAUUAAUUGUCCUUAAUUUAUCACUUUCAAAAAUAAAAAUGAUUGAAUAACUCUGAUAUUUUUAGAAAUACCAGUUUUUUCAAUAUCGAAAUUGAAACAGAUUACAGACACAUGUUUUAAUAUAUUUACCAAAAUCGGGGUAAUUCUGAAAUCAAUUGCCAUUCUUCAUUUUAAUAUAUUUCAUUAUUAGUUGCUUAUGUUCUUUUUUUUUUCUUUUUUAUGGUUUAUGCAUGCAUUGUGUUUGGUUCUUCUUUUUGCAACAAUGAGCAACAUAGACAACAAAUAAUGAAAUAUUAAGUGCAUAACACAAAUCCCAAAUAUGAAUUAUAAAACGGAUAUAAAAGAUACAAAUAAAAAUUAAUACUAGACUCAGCCACGAAUGCUUUAAGGGAAAGCUGUCGCAUGAGAUGGCUUGGGCUCUUGACCUUUUGUAACAAAUAUAAAUCUGCCAUUAUCGAAGUGCAUUAAUCCUUUUGUUUCAUUUGCUAGCGAUUUGGGGAGAGGCUCCUACAAGGCCAUAAACUCUUAUCGCAACAAAUUUUUACAAGCUUUAUUUUCAAUGGCCUUCAUUAGUUUAUAUGAUCAAUCCCCAUUAAAACGACAAUUUUUUAUGGAAAUAUUAAACCCUUUUGUUGAUCUAUGGAUGUGAUCUUGUACGUCUCUAUUUAAUUUGCUUUCUUUCAUUAAAGAUACAAAAAUCUUCAUAAACCCAAACAUAAAAUAUCAGAGUAAUCCUCUUUUUUUUUUCCUCAACGAAUAAAAUUCCUUAGAAAUUAAAGGGUGUUGCUCGGAGCAACCACUGUAACAUACAAAGCAUCAAAACACCUUAAGAACCAAUCCAUAACCAAAUGGACAGUUACACUAAUAAACCAUAAACUCCAUGGAUUGGAACACCUAGUUAAUUAUGGAUGAUAGCCGUCUUGGAAAUUCAUACUUGAGACCCGCCAACCUUGCAACAUAUAAGCAAGACAGUCAACCGUAAAAUCAAAGGAUCAACAACCAAAUGACAACAAUCAGUAAUGCCCACAACUGAAAAUUUAAAACUUGAUCAGAAUCCACGCAACAUUAGGCCCUGUUCUUCCAUCAGGCAAAUACCAACAACCCAUUGAUUCAAUUUCGGCCGUCUUUUCAGAAUCAGCCGUAUCAUUAGUAGAUAGCUGCCUACUUUUAUCCCUCGUUAAGGAAUAAUAUAUAUAUAUUAUAUUUGUAAAGAUGCUUGAUAGCUUUAAGCUGACAUUGAUAUGGUAACCAUCAAAAGUUGGCAAAUACUUAAAACAGGGGUCAACCUUACUAGUAAAAGUUUACAUGUUUGUAGCCCAAUGCCAUGCAUGAUGCACAUGAAGUUCAAUUUUGAGGGUAUAAUGUGAAAUGGAACAGUUCAAAUAGUAGUUUUACAAAAACUGAAAUAACCUUUCACAUUUUACCAAAAGUUGCAGCCUCGUACUUCAGUAGAGCAACUCAACCUACAAUGAAAAUGGCGUCUCUAUGGUCACUUUAUAAAGCAUUAGUUAAGCCAUGAUGAAAAUAGAAGAGUCAAUUACCAUCUGUUUUGAAUUCAAACGAAAUUGAGCUUUUCGCAUAAGCACCCAUACAUAUUUCCUUAUUCCAGCUUGGGCAACUGAUCAGUAACCUCCGUCACCUCAGAAUUUUGCACAUUCUGUGCAUGAUCAUAACAAACCAAGAAUUGUUUAAUUAACUAUGUAUGUAUGUAUGUAAAAACACAUGAAUUUAAAUCCCUUAAAUGAUUUGUACCAUUUCAUCGAACAUAUGUUUUAUGGUAGUGUUAAGGUCGCCUUCUGUUGAAGCCGUGGCCUGCAUUGCAACAGAGAACCAACAGCAGCAAGCAGAUUGAAGACCAGCAGCAGCAAAUUGUAUAAUUUGAGCUGCCACACUGUUUUGAAGUAAUGUAAUGAAGCUGGUUCUGAUGAAGGAUCACAUUUUAAAUGUUUUAUUCCUAUGUAACUUUGACCAAAUCUUUUGUAAUAUGAUGGCUAAGUUAGUAGGAUAGAUUGACUGAUUCAUUUUGAUGUAAUAGCUGUUAUAUCAGCUUUCUUUUGUAAGCAAACUUUAUUUUUAAUAUGGAUUAAGUAAGGGCAGUUAAGUUAGUAGGUAACUGUCAACAUUUUGUAACCCUCAUAUAUUCAAAUUUGAAUGAAAGAAAUUAUGUCAUUCGGUUACAAUUUUCUUGUGUUCAUCAUUUAGUUUUUCUUUUCUUUACUUCUAUUUUCUGCCUUGUCUCUGUUCUUUGCUUAAAAACACAACAAAUGGUAUCGAGAGCUUUCAGUCUUUGAGGGCCUUGGUUGUGCACUGUCACUAAGCAAAUUUUGUUUGAAACAAAAGAAGUAAAGGUUGUUUUUGCUUGCUGAAAAUGAGUUUUACACCACCUCCUCCACCGAUCUUUGCUGGAGAAAAUUACAACAUUUGGGCAGUGAAAAUGAGAACAUAUCUGCAGGCACAUGACCUGUGGAAUGUUGUUCUCAAUGACACUGAGCCACCACCACUAAGAGCCAACCCGACCAUAGCUCAAAUCAGGCAGCAUAGUGAAGACUGUGCUAAGAAGUAUAAGGCCAUGUCGUGUCUUCAAAGUGGAGUCUCUGAUGUUAUUUUCACAAGAAUAAUGGCUUGUGACACUCCAAAGCAAGCCUAGGACAAACUCAAGGAGGAGUUUCAAGGGUCUGACAAGACCAGGCAGCAGCAGCUGAUUAACAUGAGAAGAGAUUUUGAAAAUCUCAAGAUGAAGGACUCAGAAACCAUCAAGCAGUAUGCUGACAGAAUCAUGGCUACUGUCAACAAUAUAAGGCUACUUGGGGAAGAAUUCAGUGACCAAAGAGUGGUCGAGAAAGUCAUAACGACCUUGCCAAAGAAGUAUGAGUCAAAAAUUUCCUCUCUGGAAGAUUCAAGGGACUUAUCAACGAUCCCUUUGACUGAGCUUAUAAAUGCCCUUUAUGCUCAAGAGCAGAGAAGAGCAAAUAGGCAGGAGGACCACUAUGAAGGAGCUUUUCAGGCUAGAAGCAGAGAAAGCCCAAGUGCAAACUUAAAUGCCAAAGGCAAGAAGCCUUGGAUUGAGAAGAAGAAGAAAGAACCUGUCAAAAGGAAGUUUCCACCUUGUGUCCAUUGCAAGAAGACUACUCAUCUUGAGAAAUACUACUGGUACAGACCAGACAUUCAAUGCAGAGCCUGCAAACAAUUUGGCCACAUUGAAAAGGUCUGUAAGAGCAAGUCAAAACCACAACCACAACUUCAAAACCAAGCUCAAGCUGCAGAAGAGGUUGAAGCACCAGAAGAGCAUGUUUUUUCAGCAUCAUGCUUCACAAGCUCGAGCAAAGUCAGUAAAAUAUGGUUGAUUGACAGUGGAUGUACCCACCAUAUGGCUUCUGAGAAGAAUAUAUUCAAGGAACUUGACACCACCUUCAAGUCCAAAGUCAGAAUUAGCAAUGGUGAGCUACUAGAAGCAAAAGGGAAAGGCAAGGCCUUGAUAAGCACCAAGUCAGGUAUUAAAACCAUUUCAGAGGUUCUCUAUGUACCUGGCAUUGACCAAAAUUUGCUCAGUGUUGGCCAAUUAUUGGAGAAAGGCUACUCUCUGAUUUUUGAAGGCAAUAACUGUUUGAUUAAAAAUGCUGCUGGUGAAGUGUUAACUAUGGUGGCUAUGCAAGACAGGACUUUCAUUGUAGAUGUGAAUCAGCUUCAGGUUAAGGCAUAUGCAUCUCAGUCUGAUGAGACAGACUUGUGGCACAGGAGGAUGGGGCAUGUGAACUACAAUUCUUUGAGUAUGAUGUAUAAAAUGGAUUUGGCUAGUGACAUGUCCAAAAUCGAGCCAAAAGAUGUUGUAUGUGAGGUCUGUCAGCUAGGCAAACAGACCAGAUUACCCUUUCCAGUCAACAAGGCAUGGAGAGCACAAGGGAAGCUUCAGCUUGUUCAUACAGACAUUUGUGGACCAAUGAAGACUACCUCCUUAAAUGGCAGCAGGUACUUUGUACUCUUCAUUGAUGAUUAUUCAAGGUUUUGUUGGGUGAAUUUUUUGAAGCAUAAGUCAGAUGUUUAUGAUUAUUUUUGCAAAUUUAAAGCCUUGGUUGAAAACCAAGCAAAUUGCAAACUGAAAUGUUUGAGGUCUGACAAUGGUUCUGAGUAUGUAUCUCAGAAGUUUCAAAAAUUAUGUGAUGAUGCUGGAAUUCAACACCAAUUGACUACUGUGUACACACCACAGCAAAAUGGUGUCUGUGAAAGAAAAAACAGAACAGUCCUUGAUAUGGCUAGGUGUUUGUUAUUUGAGGCAAAAAUGCCUAAUGCUUUUUGGGCUAAAGCUGUGAAUACAGCUGUUUACUUGUUGAAUAGGCUGCCAACUAAUGCAGUCAAGGGUAAGACACCCUUUGAAGCUUGGUUUGGACAGAAACCAUCUGUCUCACAUUUGAAGGUAUUUGGAUGUCUAUGUUAUGUGUUGGUACCUGAAAAGAAAAGAACCAAGUUGGACAGGAAGUCUAUGCCAGGGGUGUUUGUUGGCUACAACAAUGUGAAAAAAGGAUACAGAGUCUUUGAUCCACUGACCAAGAAGGUUGUAGUGAGUAGAGAUGUGAAAUUCAGUGAAACAAGUAGCUGGAAAUGGGAUGGAAUUGAAGCAAAUUUGCCUGAGGGAGAACAGACUGAUGUUGAUUUGCAGCAAGCUGAAAAUGAAGAAGUAACUGAAAAUAGUUAUGAUGAUGAACCUGUUCGAGGCACCAGGACGUUAGCAAACAUCUAUGAGAGAUGUGCAGUAACCAUAGUAGAGCCUUCAUAUUUUGAAGAAGCUGCAAAAGAAAAGUGCUGGCAAGAUGCUAUGGAAGCUGAAUUUAGAAUGAUUCAAAAAAAUGAUACUUGGGAGCUUGUAAAUAGACCUGAAAACAGAAAAAUUAUAGGUGUAAAGUGGGUCUACAGAAUUAAGAACAAUGCAGAUGGCUCACUUAAUAGACAUAAAGCCAGACUGGUUGUUAAAGGUUACAAUCAGCAACAAGGGGUUGAUUUUUCUGAAACCUUUACACCUGUUACAAUGUUGGAUACUAUCAGAUUGCUGCUUGCUUUGGCAGCUCAAAAGCACUGGAAGGUGCAUCAUUUAGAUGUUAAGUCAGCCUUCCUAAAUGGCUUUCUUAAUGAAGAAAUAUUCAUUGAACAACCUGAGGGUUUUGAGAUCACUGGUGAAGAACAGAAGGUUUACAAAUUGAAAAAGUCCUUAUAUGGCCUAAAGCAGGCUCCAAGAGCCUGGUAUGAGAGGAUUGAUGGCUAUUUAGCAAGGCUCGGGUUCACAAAGAGUGUUAGUGAGCCUACACUCUAUGUUAAGAAGAAUCAGGAGGAAACCUUGUUAAUUGUUUCCUUGUAUGUUGAUGAUCUGCUGGUUAUUGGCUGCAAAGAUGAACUUAUUGAAUAUUUCAAAAGGCAGAUGCAACAUGUCUUUGAGAUGACUGACCUUGGUCUAAUGACCUAUUUUCUUGGUAUGGAAAUCAGACAAAGAAGUGAUGGUAUUUUCAUAAGUCAGCAAACAUUUGCUUCCAAGGUGCUUGAAAAAUUUUGCAUGUUGAAAUGUAAAUCAGUAACUACACCUGCUGCAUUGGGGGAGAAGUUGUCGAGUAUCAGUGAACAUGAUCGAGUAGAUGAGAAAGCUUACAGAAGCUUAAUUGGUUGUUUGCUUUAUUUAACAGCAACUAGACCAGACAUUGUCUAUGCUGUUAGUCUACUCUCUAGAUUUAUGCACUGCUGCAAUGAGGCACAUUUGAAAGCAGCAAAAAGAGUGUUAAGGUAUGUCAAAGGAACCAUCGAUGCUGGAGUGAAGUUUUGGAGGGCAAAUGAGCUUAAACUUGUAGGCUAUUCUGAUAGCGAUUGGGCAGGGUCAGUUGACGACAUGAGGAGCACUUCAGGUUAUUUUUUUACCUUAGGCUCAAGUGUUUUCAGCUGGAGUUCAAAGAAGUAACAAACUGUUGCACAAUCUACAGCAGAAGCUGAGUAUAUCUCAGCUGCAGCAGCAGUGAAUCAAGCCAUUUGGCUUAGGAAGAUUUUGGAUGAUUUUAAUGAAAAUCAAGCUCAGCCUACUGAGAUUAGGGUGGAUAAUCAAUCAGCUGUUGCCAUAGCCAAGAAUCCAGUCUUCCAUGGUAAGACUAAACACUUCAAAAUCAAAUUUCAUUUUAUUAGAGAAGCUGAGCAAUCGAGGGAGGUUAGCUUAGUUCAUUGCAGCUCAGAAAUUCAGUUAGCUGACAUUUUAACUAAACCAUUGGGAGCCAGUCGUUUUAAUGCUUUGAAGGAAAGAAUUGGUGUUUGUUGCAUACAGUCCAAGGAGGAGUGUUGAAGCCGUGGCCUGCAUUGCAACAGAGAACCAACAGCAGCAAGCAGAUUGAAGACCAGUAGCAGCAAAUUGUAUAAUUUGAGCUGCCACACUGUUUUGAAGUAAUGUAAUGAAGCUGGUUCUGAUGAAGGAUCACAUUUUAAAUGUUUUAUUCCUAUGUAACUUUGACCAAAUCUUUUGUAAUAUGAUGGCUAAGUUAGUAGGAUAGAUUGACUGAUUCAUUUUGAUGUAAUAGCUGUUAUAUCAGCUUUCUUUUGUAAGCAAACUUUAUUUUUAAUAUGGAUUAAGUAAGGGCAGUUAAGUUAGUAGGUAACUGUCAACAUUUUGUAACCCUCAUAUAUUCAAAUUUGAAUGAAAGAAAUUAUGUCAUUCGGUUACAAUUUUUUUGUGUUCAUCAUUUAGUUUUUCUUUUCUUUACUUCUAUUUUCUGCCUUGUCUCUAUUCUUUGCUUAAAAACACAACACCUUCCCACUGCAGUUCACAUUCCUCAUCUCUUGUUAAGUGCAUUUGUUCCAGCCUUGGUGUGCUUAAAUCUCCUUGGCAGAAAUUCCUCAUUUGGGGGCACUUUGUCACCAUCACCAUUAGCAAGACUGGGCAUUCCAACGAGUGAUGGGCCAAGGAAAAGCUUGCAAGACAUGGCAGACAACUUAGUUGCAAAUACUUCAGUUUGGGAAAUACAAUGUCGCCUUGUAUUUCUUCAGCCUCACACGCUAUGAUUUCCCCUAUCAUCUCACAAUCAUCUAUGCUCAAUCUUUCCAAUAGCGUCAGGCACUUAGCUGUUGAGCAUGCGAUUAAAUUGAUGAACCCAUGGCAUCUUGAAACUUCCAGUGUUGUUAGAUUUUUGAAAGACAGCAAAGAUGGUUCAAAAGCCUUUAACGUCAACUCUGGAAGUUGAGACAAACUUAAUUCCUUUAGCUGAUAGAAUGCUGAUGUAUGCCUUUCCUGGUCGCUGAGUCCUCAGAUUGUACUAUUUGACAAAUGGAAGCAUUGUCUAUAACAAGCUUAUGAAGUAUUGGUAGUGACCGAAUGAAGGAAUACGGAAGAGUAGUAGAUGUCUCAGGAAAGAAUUGGAGGUUAAGAUGCUUAAGGUUUUGGAAACACUGCAAUGAGAGUUGUCCAUCACAUAUCCCCUUCCCCAUAUCAUUCGUCUUCAGUGUUAGUUAUUCUAAUACAGGGAAAGUGUCCUGGAUGGCAACGAAUAUAUUAAACAUUGAUCAAAGAGUUUUCAAUUAGUAAGAACUAGACUUCAAAAUGAAUAUAAUUUCCAUUUUCUUUCUCAUAAAUUUAAAAGGAAGGUGAGAAUAUUAGUUAUUUCAGAAGGCAUUUUAUAGGUAAUCUCAAGAAAUGAACAUGGAGUAUGAAACUGUUAGUGAGCUCACCUCAUUGACGCAGAACAAGGGUUGUUGGUUUGAGAUUCCAACCUGACACUCAGGACAUUGAAGAGUAAAUAUCUGAACUUUGGGGCAUUCAAUAAUGUCCAUUUGUUUCAAUGAAGGCCACUUGGUGGUAUGCAUCCUAGAGUAGAAACUUUUCAAUCUCGGUACCUUAACCAAUCCGAGGUUUAUUAGUUUGGGAAAUACAAACUUGGUCGUCUCUGUUUCAGCCAUAAAUGAUUGAGCAGCUGAUGUUGACUGUGACUCAUCAGCAAUGAGUCAUUGCAGCUCAAUAAUUUGUUCUAAUGAAUCACAAUUGUGAAUCCGCAACUUCUCCAAACUAGGGAAAACAACCUGCUAAAUCAUUUCAUUAGGUUAAUAACUGAAAUAUGCAUGGAAAAGAAGAACUUCAAAUGAAUAAGAUCAAUCGAAGUAACAUAAAUUAAAAGGAGAACCGGUAAAGAAAUGACCUUUUCAUUGAGGAGAGAUGAGUUAUUAACCUCCAAGUUACUUGCUUGUACAUGUUGGCCAAUUUCAGGUUCAUCUUCGGAUACACAUUUAGUGAUGAAUGUUUUUAGCAAUGGAAAAUUUGCUAGUUGUAAAUCUGUCAAACGUUGGAAUUCAAAGUAUUUUCAAAGCAAAAACUUGUGAGUUUGGGAAGGUGUUUUAGCCACAGCAAUUCUAGUUUAGAGAAAAACACCUGAUUCCUCCCUUGAUGUUCUUCAACCAAUCUAUCCGUGAAUAUUACUUGUUCCAUCAUAUUACAGUCCCAAAUUUUAAGGCGUCAGAGUUUCACAAGAUCUUUUACCAUGAAAGAAGUAUUGGGAGCAUCAUCUUUUACGACACAAUCUUGAUGUUAUGCACAUUGAGAAAAAUGUCUGCGAGAACAUUGUGGGUACAAUUUUAAAAGUCGACGGAAAAUCAAAAGACAAUCUUCAGAGUCGACUUGAUUUAGUCCAAAUGGGAAUUCGGCCUGAUCUUCAUCCCAAUCCACUUCCGAAUGGGAAAUAUCGGUUGCCGCCUUCUAUUUUCUCAAUGUCCAAGAUGGAGAAAAAACUGUUUUGCAUGGUGUUGAAGAAUAUAAAGGUUCCGGAUGCGUAUGCAUCAAAUAUAUCUCGAUGUGUUAGUGUUAAAGAGCGAAGAUUAUAUUCGCUAAAAUCACAUGACUAUCACAUCUUGAUGCAAGAUUUAAUGCCAGUUGCUCUACGAUGUUGUAUGUCCAAGAAGGUGACGUCUUGUAUGAUUGAACUAUCCAACAUAAUGAAAGCCAUCUGUGGCAAAGUUUUGGAUGUUCAAGAACUUCAGAAGGUACAGGAUCGAGCCGCUUUAACUUUAUGCAACAUGGAGAUAAUCUUCCCACCUUCCUUCUUCACCAUUAUGGUUCACUUGAUAAUUCAUCUCCCGCACGAAGCAAUUCUUGGCAGACCUGUUUUCUAUCGAUGGAUGUAUCCCAUAGAAAGGUGUUAAAGAAGUAUUUUUUUCAAUUUUUCUUCAUUCACCUCUAUGCCUUUAGUUACAACUUUUGAUAAUGUUGUAUAUUGUGUUUAGGUUCCUAUCCAAAUUAAAAUCUUACUGCCGCAACAAGCGAUAUCCAGAAUGAUCGAUUGCUGAAGGCUACUUGGCAGAGGAAUGUAAGACCUUCUGCUCAAGAUAUUUGGAAGAUGUCGAAACAAGGUUGAACAGACCAAAUAGGAAUGCUGGACUCACGGACUAUAACUUAGCCGAUACUUAUUUGUUCCAAAGUUUUGGAGAACCAAUCGGCAAAGUUGAAAUUGUAGAAUUAGAUCAUUUAUCGUGGGUACAAGUACAUCGAUAUGUUCUGUUUCACCACGAAUCAUUGGAACCUUUACGGAAGUAAGUUAUACAAAUUUUAAAAAUAUUUAUCGAACUAAAAAUUGUUUAUCUUCUAACAAAGAUCACAUUUUAUUUAACAUAGUGAGUACAAACAAAUAUUGAGAUCUCGUUCGCGCUCCCGAAGAACACAACAUCGAGAUAUCAAUAAGUUGUUUAGAGAAUCUUUUUAUGAAUGGUUGUGCCAAACGAUAUGCAGUUCGAGCUUUCGCUUACAAAUUAUAAUGAUUUCUCAUAACAUUUUUAAUUAGUCAGUUUACUUUCCAUUCAAUAGGUUUGGAGUGGGAAGAGCGUAAACGACGAAGUUAAAUGGCUCUCCCAAGGUCCAAAUCGAGUGGUUAAAAGAUAUAGUGUGUUCCUCAUCAACGGAUUCAGAUUUCAUACAAAAUAUCGGGAGAGGUUGAGGAGAACGCAAAAUUGUGGAAUAGUUGUUAAUUCUGCAAUUACAAGUUAUGCUAGCGCUAGGGACAAUAAUCCUGUCGAGGGAAAUGUGGAAUAUUUCGGACAGCUUACUGACAUUAUUGAGUUGGAUUACUACGGCAAAUGGAAAGUUGUCUUAUUUCGAGGUGAUUGGGCCGAUGUUAAUACAGCUCGUGGAAUCAAGCAAGAUCAAUUUGGUUUUACAAUGGUGAACUUUGACCGAUUGAUUCACACAGGACAACAACUGAUAGAUGAGCCGUAUGUAUUCUCAAGUCAAGUCAAACAAGUUUUUUACUCAAAAGAUCCAACUGAUGAGGGUUGGUACGUUGUACUCCGUAACAUCCCUAGAGACUUGUUUGACAUGGGCAGUGGAAGUAGAGAUAACAUCGACGAUAGAUCAGAAACUUUGUCAUUUCCAGAACAAAACUUAAAUGAUAAUAUCCCUAGUACUAGUGCACAAUUUCAAUGGGUUCGUCAGGAUACGGAUGAAGAUAUUUACGAAUAAUGAUGUAGUAAGAUUUUACGAAUGUUUAAUUAUAUGUAAUAUCAUCAUUUAUAUCUUGGUCUCAUUAUAUCAUAUCAACUGUUUUAUAUGUGCUGUUAUUGUUGUAAUUAGUUAUUAAGUUUUCAACUAUUUUAUGUGUAUUGCAGAUAAAAUGCCCAGAAGAAAAAUUCUAAGGGGAAGCAUUGUUCAAAAUGAUCCAAACUCGACAGAAACAAAUAGUACUGAACAACAGACAGCAAUUGGAUCUUCGAAUGUUCCGAUUACAGAUGAGGAUCCUACAGAAGUUCAAAGUAAUUUUACAUUUAAUUUACAAGCGUGUUAACUUAUAGUUGAUUUAUCUUUCAAAUUCUUAUAUUAUAAUAUACCAUUUGUAGCUGAAAAUGGAGGGACGCGCAGAGGUCGAGGACGUACGCUACUUAAAGAGUUAUACGAGUUAGAUCCAGUCGAGCGUGUCAAGGUAUGCAGAAACAGUUUUGGUCAGCCUGUUGGAUCAGAAGCUUGACUUUUAGUAGGAUACAUGGGCAUUUUAGCACGAAAUGUGAAUAUGUUGCCUAUCAACUACGAGUCAUGGCGUGAAAUGCCCGAUAGCAACAAAAAUCAAGCCCUCGAUAAUAUUAAGGUAACAAAAUGUUAAUGUCAUCUGUAAUGCUUGGGAAAUACUUUCUUUUAUAUUUACUUUAUUAACUUGUGUUUUUUGUAGGCGAGGUUUGCUUUAGAGGUCUCCGAUGCUUAUGUAAAGAUGGCAUUGGGAAAAAGAUGGAGAGACAAUAAAAGUACGUUGAAGAAAAAUUAUUAUAAGACAAAAACAACCCUCGAUGAGAAAUUGCAAAAUGUCCCGCCGGGUAUGUUGAGGUACCAAUGGGAAGAUGCGGUUAGAUUUUGGCAAUCGAAGAAAGGCGAGGUACGACGUACUUCCAAACUAUUGUAAUUAUUUUGGUUUAUACUAUUUACUAUUUACGUUCUAAAAAUUUUAUAACGUAGGAUUGUGAACGAGUUGGAAAAAGUAGCCGGCAGCAACAAAAAUUCACUCACACAGCCGGGUCAAGAAGUUUUGCAUGUGUAGCUGAGGCGGAGGUAUUUCUAAUUUUUUAAUAUUCUCAAAUAUGUAUAACUUUCUAUUAAAUAAUAUUGUUACUACUAUAUUGUAGGAACGGGCGUCUGGUCAAAAAGUUGGACGCCUUCAACUUUUUGAAAUUACACAUAAGAAGAAAGAUGGAUCUGCUAUGACUCUUGAAGCUGGUGAAAUUAUGGUACGUUUGCUUAAUACGAUUUGACUUGUUUUAGUUAUUUAUAGUGUUUCUUUACUAAUGGUUUAAUUUAUUGCUUUUAAUGCGACUAUUGUUAUAUUGCAUUUGUUUUUUUUUAAUAUAUAUUGUGUUCCUAACUAUGUGAUUUAUUUAUUAGGAAAAACUAAAGGAUAAAAAGAUGGAGUACGAAGCGAUUGCGUCUACUGAUAGUUCUAUUCAUCUUGAAGACAUUGACAACCGGAUUAUUACUGAAGUUUUGGGUCCAGAAAAGUAUGGUCGGGUUCGAUUUCAAGGAUCUUUUAUCAGCCCAACCCAAUAUUUUGGAACCAGCUCGCACCAAUACAUGGCUUCGGGGAGUCAAUCUCAAGCUGAAGUUCAGAGGUUAAAAGACCAGAUGGCUCAGAUGCAAGCGACCACAUUUGAGGUUCAAAAGAAAUAUGAAGAACUUCAGCAACAACUUAAAACAGAGGCGGCAGCGAGGGAAGCAGAGGCUGCAGCGAGAGAAGCAGAGGAUCAAAAGAAAUAUGAAGAACUACAACAACGACUUCAAGCAGAUGCGGCAUCGAGAGAAGCAGAGCAGAGCAGAAAGUAUGACGAACUUCAACAGCAACUUCAGAUGAUGAUGAAGAUGUUUCAGCAGUCGCAACUUCCGCCUCCAUAAUGUAUGUUUCAUAAAUAUUUUAAUCAUUUUAACAUUUAACGUUUUUGUAAAGAAAAGUAUGAAUUCAUUUUUAUAUAUUGAUAUUAAUAUUAUUUUAGUCAUUUAAUUUGAAAUAUUAUAUAAAUUUAUUGUUUUUGGUUAGUUUAGAUUUGGUUGCUUUUAUUUUGUUGUUGCAGGAGGGCAGAAAAAAACAAAAAAAAUUUAUUUUAAAAAAAUCCCAAAAUUAGUGGCGUUUUUAAAAAAAGCGCCGCUAAAAGUUAUAUCAUAUAGUGGCGUUUCUGAAAUAAGUGCCGCUAAAGCACACUACUUUUAGUGGCGUUUGUAGAUAAAGCGCCGCUAAAGAAUUUUACUUUUAGCGGCGUUUAUUCCCAAGUGCAGCUAAAGAUCAUGUAAUUUAGUGGCGUUUUCUAUAAGCGCCGCUAAAGAUCAUGGUCUUUAGCGGCGUUUGUUGCACAAGCGCCGCUAAAGAUCAUGAUCUUUAUUGGCUUUUUUUCUAAGCGCCGCUAAAGAACAUGAUCUUUAGUGGCAUUUUUUUCCUAAGCGCCGCUAAAGAACAUGAUAUUUAGUGGCGUUUUUUCUAAGCGCCGAUAAAGAACAUGACCUUUAGCGGCGUUUUUUCUGUAAGCGCCGCAAAAAGUUAGCGGCGAUAUCCUUAGCGGCAUUUUUUGUGGCGCAUCCACAAGCGCCGCAAAUUCCUUUAGUGGCGUUUAAAAGCGCCGCUAAAAACCUGUUCUGGUGUAGUGAAUGUGUAAUUAUUACGGGUUAAAUCAUGAUUAAAUUGACGAAAUGUGCAAAUAUUGUGGGUUAAAUUUUUUAAAUUAAUGACAAUUUGAUAGAAUGUUUAAACUUUGAAGGCUAAAUUUAUCAUUAUACCAAGAAAAUUAUGUAUAAUUGAUGAAAAAUAUUAACGUUGUGAUUAAUUGUCCUUAAUUUAUCACUUUCAAAAAUAGAAAUAAUUCAAUAACUCAGAUAUUUUUAAAAAUACCAACUUUUUCAAUAUCGAAAUUGAAAACAAUUAGAGCCACAUGUUUUAAUAUAUUUACCGAAAUUGGGGUAAUUCUGAAAUCAAUUGCCAUUCUUCAUUUUAAUAUAUUUCAUAAUUAGUUGCUUAUGUUUUUUUUUAUGGUUUAUGCACGCACUGUGUUUUUUUUUUUUUUUUGCAACAAUGAGUAACAUAGACAAUAAAUAAUGAAAUAUUAAGCGCAUAAUACAAAUCUCAAAUAUGAAUUAUAAAAUGGAUAUAAAAUAUACAAAUAAAAAUAUCAGAUUAAUCCUCAUAUUUUUUUCCCUCAACAAAUAAAAUUCAUUAGAAAUUAAAGGGUGUUGCUUGGAGCAAAGCAUCAAAACACCUUAAGAACCAAUCCAUAACCAAAUGGACAGUUACACUAAUAAACCAUAAACUCUAUGGAUUGGAACACUUGGUUAAUUAUGGAUGAAGGCCAGCUUGGAAAUUCAUACUUGAGACCUGCCAACCUUGCAACGUAUAAGCGAGACAGUCAACCGUAAAAUCAGAGGAUCAACAACCAAAUGGCAACAAUCAGUAAAGCCUACAACUGAAAUUUUAAAACUUGAUCAGAAUCCACUUAACAUUAGGCCCUGUUCUUCCAUCAGGCAAAUACCAACAACCCAUUGAUUCAAUUUCGGCCGUCUUUUCAGAAUCAGCCGUAUCAUUAGUAGAUAAUUGCCUACUUUUAUCCCUCAUUAAGGAAUAAUAUAUAUAUUAUAUUUGUAAAGAUACUUGAUAGCUUUAUGCUGACAUUGAUAUGGUGGCAAAUCCUUAAAACAGGGGUCAACCUUACUAGUAAAAGUUUACAUGUUUGUAGCCCAAUGCCAUGCAUGAUGCACUUGAAAUUCAAUUUUGAGGGUAUAAUGUGAAAUGGAACAGUUCAAAUAGUAGUUUUACAAAAACUGAAAUAACCUUUCACAUUUUACCAAAAGUUGCAGCCUCGUACUUCAGUAGAGCAACUCAACCUACAAUGAAAAGGGCGUCUCUAUGGUCACUUUAUAAAGCAUUAGUUUAAGCCAUGAUGAAAAUAGAAGAGUCAAUUACCAUUUGUUUUGAAUUCAAACGAAAUUGAGCUUUUCGCAUACGCACCCAAACUUAUUUCCUUAUUCCAGCUUGGGCGACCGAUCAGUAACCUCCGUCACCUCAGAAUUUUGCACAUUCUGUGCAUGAUCAUAACAAACCAAGAAUUGUUCAAUUAACUAUGUAUGUAUGUAUGUAAAAACACAUGAAUUUAAAUCCUUUAAAUGAUUUGUACCAUUUCAUCGAACAUAUGUUUUAUGGUAGUGUUAAGGUCGCCUUUCCACUGCAGUUCACCUUCCUCAUCUCUUGUUAAGUGCAUUUGUUCCAGCCUUGGUGUGCUUAAAUCUCCUUGGCAGAAAUUCCUCAUUUGGGGGCACUUUGUCACCAUCACCAUUAGCAAGACUGGGAAUUCCAACGAGUGAUGGGCCAAGGAAAAGCUUGCUAGACAUGGCAGACAACUUAGCUGCAAAUACUUCAGUUUGGGAAAUACAAUGCCGCCUUGUAUUUCUUCAGGCUCACACGCUAUGAUUUCCUCUAUCAUCUCACAAUCAUCUAUGCUCAAUCUUUCCAGUAGCCUCAGGCACUUAGCUGUUGAGCAUGCGACUAAAUUGAUGAACCCAUGGCAUCUUGAAACUUCCAGUGUUGUUAGAUUUUUGAAAGACAGCAAAGAUGGUUCAAAAGUCUUUAACGUCAACUCUGGAAGUUGAGACAAACUUAAUUCCUUUAGCUGAUAGAUUGCUGAUGUAUGCCUUUCCUGGUCGCUGAGUCCUUCAGAUUGUACUAUUUGACAAAUGGAAGCAUUGUCUAUAACAAGCUUAUGAAGGAUUGGUAGAGACCGAAUGAAGGAAUACGGAAGAGUAGUGGAUGUCUUGGGAAAGAAUUGGAGGUUAAGAUGCUUAAGGUUUUGGAAACACUGUAAUGAGAGUUGUCCAUCACAUAUCCCCUUCACCAUAUCAUUCGUCUUCAGUGUUAGUUCUUCUAAUACAGGGAAAGUGUCCUGGAUGGCAACGAAUAUAUUAAACAUCGAUCAAAGAGUUUUCAAUUAGUAAGAACUAGACUACAGAAUGAAUAUAAUUUCCAUUUUCUUUCUCAUAAAUUUAAAAGGAAGGUGAGAAUAUUAGUUAUUUCAAAAGGCAUUUUAUAGGGUAAUCUCAAGUAAUGAACAUGGAGUAUGAAACUGUUAGUGAGCUCACCUCGUUGACGCAAAACAAGGGUUGUUGGUUUGAGAUUCCAACCUGACUCUCAGGACAUUUUGGAGUAAAUAUCUGUACUUUGGGACAUUCAAUAAUGUCCAUUUGUUUCAGUGAAGGCCACUGGGUGGUAUGCAUCCUAGAGUAGAAACUUUUCAAUCUCGGCACCUUAUCCAAUCCGAGGUUUAUUAGUUUGGGAAAUACAAACUUGGUCGUCUCUGUUUCAGCCAUAAUAGAUUGAGCAGCUGAUGUUGAAUGUGACUCAUCAGCAAUGACUCCUUGCAGCUCAAUAAUUUGUUCUAACGAAUCACAAUUCUGAAUCCGCAACUUCUCCAAACUAGGGAAAACAACCUGCUAAAUCAUUUCAUUAGGUUAAUAACUGAAAUAUGCAUGGAAAAGAAAGAACUUCAAACGAGUAAGAUCAAUCGAAGCAACAUAAAUUAAAAGGAGAACCCGUAAAGAAAUGACCUUUUCAUUGAGGAGAGAUGGGUUAUGAACCUCCAAGUUACUCGCUUGUACAUGUUGGCCAAUUUCAGGUUCAUCUUCAGAUACACAUUUAGUGAUGAAUGUUUUUAGCAAUAGACAAUUUGUUAGUUCUAAAUCUGUCAAACAUUGGAAUUCAAAGUAAUUUUCAAAGCAGAAACUUGUGAGUUUGGGAAGGUCUUUUAGCCACAGCAAUUCUAGUUCAGAGAAAGACAUCUGAUUCCUCCCUUGAUGUUCUUCAACCAAUCCAUCCGUGAGUAUUACUUGUUCCAUCAUAUUACAGUCCAAAAUUUCAAGGCGUCGGAGUUGCACAAGAUCUUUUACCAAGAAAGACGGGAACAGGUAUUUCAAAUUGUGACACCUGUUCACUUGCAAGGUUUUUAGGCAUCCGACAGAUGGGGAGGAUGGGUGGUGCCAUAUCUUUUGACUGUUAAUGGAGGACAAUUCCAGAUUCUCCAAACGAGGAAUGACAACCUGUUGACAUAAAUUUCAUUAGAAGAUAAUAUCACUCUUCCUUCUUUACUUGUAAAUAUAAUCAAAACAAGUAGAUGAGUAUAAAGAUUUAUAAACUGAUAAGUUAAGGUUAAUAUUCAAAUAUCAACUCACUCUACAGUUAAAGUGAUAAAUACAGCUAGGAGACGUGAACCCUUUUUAUUAGAUGAAAUGUUCAGCAGCAUAAAUCUAACCUAAAGCAAAAUUUGUUUUUUUUUUUAAACCUCGAGCUUUCAUAUUUGCUAUAAUGAUUGUUGAAUGAUUAUUAUUAAAGCAAUUCGACAGGGGAAUAUGCUUGUUUUUAAUAAAGUUGGACUCACAUAUUUAUGUAGUUUCCAUUAAUGAUUUACAUUAAUUACUUAAAAUAAUUUAAAAAAUGUUAAGCAUAAUUACUUAUUUAAUUAUUUAAUUGUUAUGUCACAAAAAUGAAAAUUCAAUGCCUGAAAGAGAUGAAAAUUUAAAUGGAGUUUUUUUUUUUUUUGUAAAGUUGAAGAGUUAUCAUUCUAAAAGGUUAUUGGAGGAGGGAUGAGCAUUGAAGGUCAUUGUUUGCUAUGUCAAGGGAACCAAGAAACAAGAGAUCAUCUUUUUGCAGACUGUAUGUUUGCCAAAACUGUACGCUUUAAAAAUACUUUAAAAAAUACUUCUCAUUUUUUAUUUUUUUUUGAAAAAAUACUUUAAAAAUUAUAUAAAAUUCUUAUUCAAAUUAUCCAAAUAUAUUCCUCAAAAAAUUUCCUCAACUUUAUCUGAAUUGAAAACAUUUGAUUUUAGAUAAGCUUGAGGAAAUUUUGUGAGGGCUAUAUUUGGGUAAUUUAGAUAAGAAUUUUAUAUAAUUUUUUAAGUUUAUUUUUUUUUUAAAUGAGAAUGGUUUGUUUUUAUUCUUAUAUUUCUUAAGGGUUGUUUAAAUUUAAUUUCAAAAAAAGAUAAACUUAAUAUACAAAUAGACCAAAAUAUGAAAAGCAUUUAAUUUGGUGCCGCCAUUCUGACCGGCAAAACCCUUUUUUCCACUAAUUAAAAAAGGAUAAUUACUUCGUCAAGUCCAUGAACUUUUUAUAUAAUCACACUUCAGUUUGAUAUCACCAAUUUUUCAGACGAAACUACUAAAAUUUUAUUAUUUUUUAAAUAAAAUACAAUCAUUGGUCGAUGAUAGCGGGUCGGUGCCGUCAUUGUAUCUGGCAGCAUCGACAAACACGGUAGAAAUCAAGUCAUUUAUGUGCAUAAUUUUUAAAUUUAGUCAUAUUCAUAACUAAUUAAAAAAAAUGAGAUACUUUUAUAAAAACCCGACAAGUAACUUUAACUAAUUAUAUUGAAUUUUUUUCCUUUCAAUCAUUUUUUUUCUAUGUAUGAAAUUUUCUUAUCUAUCAAAUUAAAAAAAUCAUUAAAUCUUUCAAUAAAACCCAUCCACUCUUUCCCACUUCAAUUCUUCUCUAUAUAUUUGGUUCGUUUCUUCAAACUCACCUUUUGUUUUCUUGCUUCUUCUCCUUUGAUCUCAAAUGACCUUUGUGAAGGUUUUCCACAAUUAUUUCCUUCUUUUUUCUAUUAUUAUUUUAUUAUUUAUUGUCUAUUAGUAUUUAAUUUAAAACUUCUCUUAAAUUCUUAUUAUUUAUUAGUAUUUCACUUUAAGUUUUCCUUUCAAUUCUUAUUUUAUAUAUUUAUUUAUACUUUAAACUCCAGUUUUUUUUUAAAUAUUAUCUUAUUUAUUAAUAUUUUUAUGGAUUUUAUUAUAUUCAAUUUUGACAAGGUGUAGCACUAGUAUGUAUAUUUAGACCAGACACACUCAUGUUGAUCAAAUCAAAAGAAAAUGUGAAAUAAGUUGUGCAGAUAUAUAUUGAAUACCAAACUUACCUUAUUGCUGAAAAAAGUUGCAGUGUUAUCAUAGAUGCCCCCUUCACCAACCACGCUUUCAGUUGCAUCACCACUCUCUCUUGAAACUGAGGAAGAAAAUGCAGUCAUUUUUGGACAUUCAGCUAUCGUGAUAUACCUCAGCUUUGGAAAUUCAAGAGCUUGACUUCCCCAAUGGAAAUUUGUCAAGUUGGAACACGACUUAAUUGUUAUGGAGAAUAGCCAAAGAAAUGAAAAUUUAUGUGUCAUUGCUUCCUCCUCCUCCCUAACUACUUCUUCCAUUGAACUGCAUUCUUUCACUUUUAUCCUUCGUAGUAGAUUGAGGCCCAAAAGCAUAGACGGAGUAAAUAUGUACUUCAAGCUGCUACAUUUAUAAAACUGCAGGUGUCUAAGGUUUUCGAUGCCCAAAAUUUCUUGAGGGUUUCUAGUCCAUAUUUCUAUCGACUCCGGAAAUGUGUCAGAGAUGUUGAAAUCAAAGAGUCCAUCCUAAAAAUUAAUCUAAUAUUAUUCCACUAGAUAGCAAUCAUAAAUAGAAAAUGCAGACAAUAACAAAAUAACGAUUAACACUCUUCAAUGGUUAUGGAAGUAGUAAUAAAAUUAAUUGUAUUAGGACAAGAGGAAUCUAGCAAGCAUUAUGAACUUAUUAACUUUGUACCUUUCCUGUGUAGAGCUGUUGUAUGGUGGUAUUAAGGUCACUUGUCCAACUCCAUUUCUCACUGAAACGCGACUGUUUUAUUCUCUGUAAUUGUGGGGUGCUUAAAACUCCCUCAGAAAAGAUCUUUAAACUUGGACAACGUUCCACAACUAAUUCUUCCAAACAAGGAAACUCGAAGUUGUAAUACCAUGGACAAAAACUUGUGAGGCUCUUCAAAUUCAAUAGUUGUAAACAUUUCAAUUUACUAACAACUAUUGUCUGAUGACAGUCUCUCUCGUCUCCCACUAUUUCUGUCAUUUCAGUGCAGUCUGCUACCUUUAUUGUCGUUAAUUGCACAAGAUUCUUAAGUACUGAGGGUGUAAAUAAGUUUGUCAUCAUUCGACAAAGUGACACAUUCAAAUUUGUGAGAUUUUGUAAAGAUGAUGAGAAGCCUCUGAUAUUGACCCAAUCAUCACAAUUAUGAACUGUGAGUGUUUGAAGAUUAGAAAGAAUAUGGUCAAGCUCCGAAUCUUUCCUCCAAAUAUGCUUAAGAUUUCUGGCAGAAACCAAUUUCAGAUUUCUAAUUGGUGGGAGAGUCCCGGAACCUCCUUUACAAGGGACUACAUGUUUGAAAUCAAAAUAAGAAACCUCAAGUCUUUCCAGAUUGUAGAAUCUUCGGACGAAAGAAAAUAAAGAAAAUGGAGAGCCACCACUCACUACAAAAACUUUAAUAUGUUGAAACAAGUCUGGUGGAAAUUGGUCCAUAUCACCAAAAUUUCGUAACUCAAAUUACAUAUCACCAAGAUUUGGUAACUUAAGUUCCAUAUCAUCAAGAUUUCGAAACUCAAGUUCCUCUAAUUUGGGAAUGACCUUGGAAACCAAUUAAAUAUAAACAAGUUAGGCUCAAUGUUGAUGUAUAUGCUUUAAACAAACAAACAAAAAAAAAGAUAUACAAUUUUAGUGUUUGAUUUUGAUGAUUAAAUCCCAACAAAAUCAAUAUUAAAUCAAACGAAUUCAGAAUAGAUGAAUUUUUUGUUUUAAGAAAAACACAAUACCUUGAGAAUAAAAACUGAUAAAAAUUACACAACAUGAAAGCCGAAAGAAGAGUAGCAAAUCUAGAUUAAAAUAGAUAAACAACCAUUGUUAUAUAUUUUUUUUCUAUGAUAAAAAAUAUAAGCAGAACAGUGUAGAUAAAACACCAAGGUUUUAAAAUAUUAUACUGAUUUAAUUUGAUGGUUAAAUUAACGAAUUUAAUAAUAGAAAGACCUAGUUGACUAAUUUAAUAACAAAUUUAAUUUAAUAGUUUAAGAAUGUAAUUAAAAUAUUUUAAAUUUUGGGACUAAUUUAAAAUGAAGAUCAUAGUUUAAGACGUGUAGUAUAAUUAACUUUUAAAAUUUUGACUUUUUAUUGAGUGGCGAUUUUUUUUAGCAAAUUAAACGUUCUAUUUAGUUUCGACCCACUACUUAAAUGCAGGGUAAAUUACAUAUAUAGUCACUUAAGUGUUAAAAUAUUUUCAUUUUGGUCAAUUAGAAACAAGUAAAAUUUCAAUUUAAGUGUUAGAGAAAUUGAAUAUCUUAAUUGCUAUGCCGCAAAGCCUCUAACGGGAUGCUAACGUAGCUUUUUUUUUUUUUUUUGCAUAAUAAUAAAUUUAAUCCUCAACAUUUAUACAUUUUAUCAAAUUGAACUACAUUCUAAAAAGUCAAGAUUAACACUCAAUAUUUACCUAUUAUGUUUAUUCAGUCUUUUUUUAAAAAUUGAAAAAAUAAUUAUAAUUGUAACAAAAAAUUUAAAAUAUAUAUAUUAAAAAUUCAAAAAUACGAAAAAAAAAAUUCAAAUCAAACAAAAUAUAAUAAUUAGAAAUGCAUUAUCGUGGCAUAUUUCUAACUUGAGAUGCUUGUGGCAGUGGUUUAAAUCAUAAAAGGAAAUAUAGUUGUAAUGAUAUACAUACCUCUUCACCCAACAAUACUGGCUGCUCAUUUCCUUGGAUUAAUCUAAGAUGUUCCGAUGCCACUAUCUUUAGCAAAGCAGAAGUACUAUCUGUUCUCAAUUUUUUCAACAUCGGCCAGACUAUAGUAUGUUGCCCUUCAUAAAAACAUUUGAGCUUUUCUACCCCUGUAACCCUAAGGUAAGACACUUGCGGAAACUCAAACCUCACAGGCUGCUCCUCCACUCCAUCCCCUUUCGAUACAAUCUCCUCAACUCCACAAUCAGCGAUGUGUAAAUGUUCAAGUUGUGGAAGAUCUUUGGCUAUUGAUACUGGAAAUAGAUUUUUCAAACUCCCACAUCCCCAAACACUUAUUUUUCGUAGAUUUUUAAAGGAACCUGGUGCUAGGGUCAUUAUAAAAUAUCAUCCUCACAUUACUCAAGCCGAGAUAUUCAUGUCUUCCAAGCUAGGAACUGCAACCUAUUCAUAUAUAUAUAUAAUCCAUGCCCAUAAUAAGGUUAGCUCAAUAAUGAAGGCAGAAAAAAAAACAAGGACAAAUCAACAGAUUUAUGCAGGAGUUGUAAGACUAAUCGAAAUAAAUCACCUUCUCACUAGCUCUUUCAACAAAAAACAAGGACAAAUCAACAGAUUUAUGCAGGAGUGUAAGACUAAUGAAAUAAAUCACCUUCUCACUGAAGAGAGCGUGCAUGCCGGACUGAUUACUAUUCUGACUAAUGAAUUCUAUUAACUUGGGGCAAUGCUCAAUCUUUAGCUCUUUCAACAAUGGGAACUCAAUAUUGUGGUUUCCUGACUUGAAGAAGAUGAGGUUUGGAAGACGAUUUAUAUGCAGGGAAUUUAAUCGAGGGAAACAAAUCACAUCUUUCCUUUCUUCUUCAAUUUCCUCUGUAAGUAUUAUGUCCCUUAAGCACUUGCAAUCCUCCACUCCAUCCCCUUUCGAUACAAUCUCCUCAACUCCACAAUAAGCGAUGCGUAAAUGUUCAAGUUGUGGAAGAUCUUUGGCUAUUGAUACUGGAAAUAGAUUUUUCAAACUCCCACAUCCCCAAACACUUAUUUUUCGUAGAUUUUUAAAGGAACCUGGUGCUAGGUCAUUAUAAAAUAUCAUCCUCACAUUACUCAAGUCCGAGAUAUUCAUGUCUUCCAAGCUAGGAACUGCAACCUAUUCAUAUAUAUAUAUAAUCCAUGCCCAUAAUAAGGUUAGCUCAAAUAAUGAAGGCAGAAAAAAAAAACAAGGACAAAUCAACAGAUUUAUGCAGGAGUGUAAGACUAAUGAAAUAAAUCACCUUCUCACUGAAGAGAGCGUGCAUGCCGGACUGAUUACUAUUCUGACUAAUGAAUUCUAUUAACUUGGGGCAAUGCUCAAUCUUUAGCUCUUUCAACAAUGGGAACUCAAUAUUGUGGUUUCCUGACUUGAAGAAGAUGAGGUUUGGAAGACGACUUAUACGCAGGGAGUUUAAUCGAUGGAAACAAAUCACAUCUUUCCUUUCUUCUUCAAUUUCCUCUGCAAGUAUUAUGUCCCUUAAGCAAUUGCAACCCACUAUCUCAAAGCAUUGGAGCUGCACCAGACUUCUAGCGAGAGAGGGUGAUAACAGAUGCUCCAACUUGCCGCAUCCUUUAAUGAUCAAGCUCCUCAAAUUCGUAACCCAAUGACAUGUCUAGUUGUGCCAUAUUAUUUUGGUGUUAAUGGAACACAAUUACAAGCUUUCCAAGUAAGGGAAAAUAAAUUGCACAUAUUUUCACACAAUUCUUUUUCGAUAGGGAAAGAUAGUAUGUAACAUAAUUUGAAAAUAUGAUUUUCGAUUUUAAAGAUAAUUUUAGUUCGAUUUGUGGGCUCAAAUUUCAUUUUCAAAAUUUAAAAAAAAAAUGGUUGGGUUUAAAUUUAGAUUAUUGAAUUGACUUUGUACUUUUAAUCGGUUUGAAUUAAAAAUUAAAUUUUCAUUUGUUUUGGAUUUAAAAUUUAUUUUUGAGCUCCGGAAAAACCAUUACACAAUAUUAUUUAUUUCUAUUAUUAGAAGUAUUAAUGGGCAUAUAAAUAAAAGUUGUAUAAGAAAAUAUAAGUAAAGCUAAACAAAUACCUGUUUAUUGAAAAGUAGUAAGGGCUUAGUGAAACACCUUUCGUCUGGAGAGCAAAAGCUAACUAGUUGCGGUAGAUUUUCAAGUUCGAUGAAGCAUAAUUCAGAAAAUCCAAUUUUGUUCGUUUUAAUAUAUUGGACAUGCCUACCAUUUCUGACAUGAAGUCUCUUUAAAUUUGGAAGAUCUUUCCCAUUAUUUAACUCCAUAAGUACAUUCUUGACGCCUUCAAGUCUCUCUAGGCACAAAUCUUCUGUCUUUAUCAACAACAUUUUCGUCCCAUUGUCCAAAUCAAUGUUCGUAUAUAACUUGAGCUUCAAUGCUUUUGGAGAUUCAUAAUUAAGGCAACAAUCCAAUAUUUCAUAAUUACCCACGAAAAUCCUGAAUCUGUCCAAUGUUUCAACAAAUCGGUGUUUUGGUAUCAUUUGGACAUCAAGAAUAUGAACAUAUAAAGUAGUUAGACAAGGCAAAUUGUUUAAUUCAUCAAGGCUUGCAUUUUUCCUCUCAUUUUCAACUACUCCUCCUUUUUCCCAUUCAACAAAGCUCCUACUCAUAUAUAAUUCUUCCAAUUUAGACAAACCUGAUAAGACAUUCGGUGGGAUGAUUUUGAGUUCUCUACACCCACGCAAAUCUAACAACCUUAAUUGAGUCAAUUGUGCCAUCUCCUUAGGUAGUUCUUUGAUACCUGACUGAGAAAGGUUGAGUACUUGUAAACUCUUGAGCUCUCCAAGGUUGGUUAUGUCAUCAACUGCACAUUUUUUCAGACACAACAUGCGAAGGUCUGCAAGGUGAAUAAUUGAUUCAGGGAGGGAUGGAAACUGCAUUCCGACCAAAUCUAAGGCUUUCAGGCCUUCGGUUUGUUUGAAGAAAUUGAGAGGAAUUUUAACCUCGCCAUCAUAGGCCAUAUGGAAAAAGGAAAGUCCUGAACACUCCAUCUCCUUAGGAAGGUUAGCUAUAAUCUGAGGACAACGUAAGCUGAUCACACUCCACGUCUUCAUUUUCUCCUUAUCGGACCACUCCUUUGGAGCAUGAUCUCUCAAAACAAUCAUACGGUAGUCCUUCAAUGCAAUAGCUAUAGCAGCAUCCCAAACAACAUCAUGGAUACCAAAGCGCUCAUCAUUAUAACUCUCAAGCAACAAGGCAGACGCUUUGAGAUUAGCCACAACCGUCAAUACUUUAUUUCUAGCUUCUUCCAUAGUGUGGACACCAUCAAAUAAACCCAAACCUAGAGUAUAUCUUACCAAGUCCUCAACGAGACCAUUAUGGCCUAUUACACUGCAAAGCAAGAAAGUCAGCUUGACUUCCUCGCUUUCUAAAUAUUUAAAACUCAACUCUAUAGCUGAAUAUGCCGCAGUUAUCCCCUUGAAGUUGCUUGACGAAGGCCUCUCCAGUUCUCGUAAAGCAUUCUUCCAUUCAAACAACCUUUUGUUUCUCAAAGCCCCUGCAACUGUCGCAAUGGCUAUCGGCAGUCCUGCACAUUUUUUGGCUACCUUCAUAGCUAUAGGCUUCAAAUCGCAACUUUCAUCACAGUUGCCAGCCAUCUUCUUGAACAGGUCCCAGGCUUCCUUUUCCUUUAAAAACCCAAUGGGAAAAUUUUCCUGAGCAUCCAUCUCAUUUGAUAAAACAUUGAGCUCUCUAGAAGUUAAUAGUAAUUUGCAGCCCUUGUGUUCAUCUCCCAAAGGAAUCCCUACUUCCUCAAUAUCAACUUUUCCCCAAAUGUCAUCCAAGACAACCAGAACCCUCUCCUCUUUCUUCAAUCUUUGUCUUAGUCGAAUUGCCUUUCCAACCAUACUCUGUUCCUCAAAUUUCAAGCCCAAGAAGUCUGCAAUUUCGUUCUGAAUCCUCUUAAUAUCGAUGGCUUGAGUUACAGUUACUAUGACAACCGAAUCAAACAACUUGCCCUUGACCUUUCUAGCGAUUUCUUUGACCAGCGUUGUUUUUCCAAUCCCACCCGUACCAUGCACCCCAACAAUGCUAAUGCUAUCAUCUUUUAGUGCCCCCAUUAUUCGGUUCAAAAUCGACGUUCUUGACUCGAAUUCCUCAUAACCUUUAACUUGUGCAACCACGAUACCUUGCAGAGUUGCACGAUAGGAAACCCUUUCAAACUCGCCAUGUUCAAGUAGCUCGGCAACAGCCUUUGCCUCCUCUUCAGCUUUGAGGCUAAGCUUGUAACGAGUCCUGAAAUUAGGACACAAACCAAUGAAACACUUUUUCUUUGCUCUUUCUUCAUCUUGCAUCACUUUCUCUACUUGUUCAAGGAUCAUUUUGUCGACUGCAGACAGCCAUUCGCCAACAUCACCUUCGAUCUCUUCACCGUUUCGUUUAGCUGCAUCAACAGAGUACUGCACUCUGUCCCUUGCACCUUUCAGCCUCUCAGCUCGGUCCUUGAGGGUCUCAACAUAUUGCUGAUGAUUGGAAAGGUAUUUGACAUGGUUUUUGAUAGGAGAGAUCGUAUACUCUACAGCUUUAGCGACAAUAGAGCCAACGAUGGCAAUAACAAUCUCCAUUGAGAGAGCAAACUGAAUAACCACAGCGACAGCAAAGACCAAAACUUGAAUUAUCUUAUAUAGUUUUUAAAAAGAACUCAUUUGCAUAAUCUUAAAAAUAUAAAUAUGAGAUUAAUGUUUUACUUUAUGACAAUUAAAGUAAAGUAAUUUUGUUAAUAGAUAAUCUUUUAUUAAUAUAGACAUAUAUCUAACUUUAUUUUUUUAAUAAUUAUCUUUUUUUGAAGGAAAUUUUUUUUUAUUUUUUUUGCUAAGCAUUGAAGGAAUAAUUUGUCUUUUACACUUUGAAUAAAUUUUACAACACAUCUUUUAAAAAAUAGUUUUCUAAUUAUUAUUUAAAUUAUUUUCAACUAAUUCAUAAUUCUACCAAUUUCUUAUAUUUUGAUUUAACAAGUGAUUGUUUGGUGUAAUGUUUUAUUUAUUUAUUUAUUCUACAAGCAAUAUUAAAAUAUUUAAUUUUUUAAAAUAUUUUACUAUACUUCUAAAAAGACAUUUAUCAACCUCUUGACUUUACUUGUGGAAUUUAAAAACUUCAAUAAUAAAUUAUGAGAAAUCAUUUAGUACACUGCUAAUGGAGUUUUUAGACUCCACUAGCAGGACCAAGGGGGAUUGACAAGUAUUUUAUAAGGGUAUAAUAAAAUAUUUAAAUGAUUGAGAGACAUGUUAAUUUUUUAAGGUUACUUGUAGAAUAAAAAAAAGUAUUAAAUCCUCACCCUAUUUAUAUUCAUAUUUUUAAUUUAAUUUUUAAUCUUAAUUCAUAUUUUAAAUAUUAUGUUAUAACAAAAUGAAAAUUUAUUAAUAUUAAGGGGAAUGAUCUACUUACACAAUGUAAAAAUUAAAGUAAUUUUACACACUUCCGUAACUAUUUAUAUGAUUAAUAUUUUAAUGAUACAAUCAUUAUAUUUUAGGUAAUAAUAUAAACCCAAAAAAUUAGCUUCGAAAAAAAUAAAAUUCACGUUUUAAACGGGCUGAGCUUCAGACAAGAUUUUUUUAGUUUGGACCUAACCUGAAUUUAACUUUUUUUUUGCUGCUGUUUACUGCUUUUACGUUGUUGUUUUUUGCUGUUAUGUUGUUAUUUUGCUACUAUUAUUUAGAUAUUGUAUAACUCUUAUUUUAUUUUUAUUUUUGCUAUUAUUUUAGAAACAUUUGUUUGCUAAGCUGCAACUAUGUUAGUUUUAUUUAAGUAUAAAGAAUUUUUUUAAAUAUAUUUUCAAUUUGUUGAGAAACAUUUAUUUUAAUAUUUUUAGAGUAUUUGAUAUAUUAUAUUUUUUAAAUUUAUUUUUAUAUAAAAAAUAAUCUAAAAAAUUUAAUACAGACGGGUUCAGAUUUAGUGUUUUUUAUCUGGGUUGAACUUAAAUAAAAUUUUAGCGCAUUUUUUAGUUGAGCCGAGUCCGGACCCGAAAAACAAAUCUAAAAACCCAACCUAUGAUUAGAUCUACUACAAAUCCUCCUUCUACAAGAUAAAGCAGUACUCAACCUCUUAAUAACCAUAUUGCAGUAUGUGGAAGCCACAAUUUGUUGAUAGAUCACAAACAAAAGGGCUUAUGCAGCUUUCCUAAUAGUCACCCCUUCUUAUCCCUUUUUUCCACGAACUUUAAAGAGUGUUUUCCACAAUUUUUUUAAUGGAUUUUAGUGGAAAUAUGUUUUCUUUUUAAUUCUGAAUUUUUAUGUAAUUUUAUAAAGUAAAGAUCAAAUUAAGGCUAAAAAAUUUUCUUUGGUCUUUUUAUAUAUGUCAGGUCAACAACACUAAGGGUAAAUUUGAAUGGAAAGAUGAAGAUUUUAAAUCGAAAAAGUACAGGACUCAAAAUCCUAAAGCUAAAAUAGAAGGGCUAAAUAGAUUUAAAGCAUAAAAGAAGUCCAUUUUCAUGGUUAAAACUGCCUGCCUAAGCUUAUUUAUACCGACAAGUAUUUCAGAAGAGUAAGAGCAAAGCAGGGAAAAGAAAAGCAGAUGGUGUACCUUUUGGCUAUGAUCAAUAACUUAUAAUUUUGUCUUUUUUUCUUUUUCUUAACAGAGCAAACCCAGAAAGUAGUGAUUUGAGAAAGAUGACUUCAUCUUACUUUAAAUGAAAGGAAGUCUCGUGGAAACAGCUCAGAAAUGACUAGCCAACAGCCCUAAAAUGUCUUAUACCAAAACAUAUUUUAAUGGGAAAAUAUUCUAUAUACUCUCACUCUAAAUUCCAAAUCUGAUUAUUCAAUACUCACAACUUUGGCUUUUACCAACUAAACAUAUAGUCCUUGAGGGUCUUAACAUAUUGCUGAUGAUUGGAAAGGUAUUUGACAUGGUUUUUGAUAGGAGAGAUCGUAUACUUUACAGCUUUAGUGACAAUAGAGCCAACUAGGGUAGUAACAAACUCCAUUGAGAGAUCAGACAAGAAGUAAACUGAAUAACCACAGCGACAACAAAGACCAAAACAAAAUCAGAAGAAAAAGUUACAAAUAAAAUGAGCAAAAAGUAAAGCUUCUGUAAACCAAGAAGUAAGACCAAAUCAACCAAAAUGAAAGCAGAUGGCGUACCUUUCCAACGUAUAAGAGAAGGAUUCAGCGAUUAGUUGUCGCAGUUACGAACGAGCGAAAAGAUAAUAUUCUUAACAGAGUAAUGCGAGAAGUAAUUUGACAAAGGGCAACUCAAUCUAAACAAAAUUUGAAAUGUAAACAAUAGAAUCCUAAAGAAACACAAAUACUUGAGAGUUUAGCUUUAUGGAUUCUUAUCAUUUGGUGGCUACAGCUGAAAAGUUGACAAAAGAAAGCAACACUCUAUCGCCAAUUAUUUUCCCUUUUGGUAAAGGUCACAAAAGAAAGGAACACACUAUCGCCAAUUAUUGUGUUUGAUGUCAGCUUUUCAUGGUGUUGGAAAAAUAUUAACCAUUUGAUAAAAAGCAAUUAAUCUAAAUCAUUCAGAAAAAAAAAUACAAUUUACUAAACUAAAAUUACUUAAUUUGUCUGUCUAGAUUUUAUCUUUUAUAAAAUGGUAGUUAUAGGGAAGUAAUCGUAAAUUUUCAUCAAAUAAAAAAAAAGUGAGAAUGUUAAAAGAGUUAUAAUAUUACUUAAAGAUUUAAACAAUACGAUGUUAAAGAGAAAUAGUUUAAUAAAGAAUGUAGAUUAUAAGUAUGGAUAUUGUUAUUAUAAGUGAAAAGUUGUUAUAAAUGAUUAAAAUAAAAUAUUAAUAUCGAUUUUAGUAAAAAUUUAAUAAUUACAACGAAAUGGUGUCAUAGUGGGUGAUUAUUAUAAAAGACUGUAUUCCCAUAUCUAUAUUUUAAUAUGUAUUUAAUAAUUAAUAUUUCAAGGAAAAUUAAUCAUCUUUAUAUCAAACGUAGUGUAUUUAUCCUUUGCUUCUCAUGAUAGUUAAAGGCUUGUCGGGAACUGCAUCGACAGAAGCAAGAAAAGUAGCAAAAGUGAUAAAGGAUGAGGAGGAUGAACGCGAAAGCGGAUCGUAAAGUUUGUCAAAAUUACGGAUUUGACUUAGGGUUGUAAACGUUCGGAAAGAAAUUGGAUUUUGACACAAUCUGAAACGAAAUUGAAUCCAAGUCAGAUGAAACAAUUAAAAUAAAUAACUAAAAUAAAAUAAUAAAUUAAAGAUUAAGGAAGUAAAUAAAGAAGAUAAAUGAAAAGAUAGAACGUGGCGUGUAGAAAUCCUAAUAAGCCUUGGAAACACGAAGAAUUCACAACCCCUUUCAAGCGGCUCUAAUUUUCCGUUUGAAGAUGAUCCCCACAAUCUAAAAUAAUUGUUAAAACUCUUCUAAAAGAAACUCAAGAGAAAUUCUUGAAAAAAAAAACCCAAAGAAAAUUUAUUAAUGCAAAAGAGAAAUAGAAUAAUAAUGAAUUUAAUGAAUUGUGUACAAUGCAAAGGCCUACAUACAGGCUAGCUAAAUAAAUCUAAGUAAAACUUUUAAAUAUACUAGAACUCUAAUUUAAUCUAAAUAAGAAGCAGUUUUAAAUUGAAUUUUCUUGUUAAUAUAAAACUCUUAAAUAACUUAAAAUACUUAAUAAUAAUUAAGUCUAAAACCUGAACCCAAUAUGCUUUAAACAUGAAUUAAAAGCCCAAAAUUUGUAAUUCUCGUCAUAAUCCCGUUUAGAAAUUCUACUUGCGCAGUCUUCACUAAAACGGUCAUAACUUGAGCUCCCGAACUCAAAAUCGAGUGAUUCAAAAUGUGUUUCGAAGCUAAGAGAUAGAUCUUCAAAUGCCAUGAGACAUCUCAACCCAAAAAUGUCAGGAUUCCAUUCAAAAAGUUAUUGCAAAUCUGCUAAUUUCCCAAGCCUAAAAACUGGCAGUUUUGAUGAUUGGAAUCUAAUAAAUUUCACUCCAUUCAUGCAUGUAUCAAAAAGACAUUGAUAUUGGGAGAAAUUUAUUACUUUAAUCUUUUAAUUUUUAUAUUUUAAUAUUUUUUUGAAACAAAAAAAAUUGAAUUUUUGAAACUAAAAGAAUUUCUUUAUCAAUUAACUUUUUAUUCAAAAUAACAUAAUUUAAUUGAAUUUUGAAAAUUACGGACCGAAUCCAAGAGCUGACAGGAGCCCGGCCCUCUUAAAAUAAAAAAAUUGUUACUUGAACUCAUUAAUAAAAAAAUUACACUUUAACUCAUCUAAAUUAUGAAAAUUUAAUUCUAUCCGUUUAAAGAUUUAAAUUCUUUUAAAGCAAUAAUGAUGCACAUUCCUACCACUUCCUACGGUUCGCAUUAAUUUCCUUUUAGAUAUAGUGAGACCUAAAGUAAAGGAUGCACUUUGCCAUCACUUUCUAAAAAGCCUUCAAUUGAUUGGGUGUUUCUUUUUAGAAAGAAAGAACUUUUUAAUAAUAUUUUAAGAAUUAAAAAAUGUAAACUUAAAAUUAAUAGUACAAGUGAUACAUUAUAUUUGCAAGCUAUUCGAAUUGGAUUCAAAAAAUCUUAAAAUUUUAUCAAAAAUUAUUGUGUAGAGCUUGAGGUAUUGAUCAAACUGAAUUUAAAUAUUGUAAUAGUUGAUUCAAGUAGCCCACAAACCUAAUUAAACAUUCCAUUUAAAUAUAUUUUUAUUUAUGAAAUUACAUUUUUAUCCUUGAUAUAUAGAAAGAGCUUAAUUAUAAAUGAGUUUGAUUAUAAAAAUUGAUAAACGAGCUAAAUCAGCUCAAUUAUGUUUUGAAUCAAGAUUGAGCUUAAAAAGUGAUGUUCAAGUCAAGUUCAAGCUUGUCAUUAUUCGAGCUCUGCUUGACUCGAUUGUACCUUUAAAAUAGAUGUAUAAAAUGUUGAAAAAUUGUAAUUUUUGGAAACUUUGAAGCAUAUUCUCAAUUGAUAAAAGUGGAGAAUUGAAUCAUAAAAUUAUGAUUUUAUAUUCUACUCCAUGAUAUCUUUACAACAGUAUAUCGUAUGCUCAAAAUGGAUGGUUGAGUGAUGAGUGAGAAAUUAAUGCUCAAAGUAAGUUACUUGUGAAUAUUUGUUAAGGAAAAGAAAAGGUUAGAUCUCACAUUGAUUAAAUACCAAGUGUGAGAUGUGUUUAUAUAUGAGAACCCACUUGAAGGAUGAUUGAAUGACUAAGUUCGAAACUUUGUCUCACGCGCAGGGAGUGUAGAUCCAAACCCAUCGGGGUUGGAGCGCACUCGCACGACGUGGGCGAUGUGAAAUGUCUAGACCGGUUUGUUGGGCCUAUGGAUAUUUUAAGCCCAACACAAAAUUUAUUUUUCUCAGUAAAUAUAUAUAAAAUCUAAUUUAAAAAAAACAUAUAUUAUGAUUUAAUUGCUCAUUUAAUACAGAUUUUGUAUAUUUAAUUAUGGAUAUUUCCAAAAUUCUUCCAUCUUGAAUGCUUAAGAAUUCUUCAAAAUUUUUUACACUGAAAAACUCUCUAAAACCAAGUUUAUUUUGCUCUAAAAAAUUAUUCUCUUUUUCUCUCUAUAUUUUCCAAUGUUCCGAUGAUAGAAAAAGGCAAGAAUUGUUCAUUGGUCUCUGUAGAGGUGCUACUAUUUCGGUUAUCAUGUUGUUGUAUCAUGGGAGACAGUCGACUAACGUUUCUUCAAGUACUGUAAGAGCGGACAAAUCUGUCUUAAGGAAACUGUGUAAAACAAGCCUCAACAUCUAGUUAAAUUCCAUUCUUUAUUCGAUUUUUGGUUUUCUAAUAUUAUUUAUUAGUUUUGAAAAAGAACUGAAAUGUUUUUUUAAAAAAAAAUUAAAAUACUAACUAAAAUGUUAAAUUUUUAAACACGACAACUUAUAUAGCAAUUCACGUGUAUUCUAUGUUAAUUUUUUAAAUUUUUAUAUUCUUAAAAUAUUAAUUUUGAUGUAUCUUUAUUUCUAUAAUUUAGAAAACAAUCUUAUUAUUAUUUUUAAAUUUACUCCUCAAACAAUUAACUUGAGAAAAUUUUUAUUUUAACUGGAAAUGGAACAUUUAUCUCGAAUUAUCAUUAACCAGGAUGAAGAAAAUGAUGGAUGCCUUGAUUGUAAAUUACAAGCUUAACUUUUAAGCAAUAAUUGAUGCACGUUCCCACCACUUGCGGGAAAACAACAACCAAGAUAAAAUUUUUGGAUUCGCUCGUAAAGAGAAAAAGAAUAAAGUUGUUUCUGUCUAAGCCCUUAUCCUAUGAUCCUACUUUAUCCUGUUGAAAUUGGAUCAAUUAAUAAUUAUGUCUGUUUGUAAAGGCUUCCUUAGAAUCAAUGAAUUAAGUCAAUAAAUUAAAACAACUCCCUCGUUAAAGACCCUUUGGGUUUUCUCAUCGAUACUCGUAAGUUCUUCAAAUUUAAAUUAUGAUACAAAUGAGAUUAGAAGAAUAAUUCGAAUAUUUUAUCACCAUAGGUCAUGUUCAUUUUAGAAGACGACAUAGAAUUAAAUAUUAUUUCGAUUUUUACGAUCCUUUAUAAUAUCGUAUACUCUUUCCAAAUGUAUAUUUAGAUUUGAACAAUUAAUUUUAAAAAUAUUUGAGGGCAUAUGAAUAGUAAUAUAGUAUAGAUUAAUUAUAUAUGCUCCCUCUUGAGUCUUGAAUUCUCGACAAUGAUAUUUCCUGUUAUUAACAAUGUCAUUAAUCCUACUAAUUGUUUUCUCUCAUUUUCUUUUGGGCAUACAGAGAUUGAAUGGAACAACAACCAGGAUGCGAAGACUGACUUUGUUCAUUCGGAAAUUUCUUCUACUUGUAUAUGUAAAGUUUUCUUCAAUCUGUGUGAGCUUAUGUAAUGCUAGUGUUAAACAUAAUUGGAUAUGAUUUUUCUCUCCAUCUCAAUCGCUGUUAUCCAAAUUCAUGUGACAGUAAAUACAAAUGUAUGCUAUAAACAGGAAAACUUUGAAUACCAUGAAAUCCUAUACUAUAUCAACUUAGAUGUUUAAUCACACCAAUGGAUGAGAAAACGUUAAGCAGAGAUGCAUAUAUAUCAAACCAAAAGACAUUUGCAAAUUUGGUUCCUCGUGGUUAGCCCAUUUUUUUAGCCACGGUCUGAAGUUCUAUAGACCUCAAACUUGGACCUUGAUCUAAGUAGCAAACAUGAAUUUUUUUUUUUUCCUUUUCAGCUUGUAACCCACAUUGAUAUCAAACCAAGCAAUCAUUUCUUCACAAAAACAAUAAGAAAACAAAAUUAAAAACAAAAUUAGCUAUAUUUACAUAUUAUAUUUUCAUUUCAUUACCCUCUAAAUGCCCUGGUUGGGAAGUUUAUCAGAUGAACUUCAUCUUGCAUUGCAGCUGAGAUUUUAAACAAAAUGGCUUCCCUUGCAACAAAAACUCUCUUCAUACUGUUCUCCACCCUCUUUUCAGCUUUCUUCAUUUAAAUUAAUGAAGAGUUCUCGAGGCAAUCCAUUAUUACAUUAACAAAACGCAUGGGGAUAAUUAAUCACCCGACCGCAAUUCUACUUUCAUGACAUUGUAGAUCGAAAACACCCUACAGCCAUGCAAAUUAUCAGGCUACCAAACAGGACAGCUACGUCACUUGGUACCACUUACCUGGUAGAUGAUCCAUUGAUAGAGAAACCUGAGCCUACUUCAGAACUUGUGGGAAGAGCUCAAGGGAUCUACGCUUUCGCUUCUCAACGUGAAUAUGGGUUGCUUUGGCAAUGCCGAUUGUCGGAGGUGGCAAAAUUUUCCCAUUUUCUCGUAGUUAUGCUUUGGCAAAGACAGUUUGGUUUAAUAAGAAUGGAGAUGCCAUAGUUGAAUAUGACGUGACAGUUGUUCACUACAGAACAAUUGAUGCAUGCAUGCAUGCGAUAUAAUUCAAUUUAGGUACGGCAUUGGUUUGUUUUAUUCUAGCUUUGGAUUGUUUCUCCUAUUGACUAGAAGAGAAAUGGGAUUUUAUCAUUUAUAUUUUUGUCAGGAUGAAUAUGAGAAACUUGGGAAUGGAGUUAUUAGAUUCAACUUUUCAUCAAAAAGCUGAGAUUGCACAGAAAUAAGUACAGAAUAAUCUUUACAGAGAACAAGAAAGAUGAAACAAGCACAAACACAAUAUGUAUAGCAAUCUUAAUCACAUCGUCUAAACCCCAAGCUGACAUUGAUAAGGUAACCAUCAAAAGUUGGCAAAUCCAUCCACCUUUAAGAAGAAUUGGAAUAUUAAAACAGGGGUCAACCUUACUAGUAGAAGUUUACAUGUUUGUAGUUCCCAAUGCCAUGCAUGAUGCACUUGAAAUUCAAUAUUGAGGUUAUAAUGUGAAAUGGAACAGUCGCAGCCACGUGCUUCAGUAGAGCAACUCAACCUACAAUGAAAAGGACGUCUCUAUGGUCACUUUAUAAAGCAUUGGUUAAGCUAUGAUGAAAAUAGAGGAGUCAAUUACCAUUUGUUUUGAAUUGAAACGAAACUGACCUUGUCUCAUAAGCACCCAAACAUAUUUCCUUAUUCUAGCUUGGGCAACUGAUGAGAAACCUCCGUCACCUGAGAAGUUUGCACAUUCUGUGCAUGAUCAAAAGAAACCAAGAAUUGUUCAAUUAACUAUGUAUGCAAAUGCACCAAAUAAUAUUUUACAUAUUGUUACGUUAGUAAAAACACAAGAAUUUAAAUCCUUUGAAUGAUUAGUACCAUUUCAUCGAACAUAUGUUUUAUAGUAGUGUUAAGGCCGCCUUCCCACUGCAGUUCACCUUUCUCAUCUCUUGUUAAGUGCAUUUGUUCCAGCCUUGGUGUGCUUAAAUCUCCUUGGCAGAAAUUCCUCAUUUUGGGACACUUUGUCACCUUCACCAUUUGUAAGACUGGGAAUUCCAACGAGUGAUGAGCCAAGGAAAAGCUUGCUAGACAUGGCAGACAACUUAGUUGCAAAUACUUCAGUUCGGGAAAUACAAUGCCGGCUUGUAUUUCUUCAGCCUCACACGCUAUGAUUUCCUCUAUCAUCUCACAAUCAUCUAUGCUCAAUCUUUCCAGUAGCGUCAGGCACUUAGCUGUUGAGCAUGCGAUUAAAUUGAUGAACCCAUGGCAUCUCGAAACUUCCAGUGUUGUUAGAUUUUUGAAAGACAGCAAAGAUAGUUUAAAAGUCUUUAACGACAACUCUGGAAGUUGAGACAACCUUAAGUCCUUUAACUGAUAGAAUACCGAUGUGUGCCUUUCCUCUUCGAUAAGUCCUUCAGACCGGACUAUUUCAGAAAUGGAAGCAUUGUUUAUAACAAGCUUCUGAAGCUUUGGUAGCGACCGAAUGAAGCAAUAUGGAAGUGUAGUUGACCUCUUACGAAAGCAAUGAAGGUUAAGAGCAUUAAGAUUUUUGAAACACUGCAAUGAGAGCUGUCCAUCACAUAUCCUCUUCACCAUAUCAUUCGUCUUCAGUGUUAGUUCUUCUAAUACAGGGAAAGUGUCCUGGAUGGCAAUGAAUAUAUUGGACAUCGAUGAAAGAGUUUUAAAUUGGUAAGAACUAGACUCUCAUAAAAUUAAAAGAGGAGAGAAUAUUAGCUUUUUCAAAAAGCAUUUUAUAGGUAAUCUCAAGUAGUGAUCAUGGAAUAUGAAACUGUUCGUGAGCUCACCUCAUUGACGCAAAACAAGGGUUGUUGGUUUGAGAUUCCAACCUGACUCACAGGACAUUGUGGAGUAAAUAUCUGUACUUUGAGGCAUUCAAUAAUGUCCAUUUGUUUCAAUGAAGGCCACUGGGUGGUAUGCAUCCUAGAGUAGAAACUUUUCAAUCGUGGCACCUUACACAAUCUAAGGUAUAUUAGUUCGGGAAAUACAAACUUGGUCGUCACUGUUUCAGCCACAAUAGAUUGAGCAGCUGAUGUUGACUGUGACUCAUCAGCAAUGAGUCCUUGCAGCUCAAUAAUUUCUUCUAACAAAUCACAAUUUUGAAUCUGCAGCCUCUUCAAACUAGGGAAAACAACCUAAUAAAUCAUUUCAUUAGGUUAAUAACUGAAAUAUGUAUGAAAAAGAAAGAACUUCAAAUGAAUAAUAAGGUCAAUCGAAGUAACAUAAAUUAAAGGAGAAUCCGUGAAGAAAUGACCUUCUCAUUGAGGAGAGAUGAGUUAUGAAGCUCCAAGUUACUUGCUUGUUCAUGUUGGCCAAUUUCAGGCUCAUCUUCGGAUACACAUUUAGUGGUGAAUGUUUUUAGCAAUGGACAAUUUGUUAGUACUAAAUAUUCCAAACAGUGAAAUUCAAAGUAAUUUUCAAAAGACAAACUAGCGAGUUUGGGAAGGUGUUUUAGCCACAGCAAUUCUAGUUUAGAGAAAAACAUCUGAUUCCUCCCUUGAUGUUCCUCAACCAAUCCAUCCGUGAAUAUUACUUGUUCCAUCAUAUUACAGUCCAAAAUUCGAAGGAAUCGGAGUUGCACAAGAUCUUUUGCUAAGAAAGACGGGAGCAGGUAUUUCAAAUUGUGACACCUCUUCACCUUCAAGAAAUUUAGGUAUCCCAUAGAUGGGGAGGAUGAGUGGUGCCAUAUCUUAUGAAUGUUGAUGGAGGACAAAUCCAGACGCUCCAGACUAGGAAUGACAACCUGUUGACAUAAAUAUCAUUAUAAGAUAGUAUCACUCUUCCUUCUGUACUUUGAAAGACAAUCAAAAUGAGUAGAUGAGUAUGAAGAUUUAUAAACUGAUCCAAAGGUUAAUAUUCACACAUCAACUAGACAGUUAAAAGUAACCAAAAUUUUUUGGUUAAUUAUGAAAAUGAUCUAACUUAAAAAUCAUAUAGUAAAUGACCUGAUUUCUACAGUGCUUACUACACCGGCCCCCAUCAAUGAUUGCUUUUUAAAAAAAUUAUAGUGGUGCUGCUUAAUAAAUUGACGGCACCAGACUGAAUGUGACUAUAUAAAACGUGCUGGGAUCCUUUGAAGCGGUUAACAUUUUUAGAUUGGUUAAAAAAGGGGUGUCGUUCAUAUCUGAACCAAAUUAAAUGUUUUUCAACUUUUGACCUAUCUUCAUGUUACAUCUGUCCUCUUUUAAAAUUAGAUUUAAAUAGCACUUCUUAUUCAAAUUACCCAAAUAUAUUCCUCAAAAAAUUUCCUUAAGUUUAUCUAAAUUUAAAUAUAUUAGGGAAUGAGUUGAAAAUGCUUGAAUUUAGAUAAACUUGAGGAAAUUGUGUGAGGGGUAUAUUUGGGUAACUUAAAUAAGAAUUUUAUAAAAAAAUAAAAAAAAAUGAGAAUGGUUUAUUUUUGUUAUUCUUAUAUUACUUAAGUGUUAUUUAAAUUUAAUUUUAAAAGGGGAUAGACCUAAUAUGCAAAUAGACCAAAAGAUGAAGAGCAUUUAAUUUGGUGCCCCAUAUUCACAUGAAGACCCCUUUUUCCGCUAAUUAAAAAAGGGUAAUUACUUCGUCAAGCCUAUGAAAUUUUUUAAAUAAAAUACAAUCAUUAGUCAAUGAUGGUAGGUCGGUGCAGCCAUUGUGUCUGGCGGCACCGACAAACACUAUAGAAAUCGAAUAAUUUAUGUACAUAAUUUUUAAAUUGAGUCAUUUUCAUAAUUAAUCAAAAAUUUGAGUUACUUUUAUAAAAACCCGACAAGUAAAUUUAAAUAAUUAUAUUGAUCUUUUUUUUCUUUCAAUGAUUUUUUCUAUAUAUGAAAUUUUUUAAAAAAAAAGCAUUAAAUCUUUAAAUAAAACCCAUCCACUCUCUCACUUCAAUUCUUCUCCAUAUAUUUGGUUCUUUCUUCUUCAAACUCCUCACCUUUUGUUUUCUUGCUUCUUCUCCUUUGAUCUCAAAUGACCUUUGUGAAGGUCUUCCACAAUUAUCUCCUUCUUAAUUCUUAUACACCCACAAAUUAAAAUAAAGGAAAAUUAGUUAUCUUUCUAUUAUUAUUUUAUUAUUUAUUGUCUAUUAGUAUUUAAUUUAAAACUUCUAUUAAAUUCUUAUUGUUUAUUAGUAUUUAAUUUUAAGUUUUCCUUUCAAUUCUUAUUUUAUAUAUUUACGUUGAAGCUAGCCAACAUGCUGACAUGAAGCAAUAGAAACUGCCCGAGCCAUGCAUGUUGCAGCUGAAGAUGGUGCUGCUGUUUUAGCUUAGUUUUGUUACUUUGAUCAACAUUUUGCAACUUAGUUUGAUUUGAACCAAGUUGUCAUUGUACUUGAUGAAUUUUUGUCAAUGUUUGAGCUGGUAAAACAACUUUACUAUGUGUGCAAGUUAUGUUUUAUUAGUUCCAAGGUUACUUAGUGGUAGUAGGUGAUGUUUAGGUAAUCAAAUUAUUUUCCUUGACCAGCUCAUGUCUGGUAUCUGUAUUGGCAUUAUGUCAUUGUUUCAGUUAAUGAAAAUUCCUCUAAGAAUUUUUCAUUCAAUACUCUCUCAAUCUUAGUUUCAUUUGGUUCUUAAAUGUUUAAUUCAGUUAUUGUUUGUUCUGCAAGUCUCGAGCCUUAAAGCUCAAGAAAUUGUUUUGUUUCCUUUAACUUUGUUCAUUGUUCCAACAAUUGGUAUCUAGAGCCUAUUUCUUAGUGGACCUAUCAUUCUUCAAGUCCAAGAACCAUGUCUUCAUCUAGAUUCUCACCAGCUCUACCACCAGUGUUCAAUGGUGAAAGCUACCACAUUUAGGUAGUGAAACGAAUACCUCCCUGCAGGCAUUUGACUUGUGGGAAGUUGUUAACUCAGAUUUUGAACCAGCACCUCUGAAAGCCAAUCCUAUAAUGGCUCAGAUCAGGCAGCAUGCAAAUGAAUGAACUAAGAGACACAAGGCUAUGUCUUGCAUUCAAAACAGUGUGUCUAAUGUGAUUUUCACAAGAAUCAUAGUUUGUGAGUCACCAAAGUAGGCCUGGGAUAAGCUAAAGGAAGAGUUUCAAGGGACUGAAAGAAUAAGACAGCAACAACUACUAAAUUUGAGAAAGGACUUUGAAAAUUUGAAGAUGAAGGAGGAAGAAAUAGUGAAGCAGUAUUCAGACAAAAUCAUGGCUAUAGUGAACAACAUUAGAUUGCUUGAGGACCAGUUUAGUGAAGCAAGAAUUGUAGAGAAGGUUAUCUCAAUUUUACACGAGAGAUAUGAAGCCAAGGUCUCACCCCUUGAAGAUUCAAGAGAUCUGAUAAGUAUCUCUUUGACUGAGCUGAUCAAUGCUCUUUAUGCAUAAGAGCAAAGAAGGGUUAGAAGACAGGAGGAGCAUCAAGAAGGUACCUUUCAAGCCAAGAGCAAACCACUGUCUCAAGCUUCUCUGGCAAUAAAUGGACAAAAGUCUGGCUCGACAAGCCUAGAAGAGAUAGAGUAGGAAUGAGAUAUCCACUUUGCCCAUACUACAAAAGACUCAGUCAUCCAGCUGAAAAUUGUUGGUUUAGGCCUGAUGUGCAGUGCAAAGUCUGCAAAAAGAUGGGUCACUCUAAGAAAGUUUGUAGAAACAAAGGCAAGCUGAGACAAAGUCAACCUCAAUAGCCAAAAGCUGAAGCUUAAGUGGCAAAACAAGGCCGUGACCAGGAAAAGCAAGUCUUUGUAGUGUCUUGCUCAGCUGCCAAAGGAAAAGUCAUAAAAGCGUGGCUGAUAGACAGUGGUUGCACAAACCAUAUGACUUCUAAUGCUACAAUCUUCAAGAGCAUCGACAGAAGCUUCAAAACAAGGGUGAAGGUUGGAAAUAGACACUUCAUCAAGGCAGAAGGCAAAGGAGAUGUGCUGAUUAACACUCCAACAGGUAACAAACUUGCCUCAAAUGUCUUGUUUGUACCUAAAAUUGACAGAAACUUGCUAAGUAUAGCUCAGUUGUUAGAAAAGGGCUAUUCAAUUGUGUUCAAAGGCAAAUAAUGCCUGAUCAGUGAUCCAAGUGGAUCUAAGCUUAUGUUAGUAACUAUGGCUAAUAGAAGUUUUGUAGUAGACUGGAAUAAGAGCUCAGACAGUGCCUACAUAGUAGUACUAGAUGAAUCCAAGCUGUGGCACAAGAAGUUAGGCCAUGUCAACUACAACUCACUGGCUAAACUAACCAAAGAAGAUUUGGUUGAAAAUUUUACCAAUUCUGUUGAGAAGGAGGAUGUUUGUGAGGUAUGUCAAUUAGAAAAGCAGGUCAGACUGCCAUUUCCCUUGAACAAAGCCUAGAGAGCCUCACAAAAACUGCAGUUGGUUCAUCCUGAUGUGUGUGGCCCUAUGAAAACACCAUCCUUGAAUGGUAGCAAGUAUUUCAUUCUUUAUAUUGAUGAUUACUCGAGGUAUUGUUGGAUUUACUUCUUAAAACAAAAAUCAGAAGUGGCCUCAGUAUUUUAGAAGUUCAAGUUUGCAGCAGAAACAGAAACAGGUUGCAAGCUGAAGACAUUGAGGUCAGACAAUGGGAUAGAGUAUACCUCAGUAAUGUUUCAGAGUUUCUGUGAUGAAAAAGACAUCAAGCAUCAACUUACCAACACCUAUACACCACAACAGAAUGAUGUUAGUGAAAGAAAAAAUAGAAACCUGAUGGAUAUGGUUAGAUGUCUAUUGUUUAAGAAGAAUUUGCCAAAAACCUUAUGGGCUGAGGCAGUUAACACUAUUGUAUAUCUUCAAAAUAGACUGCCAACAGAAGCAUUGGCUCAUAAAACUCCAUUUGAAGCCUGGUUUCGGUUCAAACCAUUACUAGCUGAUCUGAGGGUCUUUGGCUUCAUAUGCUAUGCACAUGUCUUAGCUGUUAAGAGGGAUAAAUUAGCCAAGAAAGCACAACCAGGUAUCCUGGUAGGCUAUAGCAGUAUGAAGAAAGGCUACAGAAUCCUAAAUCCUUUAACUAAUGAAGUCUUUGUAAGUAGAGAUGUGCUUGAUGAGAAGAUAGGGUGGAAUUGGGAUAAAAAUGAUCUAGAAGCUGCUGCUGAAGAUCUGUUAACUGAUUAGACUGAAGCUGAUCAAAAUGGUCCUAAAAUGGAUAUUGACCACGAACCAAUCAGGCAAACCAGACCUUUGAGUGAAAUUUAUGAAAGAGCUGAAGUGGCUGCAGUUGAACCAAGUUGUUUUGAAGAAGCUGAAGCUCAACAAGGAUGGAAACAGGCUAUGCUCGAUGAAAUGAACAUGAUUCACAAGAACCAGACCUAGGAGCUAGUUAAUAGACUAGUCAAUAGGAAAAUUAUUGGAGUGAAAUUGGUGUUUUGAGUGAAGCACAAUGCUGAUUGAACUCUGAACAAGCUAAAAGCAAGACUGGUAGUGAAGGGAUUCAGUCAAAAGUAUGGUAUUGACUACUUUGAAACAUUUGCACGAGUAGCCAGACUUGACACAAUCAGGCUGCUGGUUGCUUUGGCUACACAAAAGCAAUGGAAAAUACAUCAGCUCGAUGUAAAGUUAGCUUUUCUCAAUAGUUUCCUUGAAGAAGAGAUUUAUAUCGAGCAACCUGAAGGUUUCAAAGUUGUUGGUGAAGAGGACAAAGUGUACAAACUGAAGAAAGCCUUGUAUGGCUUAAAACAUGCACCAAGAGCCUAGUAUGAUAGAAUCGAUAGCUACCUGGCUAGCUUGGGGUUCGAGGGAAGCAUCAGUGAGCCAACCUUGUAUGUGAAGAAGAAAGGUAUUGAAACACAGCUUGUAGUGUCCCUGUAUGUCGAUGACCUACUUGUAAUAGGUCAAAGUCAUGAAUUGCUGGUUGAUUUGAAAGGCAAAAUAGAGAAAAAGUUUAAGAUGUCUAAUUUAGGAUAAAUGUGCUACUUCUUUAGCAUUGAAGUGUCUCAAACUCAAUCAGGGAUCUUCCUAAGUCAGAAGGCAUUUGCCUUGAAGAUUCUGAACAAAUUCUCCAUGCUAAACUGUAAGGCAACAAGCACUCCAGUUGUUGUUGGAGAGAAGCUGUCAAGCCAAGAUAAUUUCGAAAAGGUUUGUAAAUCAACCUACAGAAGCUUGAUUAGAUGCCUGCUCUAUUUGACUGCCACCAGACCAGACAUUAUGUUUGAUGUAAGUCUGAUAUCUAGAUUCAUGCAUUGCUGUAAUGUGAAGCACUUCCAAGCUGCCAAAAGAGUUCUCAGGUACAUUAAAGGUACACUGAGCUUUGGAAUGAUGUUCACCAAGGCUGAAAGGAUGAAGCUGCUUAGAUAUGCAGAUAGUGAUUGGGCUGGAUCGAUAGAUGACAUGAAAAGCACCUCAGGGUAUCUGUUUACCCUUGGUUCAGUUAUUUUUUGUUGGAGUUUAAAGAAGCAAACAGUAGUUGCUUAGUCAAUAGCUGAGGCAGAGUAUGUAGUAGCUAGUAAUGUUGUUAACCAAGCCAUUUGGCUAAGAAAGAUCAUGACUGACUUGAAUCUACACCAAAGGAAAGCAACAGAGAUCAACUGUGACAACCAGUCUACUGUUGUAAUUCCAAAGAAUCCAGUGUUCCAUGGAAGAACAAAGCACUUCAAGGUUAAGUUUCAUUUUAUUAGGGAAAUAGAAUAAGCUAAUAAGGUGAAACUGAUUCAUUGCAGUUCUCAGGAUCAACUUGCUGACAUUCUGACAAAGCCCCUUAGUAUAUCAAGGUUCGAGCAAUUGAGAAUGAGAUUGGGAGUUUGCAGCAUGCAAGCCAAGGAGGAGUGUUGAAGCUGGCCAGCAUGCUAACAUGUAGCAACAGAAAGUACCCGAGCCAUGCAUGUUGCAGCUGAAGAUGGUGCUGCUGUUUUAGCUUAGUUUUGUUACUUUGAUCAACAUUUUGUAACUUAGUUUGAUUUGAACAAAGUUGUCAUUGCACUUGAUGAAUUUUUUGUCAAUGUUUGAGCUGAAAAAAUAGCUUUACUAAGUGUGCAAGUUAUGUUUUAUUAGUUCUAAGGUUACUUAGUGAUAGUAGGUGAUGUUUAGGUAAUCAAAUUGUUUUCCUUGACCAGCUCAUGUCUGGUAUAUGUAUUGGCAUUAUGCCAUUGUUUCAGUUAAUGAAAAUUCCUCUAAGAAUUGUUCAUUCAAUACUCUCUCAAUCUUAGUUUCAUUUGGUUCUUAAAUGCUUAAUUCUGUUAUUGUUUGUUCUGCAAGUCUCGAGCCUUAAAGCUCAAGAAACUGUUUUGUUUCCUUUAUCUAUGUUCAUUGUUCCAACAAUUUAUUUAUACUUUAAACUUCAACUUUGUUUUUAAAUAUAUCUUACUUAUUACUAUAUGGAUUUUAUUAUAUUCAAUUUUGACAAGGUGUAGCACUAGUAUGUAUAUAUAGACCAGACACACUCAUGUUGAUCAAAUCAAAAGAAAAUGUGAAAUAAGUUGUGCAGAUAUAUAUUGAAUACCAAACUUACCUUAUUGCUGAAAAAAGUUGCAGUGUUAUCAUAGAUGCCCCCUUUGCCAACCACGUUUUCACUUGCAUCACCACUCUCUCUUGAAACUGAGGAAGAAAAUGCAGUCAUUUUUGGACACUCAGCUAUUGUGAUAUUCCUCAGCAGUGGAAAUUCAAGAGCUUGACUUCCCAAAUGGAAAUUUGUCAAGUUGGAACACGACUUAAUUGUUACGGAGAGUAGCGAAAGAAAAGUAAAUUUAUGUGUCAUGGCUUCCUCCUCCUCCCUAACUACUUGUUCCAUUGAACUGCAUUCUUCCACUUCUAUCCUUCGUAGUAGAUUGAGGCUCAAAAGCAUAGACGGAGUAAAUAUGUACUUCAAGCUGCUACAUUUAUAAAACUGCAGGUUGCUAAGGUUUUUGAUGCCCAAAAUUUCUUGAGGGUUUCUUGUCCAUAUUUCUAUCGACUCCGGAAAUGUGUCAGAGAUGUUGAAAUCAUAGAGUCCAUCCUAAAAACUAAUCUGAUAUUAUUCCACUAGAUAGCAAUCAUAAAUAGAAAAUGCAGACAAUAACAAAAUAACGAUUAACAAUCUUCAAUGGUUAUUGAAGUAGUAAUAAAAUGAAUUGUAUUAGGACACGAGGAAUCUAGCUAGCAUUAUGAACUUAUUAACUUUGUACCUUUUCUGUGUUGAGCUGUUGUAUGGUGGUAUUAAUGUCACUUGUCCAACUCCAUUUCUCACCGUAAUGCGACUGUUUUAUUCUCUGUAAUUGUGGGGUGCUUAAAACUCCCUCAGAAAAGAUCUUUAACCAAGGACAAUGUUCCACAACUAAUUCUUCCAAACAAGGAAACUCGAAGUUGUAAUACCAUGGACAAAAGCUUGUGAGGCUCUUCAAAUUGCAUAGUUGUAAACAUUUCAAUUUACUAACAACUAUUGUCUGAUGACAGUCUCCCUCGUUUCCCACUAUUUCUGUCAUUUUAGUGCAGUAUUCUACCUUUAUUGUCGUUAAUUGCACAAGAUUCUUAAGUACUGAGGGUGUAACUAAGUUUGUCAUCAUUUUACAAAGUGACACAUUCAAAAUUGUGAGAUUUUGUAAAGAUGAUGAGAAGACUCUAAUGUUUAUCCAAUCAUCACAAUUGUGAAUUGUGAGUGUUUGAAGAUCAGAAAGAAUAUGGUCAAGCUCCAAAUCUUUCCUCCAAAUACGCUUAAGAUUUCUGGCAGAAACCAAUUUCAGAUUUCUAAUUGAUGGGAGAGUCCCGACGUCUCCUUUACAAGGGACUACAUGUUUGAAAUCAAAAUUAGAAACCUCAAGUCUUUUCAGAUUGUAGAAUCUUCGGACGAAAGGAAAUAAAGAAAAUGGAGAGCCACCACUCACUGCAAAAACUUUAAUAUGUUGAAACAAGUCUGGUGGAAAUUGGUCCAUAUCACCAAAAUUUCGUAACUCAAGUUCCUCUAAUUUGGGAAUGACCUUGGAAACCAAUUAAAUAUAUACAAGUUAGGCUCAAUGUUGAUGUAUAUGCUUUAAAAAAACAAACAAACAAAAAAAAAAGAUUUACAAUUUUAGUGUUUGAUUUUGAUGAUUAAAUCCCAACAAAAUCAAUAUUAAAUCAAAUGAAUCCAGAGUAGAUGAAUUUUUUGUUUUAAGAAAACACAAUACCUUGAGAAUAAAAACUGAUAAAAAUUACACAACAUGAAAGCUGAAAGAAGAGUAGCAAAUCUAGAUUAAAACAGAUAAACAACCAUUGUUAUAUAUAUAUAUAUAUUUCUAUAAUAAAAAAAUAUAAGCAGAACAGUGUAGAUAAAAACACCAAAGUUUUAAAAUAUUACACUGACUUAAUUUGAUGGUUAAAUUAAUGAAUUUAAUAAAAAAAUACCUAAUUGAUAUAACCUCAAUAGUUUAAGGAUGUAAUUAGAAUGUUUUAAAUUUUGGGACUAAUUUAAAAUGAAGGUCAUAGUUUGAGAUGUCUAGGGUAAUUAACUUUUAAAAUUUUGACUUUUUAUUGAGUGGCCAUUUUUUUUAGCAAACUAAACGUUCUAUUUAGUUUUGACCCACAUAUAUAGUCACUUAAGUGUUAAAAUAUUUUCAUUUUGGUCACUUAAAAACAACUAAAAUUUCAAUUUAAUCACUGUUGCUAGAGAAAUUAAAUAUCUUAAUUGCUAGGCUGCAAAGUCCCUAACAGGAUGCUAAUGUAGCAUUUUUUUUUUUGCAUAAUAAUAAAUUUAAACCUCAAUAUUUAUACAUUUUAUCAAAUUGAACUACAUUCUAAAAAAUCAAGAUUAACACUCAAUAUUUACCUCUUAUAUUUAUUAAGUCUUGUUUUUAAAAAUUGAAAAAAUAAUUAUAAAUGUAACAAAAAAAUUAAAAUAUACAUAUUAAAAAUUCAAAAAUAUGAAAAAAAAAACUUCAAAUCAAACAAAAUAUAAUAAUUAGAAAUGCAUUAUCGUGGCAUAUUUCGACUUGAGAUGCUUGUCGCAGUGGUUUAAAUCAUAAAAAGAAAUAUAGUUGUAAUGAUAUACAUACCUCUUCAACCAACAAAACUGGCUGCUCAUUUCGUUGGAUUAAUCUAAGAUGUUCCGAUGCCACUAUCUUUAGCAAAGCAGAACUAUCUGUUGUCAAUUUUUUCAACAUCGGCCAGACUAUUGUAUGUUGCCCUUCAUAGAAACAUUUGAGCUUAUCUACCCCACUAACCUCAAGGUAAGACACUUGCGGAAACUCAAACCUCACAGGCUGCUCCUCCACUCCAUCCCCUUUCGAUACAAUCUCCUCAACUCCACAAUCAAUGAUGCGUAACUGUUCAAGUUGUGGAAGAUCUUUGGCUAUUGAUACUGGAAAUAGAUUUUUCAAACUCCCACAUCCCCAAACACUUAUUUUUUGUAGAUUUUUAAAGGAAUCUGGUGCUAGGUCAUUAUAAAAUAUCAUCUUCACAUUACUCAAGUUAGAGAUAUUCAUGUCUUCCAAGCUUGGAACUGCAAUCUAUUCAUAUAUAUAUAUAUAUAAUCCAUGCCCAUAAUAAGGUUAGCUCAAAUAAUGAAGGCAGAAAAAAAAAAAGGACAAAUCAACAGAUUUAUGCACGAGUGUAAGACUAAAGAAAUAAAUCACCUUCUCACUGAAGAGAGCGUGCAUGCCGGACUGAUUACUAUUCUGACUAAUGAAUUCUAUUAACUUGGGGCAACGCUGAAUCUUUAGCACUUUCAACAAUGGGAACUCAAUAUUGUGGUUUCCUGAGUUGAAGAAGAUGAGGUUUGGAAGACCCACUAUAUGCAGGGAGUUUAAUCGAGGGAAACAAAUCACAUCUUUCCUUUCUUCUUCAAUUUCCUCUGUAAGUAUUAUGUCCCUUAAGCACUUGCAAUCCUCUAUCUGAAAGUAUUGGAGCUGCACCAGACUUCUAGCGAGAGAGGGUGAUAACAGAUGCUCCAACUUGCCGCAUCCUUUGAUGAUCAACCUCCUCAAAUUCGUAAUCCAAUGACAUGUCUGGUUUUCGAUUGAGGGAAAAUAAAUUACACAUAUUUACACACAAUUCUUUUAAAAUAAAGGUAGUAUGUAACAUAAUUUGAAAAUAUGAUUUUCAAUUUUAAAGAUAAUUUUAGUUCGAUUUGUGGGCUCAAAUUUCAUUUUAAGAAUUAAAAAAAAUUGUGAGGUUUAAAUUUAGAUUAUUGAAUUGAUUUUGUACUUUCAAUCGAUGUGGAUUAAAAAUUAAAUUUUCAUUUGUUUUGGAUUUGAAAUUUAUUUUUGAGCUCCGAAAAAACCAUUACACAAUAUUAUUUAUUUCUAUUAUUAGAAGUAUUAAUGGGCAUAUAAAUAAAAGUUGUAUAAGAAAAUAUAAAUAGAGCCAAACAAAUACCUGUUUAUUGAAAAGUAGUAAGGGCUUAAUGGAACACCUUUCGUCUGGAGAGCAAAAGCUAACGAGUUGCGGUAGAUUUUCAAGUUUGAUGAAGCAUAAUUCAGAAAAUCCAAUUUUGUUUGUUUUGAUAUAUUGGACAUGCCUACCAUUUUUGACAUGAAGUCUCUUUAAAUUUGGAAGAUCUUUCCCAUUAUUUAACUCCACAAGUACAUUCUUGACGCCUUCAAGUCCCUCUAGGCUCAAAUCUUCUGUUUUUAUCAACAACAUUUUCAUCCCAUUGUCCAAAUCAAUGUUUGUAUAUAACAUGAGCUUCAAUGUUUUCGGGGAUUCAUAAUUAUGGAAACAAUUAUAUGCUCCAUAAUUACCUACGAAAAUCUUGAAUCUGUCCAAUGUUUCAACAAACCGGUGUUUUGGUAUCAUUUGGACAUCAAGAAUAUGAACAUAUAAAGUAAUUAGACAAGGCAAAUUGUUUAAUUCAUCAAGGCUUGCAUUUUUCCUCUCAUUUUCAACUAUUCCUCCCUUCUCCCAUUCAACAAAGCUCCCCCUCAUAUAUAAUUCUUCUAAUUUAGACAAACCUGAUAAGAUAUUCGGUGGGAUGAUUUUGAGUUCUCUACACCAACGCAAAUCUAACAACCUUAAUUGAGUCAAUUGUGCCAUCUCCUUAGGUAGUCCUUUGAUACCUGACUUAGAAAGGUCGAGGAUUUCUAAAUUCUUGAGCUCUCCAAGGAUAGUGAUGUCAUCAACUGCACAUUCUUUUAGACACAACAUGCGAAGGUCCGUGAGGUGAAUAAUUGAUUCAGGUAGGGAUGGAAACUCCAUUCCGAACAAAUCUAAGACUUUGAGGCCUUCGGUUUGUUUGAAAAAAUUGGGAGGAAUUUUAACCGCGCCAUCAUAGGCCUUACGGAAAAAGGAAAGUCCUGAACACUCCAUCUCCUUAGG
rnacentral:lncRNA from 1 species